rnacentral:lncRNA from 1 species
CAUGAUGGAAUUUCCCCAUUCAGAAGGUUGUAGCUUAAUUGAAGGAUCCUCAAACGAUGCAGUUGGCCCAAUUCUUUAGGGAGAUGGCCAUAGAAAUGGUUGCUACUCAAGCCGAGAGAAAGUAGAAAUGAAAGAUUUCCAAGGUGUGGAGGGAUAGUACCCCUAAGAUUCAUGCUUGUAAGAUUCAAAGCUAUAACUCUUUUAUGGAGGAAGCCACCAGAAACACCAAUCCAAUUGCAAACAGAGGUUGAGGCCGUCCAAUUGUUUGCCACGACAUUUUGAUCAGGAUGGGCAAUGUGAUCCUUAAACUCGAGAAGUGCAAACUGAUCGGAGUUGAGAUUCCUGACUGUCAUAGCCAAGCAAAGUACGAAACAUGGUAUGAAUAAAGCUAAAAGAAGAUGAAAGCAAGUGUUGUAGUUCAUGAUUGCAAGACGGGAUAAGCCAAGAAAAUAAAAAAAGUAGGAAAAGGGAAGUUGAGUUGAUAAAAUAGGUUGGAUGAUGAAGAAAAGCCCAGAGAGCAUGCUUUAAUAUGUUUCAACCCUCGCACACUUGAUAAAUUUAAGACUACCCUAAAAAUUAAAAAGGAAAGCAAAGUUUUGAAGAAAUUUCAAAAUAAAUGUCAAGUCUUCUUCUUUAAAAAAUACAUACAAAGAAUCGAAUUUUCAAAAUUUCUCCUAAAUUUUCUUCACAUUACUCCACAUAAAUUACAAGCACUAACAAAAUAUUUUGAUCUAAUAAAUGUAAAAAGCAUUUUAAACAAAAGAAGGUUGAAAUAAUCUAUUUGUCCUUAUACUUUGAUAAAAUUUGUAUCCUUUUUUCGAAUCAUUUAAUGCCAUUUCAACAUUUUCAUUCAAAAAAGAAUAUCAUUUUGAAUUUGAUCUUUUUCAGGGUGAAAAUAUUGAAAAUGGUGUUCAAUUAUUAGAAAGAGAUACAAGUUUCAUGGUAUCCCCAAAUCAUUUAAUCUUAUCUCUCUAAGAAAGCUGAUGUAACACAUUAAUGGCAUCAUUUGAAACAAAGUUUUAGGUCAAAUUGUUCAUCUAGUCCUUGUAAUUGUUCUUUUAGGUGAAUUUCAUUAUUAUUCUUUUAUUUUCUUUGGCUUAAAUACACAUUUACCCCUAAUUUUAUCACAUUCUCCUUAAUUGGUAUUUAUAGUUUAGAAAAUUUUACAAAUAUAUUAUUUUUUAAGAAAUUAUAAGAAGAUUACAAAAAUUCCAAAAUAAUAUAAAAAAGCUAAGAAAAACCUAGAAAUUCAAAAAAAAAAAUCAUGUUUUUACAAAUUGGGAAAUACCUAAAUUUGUGUUCAUCAAUUAAGAAAUUAAAAAAAAUUGUUGAGAAAUAUCUUUUUUAGAGAUUCCUAGCUUUGAGAAGUUCUCUCCACCACUUCUCUUACGCUCCUUCCAGGAUCUUGCUCUUUGUGUGUUGAAAACUCAAACGAACAAAAGAUCAACCUACAUCUUAAGGCAGGAAGGUCAGAGCUUUACUUUCCAGCCCGUCCGAUACUUUGAAAGAAGAACAAAGAGUCUUUGCUAACAUUUUUUUUUCUUUGUCAUUUCUAUGUUUCUUGUCAAAUACAAUGAAAGAAGAGCAAAGAAAACUGUUGGCUAUUUAUUUCCCAGUCAUCCUGAAAUUACUUGCCAUAGGCAUAGAAUUUUCUAACCAAUUUUCAAGCAAUCUGACAUGAAUUCUCAAUCACAAUUAAUUGAAUUCAAGAUAUGUUUGGAUGAGAACACAAAUAUUUCAAUUUUAACACAAACCAAUGUUUGGGAUGAUUUCAUGAUUAUCUUUUAUAAUUUCAGGCUUAUCAACUAUUUUGAAAACAAGAAAACGUCUUACACCAAAAACUAAAAAAUUAAAACGUCGACAUUAAAUUUGUUGGUAUGCAAUCAAUUUUAAGAUGGUUUUUGGAGUUAUAUAUCACUUUAGCAUUGACUUACUUUUCUACUCUUAGUCUUCUCAAAUAAGUUAAAUAUUUCAAUUUUAACAACAUUGACAGGUCUUUGGGGUAGGGUCGAGCAAAACUCAAUAUAGGCUGAGUUGGCUCGGCCAAGUCGAGUCGACUUGUUCAAAUUAGUUAAAUUAGUAAAUUUUAGGGUGCAAUUAGAAUUUUUUUGUUUUGAGAUGCUAAGAUUAAAAAAUUUGAGUUGCUAAAACUAAAAAAUUGUAUUUAAAAAGGCAUAAAUUAAAUUAUUAAAAUUUAUUUUUUGAAAAUAUAUUCUCACUACUUUCUAGCAGAAUAACAAUAUGUGAAACUUAUGUCUUGUGUUAAUAGUUCUACCAGUACUAUCUAUUUAUAGGGAGCGACAUGAGAAUCCUGGUUGAAUUAGUAAAACAUGAGUAAUAUUUAUUUCAUAGAAAACAAUAUUCUACCCUAAGUAGAUCAAGUUGGAUGAUGCAUGGAUCGAAGCUCAAUCUAGGAGAAAAAAAAUAAAAGAAUUUUCUUUGUAAAGAAAAUCUGAGAUUGUACUAUUUUCGAAGUUAUAAAUAAAAUUAUAUGCCAAAUUUUCAAGUCAAUUUUUGACUCGAAUUUUGUAUGUACAAAUUUCUAAUAAACUUGAUGGGACAUUCUUUGACUUUUAUCUAUUCUCUCAAAAAGUUAAAGUUCAAAGUUGCAUUAAACUCAAAGAAGAUAAUCAUUAGUAAACCAGCUCACAAGCCUGCUCAAGCUAAUCCUAUAACUCGUUUCACUCCAUCAUCAAACACCAAUGUUCUUGCUUAUCCUUGUGGAAUUAAACAAAAGACAAGCUUUUAAGAGUUAUUUGAACAGACAAAAGAUUCAAAUGUGUUGAGAUGGAAAGUGACAAUGCAAUGUUUAUUGAAACUAUUCGUAAUGGGUUGGCUACAAUAAGUAGUGUUGCUGAAGUAAGACGAACUCACGAUUGGUGUUCCAAAAAUUGGGAAGUCAAAUUUUGACAUAUUCAGUAGAAUGCCAAUAAAGUUGUUGAUCGCAUAGCUAAGGCAGAUGGAGGCGUAAUUGAGCAGCUAGUUAUCUUGAAAAUCCUCCGCAUUAUGUGAGAUGAUGGCUUGAAGAAGAUAUUAGACAAUCGUUGGUGAAUGAUGAUAAUUUUCAUUUGGACUGAUGCUCGCUUAAUUUUCUAAGCUUAUGUUCAACCAAAAAAAAAAUUAAAUACGUCUAAAUUAUCAUAGAGUUAACAUUUAGUGUAUAAAAAAAUAGUGUAUAACUUUUUUCCAAUUUCAGUUUAGUUCCACAAAUAUCGACGAUGAACCUUAAAACAGACAUGAAAAUUACAAAAAGCAAAAAAAAAAAAACCAACAUCUAUUAUCAAACUAGCAAUCCAUGUCUAAACUUAAAUUAACAAAAUUUGUCACGCAACUCGAUACACUAUUUUAUAAUAUAUAUAUAUAUAUUAGAUUUAUUCUUGAUGCACAUAUUUUAUUAUAGUUAAAAAUUAAAAUAUAUGAUUUAUUGAGUUUUAGUUGAGUUAAUAUUGGUAUUAUAUCAAUGUAGGAAAACUUGAGUUCAAUCGUACCUAAAUACAUUUUAUCCUCCAACUUAACAGUUGGGAAAAUGUUAUUAAUAAUUAAAUUAUACCAAUUUUUACAAUAUCUAAAAAGCAUUUAUAAACAUAUUCAUAUUGAUGGGCUCUUUCAUUAUUAAACUUUUUUUUCACUCACAAGUAAAAGUACUUGUGGAGAGGAUCAUGUAAAUAAUAAACUGAAUAAUUUUAAACGUCUCAUCAUUGCCAACAUGAAAUAAUAGAAAAGAAGCCAUUUUAUGAAAUUUACAAUUCCAACUGUGAAUAAAAUAUAAAUUUUAUGAAUGUGGACAAGCAAUUUAUUUAACUUUUUUUAAAGUAAUUUUCUUUGUUUCCUAACCACCAUGAAAUUACUUGUCACAAUUCAUCUUUUUAAAUGAGAAACAUUUUCCACAAUUUGCCAUCACUUUAACAUACACUAACUUUCCUAUGAUUAGUCCUUGGUUUGCCUUGGGUGCAAUCUUCCAACUAGCCUUAUCCUUGGUUUUACUUUCCAACAAUUAUUGUAUCCUCCUCAUUACUUUUACUUACCGACGGAUGAAAAAUUCACUGAUCAAAUUAAUUCAAAGAUUUUUUUUUUCUAAAUCAUGUGAAUUCACGAGUUUUAUUUUCUUUAAGAAAUAUUUUUGUGGAUAUUAGGAGAUACUGAAAAUUAUUUUACUAUGAAAUUCUAAUAAAACUGGAAAAUAAGUGAUUUAUUUAAAGGGAUCACAAUUAAACAUUAGAUUUUUAAUUUUUUAAUUUUAAAUUUUUUUGACAAUUGCGUAAUUAAUAAGGUACUAAUUUUGAGCGUUGUAGGAGUGCUAUAACCUUCCCUAUGCAUAAUCAACUCUUAAAUCCACUUUUAUCUUUACAAUUAUAACAAACUUACAAAAUGAUUUAAUGAUAUUUAAUUAGUGACGGGUAAAAAAAUUAUAUCAUAUAAAUUCCGAAUAAUUAAUUAUAUAUCUACAUUUUAUAACCAAUGCAUCUUUCAAAAUUAUUUCCUUAUAAUUAAAGCAAAAAAUUAUAUUUAUAAAAUUCUAAAUAUAUUAUAAUUCUUGUAAAUAUAUAUAUUUACAUAUAUAAGUCCAAAAUGUAAUAGAGUUAACAUUUAUUGUAUAAAAAUGUCUUGAAAAUUAUUUUUUUUUUUCAAUUUCAAAAGAACUAUUCCAUUUAUAAAACCAUAAAACUUUAAAAAUAUAAACUCUAUUAAAUAAAAAUAAUAAUAUUUUUAAACAAUAAAUAUUGACUUUAUUUUAAAUUGACAUUAUCUAAAUUUUUUUAAUAUAUAUCGCUAAGCUUUACAUUAAUAUACAUGAUUUAUUUGUUCGUUAUUAUUAUUAUUAUUAUUAUUAUUAUUAUUAUUAUUAUUAUUUCUAUGAUUAUUAUAUUAUAGUUAUCGGACUACAAUCAUAACCAUGUCUAUUAUCAUUCGAUAAAAAAAAAAUUAAGUGUUGAGUAUAAUGACAAGGCACAUUACACUCUUAAGGGGAGAUCAAGGUUUGGACAAAGGAAGAAUAUGAUUCAAAUUUUGGAGACAACAUUCUUGAAAUGAACAACCACAAAUCCCAAUUAUGAACCAUAAAACGAGCAUGAAAAGUACCCAAAAAACACAUUUAUUAUCAAAAUAGUAAUCCAUCUAAGGAUUAAAUUAACAAAAUUCACCAUCCAACCGUGUAGACUAUUAUAAAUAUAUAUACUAUAUUUAUUCUUCAUGCAAAUGUUUAUUAUAUUUAAAAAUUAAAAUAUAUGGUUGAUUGAGUUUUAGUUGAGUUAAUAUUGAUAUUAUUGUCAGUGCAAAAGAACAUGAGUUCAAUCAUGUUUAUAUACGUUUUAUACUCAAAUUUAGGAGUUGGAGAGGAUUCUCAAUAGUUAAAUUAUAUCAGUUUUUGUCUAUUUAAAAAUGAUUUAUAAAUAAUAUAAAUAGAACAUUUUAAAAAAAAUACAUAUUCAUAUUGAUUGGCUUUUUCAUUAUUAGACUUUCUUCCCCAUAGGUAAAAGUAUUUAUCGACUUCAAAUUUUGGGUUUUAAAUAAGGGUUUUUCAGAUUUUUUUUUUAACAUUUGUGUGAGUUUUUGCCAAAUUUUAUAUUUUCGGAACGCAUAACUAAGUUGAUUUUUAAUUAGUUUUCAAACGAGUCAAUGUAAUUCCUCAAAAAUCUAGUCAAAUCGUUUAGGCUGGGUUUGGGGGUGUUACACUAACGUUACUAAAGUUAAUCUUAAUCUAUUUAGUCUAGAUCUAAACAUUAAUAUUCUCUUCCAAGAAAAAUCAAGAUUAUCAAAUUAUUACAACUGUGUAGCCAGACAAUCAUAUUAAAUAAGCAUAAAACUUAACAAAUAAUUAGCGAAGAUUGAAACAAUCAAAGAAAAAAUAAAUAAAUUAACUAAGAAAUAAGGAUCCAUUAUUGUUUCAAGAAAACAGAGUUUAGUUCAUAUUGAGUUGAGAAAACCAAAAAGGAGAUUCAAAACAAACUUGUGAUAAGGGGAACAAUGUCAAUAGAUCAUAUUCAAGUUGUUCGACUCGAGAAAGAAAGUUUCAGAUCUGACCUGAAAAGAAGAAACCAAACAUAUUUAGGAAAACAAGAAAAAAACAAAGAAAAAAACUAAAAUGAGAAAUUUAAGAAUAAAUAAGAAAUAUUAAAAAUAAUAAAGAAAUUAUAGAAUAAAAAGUGGCAAAUGGAAUGAAUAAAUGAUGGAUAUAAAUAAAAGAUGGAUAUGACAUAUAGAUGAAUAAGUGUCUGAUAACUCUUGGAAAAAGUUAUAUUUCAUGCCUUUACACCUGGCUAAUUGCUUGUACUUAAGUAUAUUUUGUUGCUUUUUAAGACAUUUUAUUGAGCAUUUUUAAUAUUGUAUUAGGACUUAGACUGAUUUGGGAUUAGGUGUUUUUAAUUGCUUGUGGUGGAGUUUUUUGUGUGUUGGUAUGGCAGGAACAGUUUUUAGAACGAGGAAAUAAAUGAGUGAAGUUUUGUUAGGGCAAAAGUGCAUACAGUUUGCCUACAAGGAUGCCGUGGCAAUGCCGGGAAGACCAAGUUCAUAUUUUUUGUGCAACAGUCCCAGUUCAAAUUCAAACUUGUAUGAGAUAAAUCCCCCUAAAAGAGGAGAAGAUAAUUACAUUGAUGUUAGUUGACCCUAGCCUAAUCUAUCUAUUAAAGCCAAUGAAAGGGAUCUCACAAAUGGUAGAAAAAAGUGAGAGAGAUCCUUAGGGGUGAAUAAGGGUUUGGCUGGGCAAAGGAAAAGAAGUCAAAGGCAAUCAUUCUUAGCCUUCACAGGACGUUGUGUUGCCAAAGUGUGGACUGGGCAAGUGAAAGCUGUUUCCCAAAGUUCUUCUAUUAUUUCCAUUAGUGUUCCUUUGAAAGAUUGAAUUGAAGUAGUUGAACACAAUGUCGGAUAAUAUUUUGCUUUGAAAUUUUAUUUCCCAGCUUAUGAGCUAAAUCUCAUAGGGUUGGGAUUACUUCCGAUGAAACCUUAAAUUUUUUUAUGGAUGCAAUAUAUAUCUAAUUUACAUUACUGUUUCAUUUGAUUGUUCUUAUUUCUUAAUUAAAAUACAAAUGAUCUCUAGACAUAGAGGACUAUUAGCAUACUUAUAAACUGAUUAUAAUUCUAAAAGGGUUGGAUUAAAAUUAAAUGAAAUGAGCAAGUAUUUGAUAGACACUUUUAGCCAACUCUAGACACAGAGUCAAGAUCAUAUAGAAGGAACCCAUGCAAGAUAUCUGAAAAGCCUUUAGACACAGGCAAGGCAACUUGAGGUUUUUCUCUCACAAGAGGCAGACCAUUUUAGAACUCUUUUGUGUUGUAAAAUAGAUACGAUUUUGCCAAGGCAUUAUUGACAAUAAGGGUUGAUUCUGGGUAAUCCCGACCUUCCAAAUCCACAUCGUAUAUCCUUCAUUCUUUUCCAUAGUAUCUUUGCCACAACAUUAUUAGUUAUUUAUUUGUUCAUUUACAUAAUCUUCCCAUAAUAAUUCUCAUAAUUGCCAUUGCAUUUCUACUCUCGGUUUGCCAUAGCAUUACAAAUAUUCAUUAAUUCCACAUAUUGAUUACAUCAUUACUCUACUCAUUGCCAUUGCAUAUAUAUCAUUGACUUUGUCAUAGCAUUAAUUGUAUUUUAUUAUAAUAACUUGAUCAAUUUUGUGCCUCAAUCCGGUCAUCGUGGGAACGAUACUCACUCAUCACUUUAUUACUUGAUUCAAUGUGUAUACUUGCACAAAUCACAUAUCAUUUCACAUGCAACAGUGUCCAAUUGAACCCUUUAAGAUAUAAACUCGAACAAACUCAAUUAAUGGCUUUAAUCAACCCACCAAGAAAUAAUCAUUGGAAAAUUGAAGGAUGAAGAAUGAAUUCCCUUGACUCCUUGAAGAAAAUUUAGAAGAAAACUGAUUCUAAAAAUUACAAGAAACAAUCUUGCACAAAGAAACUAACCUUGAGAGUUGGAAAUUUUAGUAACGAACAAAAACAAUUGUGUCUUUAAUGAACAUGAAGGGGCCUUUACAUAGGCUAGAUAAGUACAUCCAAAUAAAAUUGUCAAGUAUCUUGAAACUUUAAUUAAUGUAAGCAAGAAGUAAUUUUAAACUAAAAUAGUCAUAAUUUCCGUAAUAAUCCCGUCCAAAAAUUCUGCUCACAUAGUCAUCAUUAAAACAGUCAUCAUUUGAGCUCUUGAACUCAAAAUUGAGUGAAUAAAAGUGUGUUUGAAAGUUAAGUGAUAGAUCUUAGAACUCCAUGAAGUCAUUGCAAGUUAACUGAUUUUCCAAACUGGAAAAUUGACAGCUUCGGUGAAUGGAAUUUAAUAAAGUUCACCCCAUCUGCUCAUGUAUAAACUUGCAGUGGUAAAAAGUAAAAAGAAAUAAUCUAUAGAGAAAAUAGUUGAAGAAUUUAUUAUAAUUUAUUCAAUUUAUGACAAUUUAUUCAGACCUUUUUUUCUUCUAGCCUUUGCAAGCUUGAAGUUUCCAUUGGUGUGUGAGAGUUGUUCCUUACCCUCUAAGUUAUAUUUUUUUUUCUUUUCCUUCUUUUUCUUUCUCUUCGAUCUCGUCACAUAAGGGUGUUCAAACAACUGAUUCAGUUAAUACCCGAACAAAGCUAUCAUUAAUUGAAAUUUUGAAACCCUUAAUCGUUAAUGAAACCAAUUUUUUGUUGAAACCUAUUAACCGACCGAAUUGAUUUAGGUUAAUUCGUGUGGUUAACCAGAAUUUAUACAUUAUUUUUUUUUUGUUCAAACAAUUUUAAAAUAAAGAACAAUCCAUGACAACUUUUUCCUUGUUUUUUAUUCAAAAAUUAUUAAAAGAACUAAAAAAAUAACAUAAUAACAACACUAAAUUAAAAACAUAAUAGCAUUCAUUACAUUACAAAUCCUUUUUUUUUUUUUUACUUUUUGUUGACUUUUUAGUUUAAUUUUAGUUUUUUUUUUCAAAUAUUUUUAGUUUUCAUAUUUUUAUUAAGCUUAUUAUAAGAAAAUUUAUAAAUCCAUUAGUUUUUAUAUAUUAGGUUUGUAUAAUGUAUUGGACCUAUCUCUAUAAUAUAUUUUUAUUGAUUUCGGUUAAUCAAUUAAUUCGGUUAAUUAGUCUAUUUCAAAUGAAACUAAUCGAUAAACAAAAUCUUCAAAAACAUUUAACCAACUCCCAACCAAAUUAGAUUCAUUGAUCGGCUGCUUAAUCAAAAUAAUCAUAUGGUAAAAUGGCAUAUUUUUGGAAUGGUUUUUUGGCAUUAUUGGUAUAGGUUUAAGUUAUGAUCUUGAGAUGUUGAGUUGAAUUAAGUUUGCUAUGUAUAUUGUGAUGCCUUUAUUGGCAUAUUGGUUAGAUAUUAAAGGAUGGUUGAUUUGGUAUGUUUUUGAAAUGGUUGUUGGUAUGUUUGAUCUAAGUUGAUUAAAUGAACUUGUAAUGUUGAAUGGUAUAAUAUUUGUUGGUACAUUAGUUAGUCUUAUAGGUUGAUGGAAUUGAUAUGUUUUAAAUGUGUUUUAAAUGUGUUUUGAUUAUUUAAAUGUUUGUGGAAAUGGAGUGUCUUGGUGUACAAGAUUUGAAAUUGAAAUGGCUUGAUUUAGAAGCAACUUAUGUUGUACACCGCCUGGGACACGGGUUGUCACAUGGUUGUGUGUCAUUAUUGUUUUAGGUACAGGUUUCACACAAUCUAAGACUCGGCUCACGACAUAGCUGUGUAUCACAAGUCAGUAUGUAACACGGUUUGGUACAUGGCCUGCGACAUGACCGUGUGUCCAGACUUCAAAUGUCCACACGGUCUGGGCUAUGUCACAUGGCUUGGCCACAUGGCCGUGUGACCCUUGUUUUCAAGUUUUCCAAAAUUUUCUAUUUUAUUUCAAAUUGAUCCUAGAAUAUUCUCAAACUGUUUUUAGGGCCUGUAGGUUCGAAUUAAGGCCCAUAAGUGUAUGUUUGCUAUAAUUAAGUUGUGUUAAUUAAUGUUAUUAAUUAAAUGGCAUGAAUAUUUUAGUGUAAGUUAAAUGUUUUAAUUUGUACUAUAAUGCUGCGUAACUCUAAUCUGGUGAUGGAGACAGGUUUGGGGUGUUGCAAUUUUGGACUGUAAAUUUAUUUUGGGGCUUUGUUCUUUGGUUCUUGCAAUGUUUGUUGGAUUUUAGUGUUUUAACAUUAAACUGCAAAAUUGUAUGAUUUAACAAACUAAAAAUUAGGUUUUCAAAAUUAAAACUUUGGAAGUUUCUGUUGCAAAGAUUAAGUAAUCACUUAAGUGUUUUCCUAUAAAUAAUUAAAUGGUUUUUAACAAAUGUUUUCCUUAGUUUUGGAAAUGAUCUGCCAACAUUCGUACUUUUAAAACACAUGAUUUCAAAUUCAAAUUCUUGGUUUUAAAUAAGGGUUUUCAAACUUUGAUUUUUUUUUAACAUUUGUGAGAGGUUUUUGCCAAAUUUUAUGUUUUCAGAACGGGUAACUAAGUUGAUUUUUAAUUAGUUUUUCAAACGAGUCAGUGUAAUACCUCAAAAAUCCAGUCAUAGCGUCUAGGUUGGGUUUGGGUUGUUACACCGACGUUACUAAAGUUAAUCUGAAUCUAUUUAGUCUAAAUCUAAACUUUAAUAUUCUCUUCCAAGAAAAAUCAAGAUUAUCAAAUUAUUACAACUUGGUAGGCAGACAAUCAUAUUAAAUAUGCAUAAAAGUUAAUAAAUAAUUAGCGAAGAUUGAAAUAAUCAAAUAAAAAUAAAUUAAUUAACUAAGAAGUAUCCAUUAUUGUAUCAUGAAAAUAGAGUUUAGUUCAUAUUAAGUUGAGAAAACCAAAAGGGAGAUUCAGAACAAACUUGUGAUAAGGGGAACAAUGUCAAUAGAUCAUAUUCAUGUUGUUCGACUCAAGAAAGAAAUAUUCGAAUCUAACCUGAAAAAAAGAAACCAAAUAGAUUUAGAAAAACAAUAAAAAACAAAGAAAAGAACUAAAAUGAGAAAUUUAAGAAUAAAUAAUGAAUAUUAAAAAUAAUAAAGAAAUAAAGAAAUUAUAGAAUAAAUAAUGGAAGAUGGAAUCAAUAAACGACGGAUAUGACAUAUAGAUGGAUAAGUGUCUGAUAAUUCUUGAAAAGAGUUAUAUUUCAUACCUUUAGACCUAACUAAUUGCUUGUACUUAAGUACGUUUUGUUGCAUUUUAAGACAUUUUAGUUAGUAUUUGUAAUAUUGCAUUAGGACUUAGAUUGUGUUGUAAUUAGGUGUUUUUAAUCACUUGUGGUGGAGUUUUUGGUGUGUUGGUAUGGCAGGAACAUUAUUUAGAACUAGAAAAUAAAUGAGUGAAGUUUUGUCAGCGCAAAAGUAUAGAUAGUUUGCCAACACGUAUGUCGUGGCAAUGCCGGGAAGACCAAGUCAACAUUUUUUUGCGCAACAGUCCCAGUUCAAAUUCAAACUUGUACUAGAUAAAUCUCCUUAAAAGAGGAGAAGAUAAUCACAAGUUGUUAGCUGACCCUAGCCUAUUCUAUCUAUAAAAGCCAAUGAAGGGGAUCUCACAAAUGGCAAAAAAAAGUGGGAGAAAUCCUUAGGUGUGAAUAAUGGUUCAGCUACACAAAGGAAAGGAAGUCAAAAGCAAUCCUUUUUAGCCAUCACAAGACGUGCUGUCGAAGUGUGGACUAGACAAGUGAAAGUUGUUUCCCAAAGUUCUUUUGUUAUUUUCAUCAGUGUUCCUUCAAAAUAUUGAAGUAGUUGAACACAAUGUUGGAUAAUAUUUUGGUUUGGAAUUUUAAUUCCAAGCCCAUGAGCUAAAUCUCAUAGGGUUGGGAUUACUUUUGAUGAAACCUUAAACUGUUUUUAUAGAUGCAGUAUAUAUCUAAUUUACUUUAUUGUUUCAUUUUAUUGUUCUUAUUUCUUAAUUAAAAUGCAAAUGAUCUCUAGACAUAGAAGACUAUUCGCAUACUUAUAAAUUGAUUCUAAUUCUGAAAGGGUUGGAUUGGUUGGAUUAAAAUUAAAUGAAAUGAGCAAGCAUUCGAUGGACACUUGUAGUAGACUCUAGACAUAGAGUCAUGCCCAUACAGAAGGAACCCAUGCAAGAUAUCUAAAAAGCCUUUAGACAUAGGCAAGGUAACUUGAGGUUUUGCUCUCACGAGAGGCAGUCCAUUUUAGUACUCUUUUGUGCUUCAAAGUAGAUACGAUUUUGCCAAGGCAUUAUUGACAAUAAUGGUCGAUUAUAGGUAGUCCCAACCCUCCAAAUCCACAUCGUAUAUCAUUUAUUCUUUGCCAUAGUAUAUUUGCCACAUCAUUAUUAGUUAUUUAUUUGUUCAUUUACAAAAUAUUUCCAUUGUAAUUCUCAUAAUUGUCAUUACAUUUCUACUCUUGAUUUGCCACAACAUUACUAGUUAUUUAUUAAUUCCACAUGUUGCUUACAUCAUUGCUCUACUAAUUGCCACUGUAUAUUUACCAUUGACUUUGUCAUAGCAUUAAUCGUAUUUUAUUAUAAUAACUUGACCAAUUUUGUGCCUCAAUCUGAUCCUCAUGGGAAUGAUACUCACUCAUCACUUUAUUUGUAACACCCCAAACCCGGCCUAGACAUUAUGGCCGAAUCUGGCGAUGUCACUUGGAAAAGAAUUUGAAGACCAGAUUGUCAAGUUUAAAAACCAUUACAGUAAGUUAGUUUUUAUUUAAUUUGAGAAAAAAACUAGUUGAUUUGCUUUAAAACUUGUCUCUUAGCGGACGCUUUUGUAACCAAUUAAUUUAGGGAAAAUCGUUUCUAUUUACCAAAAAACUUAGUUUUUAGGAAAAAAUCGUGUUUUGUGGAGUUGUAGUUUUUUUUAAAAACCCCAUAAAAAUAGUAUAAAGUCCCAAAUUUAAAACCAAUCAGUCCAUAGUCCAGAAGAUACAUCAAAAACUCAAAAUAAGUAAUAAAUUCUAGGCAUUAACGAAAAACAACCUAAAAUUUACGUGUGGCCACCAUCGAGUCCUCUGCUGCACCGAUCCGUCAAGUCUAGGGCUUACAUAUACAAAUUAAAUAGAGAAAGGGUGAGUUGUCGCAAACUCAGUGUUUAAUCCCCACAGAAAACAUGCAUAUAGAUAAUUAAAAGAAUUUAGUUAGAUACAGUCUGGGGCCUGUGCCCAUCACAGAAUCGGUUUGGGCCUUAGCCUAUUCAGAUAUAGUCUUUGAAAUACAUUAGGGCCUUGACCCAUAUCAGAUAUAGAAUGCAGAUACAGUAAAUCAGAAUCUUACCCACUAGCCUCUUCACACCAUCUCCAUCCAACCUUACACACCAUGUGGGGAUUAAAUCAACAAACCCAUCCCUACACACCAUGCUGUACCGAAAUGCGGCACAUAAUCAGAAGGUUGCAGCUGGGCUACCAGAUAACAUAAGUCAUGCUUGGUAUAGAAAUCAGACAGACAGAUCACACAUAUAAGGGUCUAAGUAAAGCUUAUCCACCCUAUAAUAGGUCCACAGUCAACUUGGGCGACCCGUGCAAAAUUACAGAACUUUUUGGAAAAAUGAGCUCACACGCCUAUGUGGCCUACUCGUCCCAAAUUGGCCUUGACCACGUGACACAUUUUUAAGGUAACCCGUGCUAGUUAAUUAUUCAUAUAUGUUUUCACUAUUUACCAAUAUGUUCCUUUAAAGUUGUCUACUUGAGUCACUGUUACUAAAUUAUUUAUAUCUUGAGGUACAGGAUUUCAAAUAAAGAUCCACUUGAUGUCUUUGAAACUAGAUUCAAAUACCUUUCUACUAUAAAAUUUUUAUAAUUUUUGGUUGAGCUAACAAGUAUAGUAAAAUCUUCAAACCUUCCCCUGUUCUAUUGUCUGACAACUUCAACCCUUCUUUGCUAAGAAUUAAUUAUCUCUUAGUACAAGAUUUGGAUAAUGUUUAUAUUUGUUUCUAUUGAAAAUAGACUCGUUAAUAAUUUAAAAAUGUAAAUUUUAAACCCCUAAUUAAUUUUCUCCAAUUUUUGAUGAUUUUUCAAAGUCAGAACAAGGGAACCUGAAUUCAUUCUCAUCUUGUCUCACGAAGUUUAUUAUACCUCACGAUUUACAAUUUCAUUACUUACAUCGUUUCUUCUAUGAGAAACUAGACUCAAUAAGAUUUAAUUCCAUAUUUUUUUCAUCCUCUAAUUCGAUUUCCACAAUUUAUGGCAAUUUUUCAAAGUUAACCUACUGCUGUUGUCCAAACAGCAAGCAAUUUUAGCUUUUCACCGAAUCCUUUUUUUUUUGCAUUUCGGGUACACACCUGGUUUUGUUUGUUGCUAAAACAGUCCCCGAGCACUCUAAAGCCACUAAUGAUAACCCUCUAUUUAAAUAUUGUUAAGACGAGAACACUGAAUUCACUAGUCUGAGCCUCCCCCUAUGCCCAAAUCACAUAGAAAAUACGUUACCACUUUAGUCGCUAAAAGAUUCAUGAUAGAAACGAAGAGAAACACUUACUGAAACUAAGCGAGCACUAACCUUGUGUGAAAAUGAAGGAAAAUAAAUGGAUUAGGGAAAAAUCAAGAAGAAGAAAAAGAAGAGAAAGAUGGAAAAACUUAGAGAAUUUUAGCAAGAGGAGAGGGAGAAGAAUAAACGGCAAAUAAAAUCCUAAUAACUCCCAAAAUCGCUUAAUCUUCUCCCCUAAUUCCCACUACACAUCCAUUACUCAUAAUCCCCCUAUUACAUAACUCUAUCCAAAAUCUGAGCAAAAAAAAACAUAAUACCCUUGUCUACAUAAGGAUUCAAACACAAGACCUCUACUAUAAUAACACACCAUUUAACCAGUAGACUAGUAGGCCCAUUCUAAUGUAAUUUACCCAACAAUCAAAUAAAAGCCUACUCAACAAAAGUAAGGCCUAAUUCAUUCAAAAUACCAAAAUUUUCCCAAGCAAAAGCUUGAACUUGGGACCUCCAAACACUCCCAGAACACAUAACUACUAAGCUAAAAGAUAUUUGUGUCAUAUUUUCACAAUAAUGAAAUUAGAAAUUUUGGGGCGUUACAUUAUUACUUGAUUCAACUCUUGCACAAAUCGCAUAUCAUUUCACACAUGACAGUGCUCAAUUGAACCCUUUAAGAUAUGAAAUCGAGCAAACUCAAUUAAUGGCUUUAAUCAACCCACCAAGAAAUAAUCAUUGGCAAAUUGAAGGAUGAUGAAUGAAUUCCCAUGACUCCUUAAAAAAUUUGAUAAGAAAACUACUUUUAAAAAUCACAAUAAAAAAAUCUUGCACAAAGAAACUAACUCUCAGAGUUGGUAAUUUUAGUAAUAAACAAAAACAAUUGCGUCUCUAAUGAACAUGAAGGGGCCUUUACAUAGGCUAGAUAAGUACAUCCAAAUAAAAUUGUCAAGUAUCUUGAAACUUUAAUUAAUGUAAGCAAGAAGUAAUUUUAAACUAAAAUAGUCAUAAUUUCCGUAAUAAUCCCGUCCAAAAAUUCUGCUCACAUAGUCAUCAUUAAAACUGUCAUCAUUUGAGCUCUUGAACUCAAAAUUGAGUGAAUAAAAGUGCGUUUCGAAGUUAAGUGAUAGAUCUUAGAACUCUAUGUAGACAUAUCAAUCGAAAAAUGUCUGGAUCCCAUCCAAAAAGUCACCGCAAGUUAACUAAUUUUUCAAGAUUAAAAUUUGGCAGCUUCGGUGAAUGGAAUUUAAUAAAGUUCACUCCAUCCAUUCAUGUAUCAACUUGCAUUGGUAACAAGUAAAAAGAAAAAAAUCUGUAGAGAAAAUAGUUGAAGAAUUUAUGAUAAUUUAUUCAGAUCUCCUUUUCUUCUAGUCUUUGCAAGCUUGAAGUUUCACUUGGUGUGAGAGAGUUGUUCCUUACCCUCUAAGUGAUUUUUUUCUUUUCCUUUCUCUUCGAUCUCGUCACCUAUGGGUGUUCAAACAAUUGAUUCAGUUAAUACCUGAACAAUACUAUCAUUAACUGAAAUUUUGAAACCCUUAAUCGUUAAUCAGACCAAUUUUUUUAAACUAUUAGCCAGCCGGAUUGAUUUCGGUUAAUUUGAGCGGUUAACCAGAAAUUAUACAUCGUUUAUUUUUGUUCAAACAAUUUUAAAACAAAGAACAAUCCAUGACAAUUGUUUCCUUGUUUUUUAUUGAAAAAAUUAAAAGAAUUAAAAAAAUAACAUAAUAACAACACUAAAUUAAAAACAUAAUAGCAUUCAUUACAUUAUAUAUAUAUAUAUAUAUAUAUAUAUUUACUUUUUCUUCACUUUUUAGUUUAAUUUUAUUUUUUUUCAAAUAUUUUUAGUUUUCAUAUUUUUGUUAAGCUUAUUAUAAGAAAACUUAUAAAUCCAUUAGUUUUUAUAUAUUUGGUUUGUAUAAUGUAUUGGACUUAUCUCUAAUAUAUUUGGCCUAUAAUAUACUUUUAUUGAUUUCGGUUAAUUAGUUGAUUUCAAACUAAACUAAUUGGAAAAUAAAAUCUUCAAAAACCUUUAACCAACUCCCAACUAAAUUAGAUUUGAUUGCUUAAUCAAAUUAAUUAGGUUUGAUAAACUAAUUCGUUAAAACCAAAAAAUGCACACCCUUAUCAUCACCUUUAUUUUUAGGGAUUUUAAUCAUGUUGCUCCACCUGAUGCAGAAGUUGAGGUGGAACGAACUGCUUGCUACCAAAAUUUAUGAAUUAUAGAGCAUGCUCCACCGUAUUGAAUCAAAUUCAGUGGAGUGGAAGACUUUUCUUCACUACUUUAUGCUCUAUGCUCCAAGUCUUCUAUUCUUUUUCAGAGACCUACAAUGGGAAAAUAAAAAAUAAGAAACAAGUCUGAAUUAACUUUGAAAAUUAGAAAUUUUCAACAAAAUUGAAAUAAAAUAUAAUUAAUCCAUAAAAACUAUAAAAUGCAAUAAAAACAAACCUAAAUACUAAAAUUACCUCCUAAAAUGCUAUGGAAACUAUACUAAAAUAACUCUAAAUAUGAUAGUUAUCAGAAGCGACUUGAAUAAGCCAAUCGAGUAGAUGAUUUCAACUAUUGCAAAUAGCAUCAGUCGAUUAACCAUCCUCUUGAGAAGAUCAUAGAGUUGAAAGAAAAAAUCAUACAAUUCCAUGAAGAAGAAAAAAUCAUGUUUGAAAAAGAAGUGGCAUUAUCAAACUUGACAUCAAUGCUUUGGUUUCUCAAUACAAUAUUAUGGACUGAUUCAUCAAAUUUGGCUCUUUCAAUCCUAUUACACUAGCUCUAAGUAGAAGUAAGAUGGUGAAUUUCGAAGGGAUUGGGGGCAAUCAUCUAUUUUUGGAAUAUCAGAAUGGUCAUGAUUGGACUCAAAGAAGCCAAUGAAAAGCAUCUCUCCUAGGUAUAAGCUUAUAUUGUCACAUUGCUCCUAAGCAUGAGCUUAAAUUGUUCAUCCUAAAUGAUGAUGCUCCUAAGCAUGAGCUUAAACUGUUCAUCUAAUGCUCCUAGAAGGAGCCUAAACUAUUCAACCCAAACGAUCAUGCUUUAAGCACAAUCUUAAACUAUUCAUAAAAAAUAAAUGAUGAUCCAAUGAAACACGAGCUUACACUAUUCAUACGAAAUAAAUGAUGACCUCCUAAGCAUGAAUUUAAAUUGUUCAUACAUAAUAAAUGAUGAUACUCCUAAACAUGAGCUUAAAUUGCAGUCCAAAAAAAAUUGAACAACAUUAUAACUUUAUCUUUUAAAAAUGAAGGUACGUAGAUAGCCUGGUUUCAUUGCCAAGUUCAGUCAUUGAAACAAAUUCUUGAAAGUAGGAAGCAAAUAAAAUUUCAAGACUUGUCCCCUUUCUACGCCCAACAAAAUUCAGAAUUCAUCAUUUGUUGUUACUGUUUAUCUCUAACUAAAUUAAUGAAAAGAGAAAUCAAGAAAUUAAAUCUUUUUAGAACUCUCUUAUAAAGAAAUCAUAUUCUUUAAGGAUUACUUUAUCUCUAAUUAAUUAAAUUAAUAAGAUAUGAAUAAUAAUAAUAAUAGAGUUUAAAAUCUUAUAGAACACUCAAAUGAAAAUGUUAAAUUCUACAAGAACUCUCUUAUAUUGAAGUGAUUGACACUCAAAUCAGUUUAAUCAGUCUUUGGAGCUAUUAACUGACUUUUUCACCAUUGAUUUGAAAAUCAUAACCCAUCAAUUCACUUUAAAUGAAACGAGAUCCACGAGUGUUUGGUGUUAUAUUUUUAAAAUGUAUUUACAUGAUUGUUUAUUAAUUUUAUUUGUUUAUAUUUAAAUCAAAUGUAAUAAAUUGUUGAAUUUAUAUACUUCUUCUUACAACAAUAUAUGGACUAUCUUCCUACUUCUCUUUUUAAUUUAAUUUUUUGUAACUCUUCACAAUUUAUUUUGAAAAACAUUAAAAAAACCUAAAUGAUUAAAUUAAGGCUCAACUUUUCACUAACCUUAGUUUAUUUAGUCUAACUUUUCACAAUUUAAUAUACUCAUUUCAUGUUUCAUACCAACAACUUUUCUUUUUGCUGAAAAGAAAAAGCAACUAUACUUUCUUUAAUCCCAAAAUUAAGGCUUUAUGAAUGAAAAUAAUAUUAUAUUAACUAUGAUAAUUAAGUUUUUAUUUUUAAUAUGAUUAAUAUUGUAUAUAAUAACUUUAAAUAUGCUUCCACUAAUGAGAUAUACUAAAGAAAAGAGUAACUUUCUUUUUAGGAUAACUAAUUUCCAAUUAAUCUAUCACUAAGUAAUUAAUUAAGUUAAUGUCACAAGUGAAUCGUACAUCAUAUACCAACUCAAUUGGAAAAUGUCUUUAAAUUAUUUUUAAAUUGUAACAAAUAUUAUUAUUAAGAUGUUUUUCUUUUUAUAUUUUCUAUAAAAUAUAUUAAAAAACAAUUAGAAUAAUUUUAAGAGAAAAAAACUCAUACACGGUAGAAUUUAAUCUAAAGAUAUCAAAGUUUUAAAGCCUCAACUUUAACCUUUCAACCGAAAUUCCAUUAGUAUAUAAAUAUUUUAUAAAUAUAGAUUUUAUAUAAAAAAGUUUAUGUAAACUUUGUUUUAACCCGCAUCACAAGUAUACCAUAUUUAGAGAUAUUCAUAGCUAGGCAGUCCACUUUGGGUCAAGAAGUUUGUAGUUAGGCAGCCCACUUUGGGUCAAGAAGUUUGUAGUUAGGCAGCCCACUUUGGGACAGGAUUCAGCUUACGUUUUUAAUCUUGGGCUUUAAAAAUAAUGUUCUAUUAAUAUUUAUAAAUUUUAUAAAUUUAAAUUUAAUUAUAUUUUUUAAACAGUAAAAUCAACCAUUUAUAUGGGCUAAAUUGAGUUAAGUUCGGUUUGCAUCAAGCCUUAACUUUGACCAAAUCCAACUAAAAACACCUCUAACCAUAAUCUACUAUUGUUUUUAUGCAUUGAAUUUUAACUUGUAAUUUUCAAUUUUAUUACAAAAUUUCUUUGCCUACAAUAAGAAAAUAACAUAUUUGUAACUUCUCCAAUCCGGCGUAAACGUUCAGUCUGAAUUCGAAAGAUUACAUUAGCUAUAAUGAUGGCCUAGUAGGGUUAUCGAAGUUUUUGAAAAUAGACAUCUUUAAAACAUUUGUUUAAUUUAGUAAAAAACUUAUUUAAUUUCUAAAUUAUUUAUUACUUGAAAUCUUAAUUACACUUUAAAAGCAGGAAGUGGUAACUAUUUAUUUUUAAUAAAAAUUGGGGUUCAUGUAUAAUUGAUUAAUAACCAUAAUUCGAAAACAAUAAAACUUAAAUUAAAUGUCAUGCAAAAUAAAACAAGCUUAAAUCUAAAUCUCAUGCCACAGUUCAAUAUAAUUUAUUGUAGUCUUCGAAAAUAAAAUAAAUCAAAUAAUCAACCUAAAAUAAGUUUUGCAAUUUAACAAUAUGUCGAGACCUUCCAAAUGUCACUUCCGCGUCCUAUCCUGGAGGGUUAUCUGUAAGGAUGAAAACCUUCCAGGUGCGGCGCUACGGCAGCAACCAUGGCCGAAGGCCUAGGCCAGAUUUUGGGGAGGUGUUGAGGUUUGAGAGAAUUUUGUUUGAUUUUUUUAGAGGAAAGGAGAAAAUGAAGGAUUUAAAAAAAAAUUGCUUUUAUAGCAUUAAGAAACAGCGCCGUUUUGAUCUUAGGGUUCAGAGGCCAAAAUGACGUCGUUUUGACCUUUAACCCGUGACCCGACCCAGUAGCCCACGAGAUCCGAGUGUUUUUGUGGUGAAUGAGCUAUUUCCGGGCAGGGUCCCUCAGCUUUUGCGCCGUGAUGCAAUCUGGUCCCUUCGUUUCUUUUAUUUUGGCCCCAUAAAUUUUAUACUUGUUUCAUUUUGGUCCGCGCUGAAACGUUGUGCUUUAGGGCUGGGAAUAUUGCCAGUCAAUCCCUAAUUUCUUAAGUGCUUUCCACUUCAGUCCCUAGCCACCCCCUUUUUAUUUAUUUGCAAUUUAAGCCUUUAAUUUUGGGGUCUAUUUUCAAAUUAGUCCUUAGCCUGUUUAAUUCUAAUUUUUUUAUUUAAAAAAAUAGAUUUGUCUAAUAUUUCACUUAAUAGUUAUUUAUUUACUUAUUUUCAAUUAUAAAUCAAACUUACAUUAGUAUUUAUUUAUUUAUCUAUCUAUCUGUUUAUUUAUUUAUUUAUUGGCUUGUUCAUCUUAUUUGUGCCAUUAUUAUUACUAUCAUUCCAUCAUCUAUUUAUGUGCUAAUUUUCAAAUAUUUUCAAAAUUUAGAUUCAUUAGUAUUAUAUUUAUUGUUGUUGUUAUUAUCGUUAUUGUUGUAUUGUUACUUGCACUAUUAUUAUUCAUGCAUGUUAACAUUAAGAUUUAUUAGUAUCAAUGCUAUAUGUGUAUUUUAUGAUGCAUAGUAUGUCAUGAUUAUUUUAAAUGCAUAUCGUAUUAUCGUUAUUAGUCAUGUACGACUCCUCUUUUUAAAAACGAUUUCUUUUCGAAUAUAAUCAAAGUUGCAUGCGUACUAUUUUUAAAUAUUCUAUUAGUGCUCACUUAAAUUCAAAAAAAAAAUCAAAGAGAGGCGAUACUUUGCAUUUUGGCAAUUUGAGAAACUGUACCCUAACUUACGGGGGUUCGGCUUUCUCGUUAAACCUAAAUAGCAAAAUAUCCUUUUAAAACUGCAAAAUACGAAUUUUCAAUAAAAAUUAAAGACGAGUUUAUUCUCUAAGGUUCUAAAUAUCGUGUCCUAACUUACGUGACGUGGUAUUUCGUUACCUUGGGACGAGUGGAUCUUUAACUCUCUUCUCGAUUUAUUCAUGCAAUUUUUAAUGGCAUUAAUAAAAAAGGAUCGUAUUUUAAAUUUCCCUUCGAAUUUUUAACUUUCAACAUUAAGACAUUAAGUAAUCAACUAGGUACCGAUUUUGGGCGUAUUGAGGGUGCUAAUCCUUCCUCGUGUGUAACCGACUCCCGAACCCAUUUUCUGGAUUUUUGUCAACCGAAAAAUUUUGUUUUAGUAAAUCAAACCUUUUAUUUAAAAAAAUUCAAUUACGAGGUGAUCAAAUCACACCUCACAAAAAAAAAGAUUGGUGGCGACUCCUGUGUUCGUUUUCAUUUACAAAAUUAAAGUCGACAAAAAAAAUAGUUUCGACACUACGGAUAUGAACCUUCAAGCUUUUGUGGAUAAUGUUACAGAAGGUUGUUGCAAAAAAUAUUUUUUUAUUCUUUUAUGUGGCAUGCCACAUUAUCAUAUUAUCAUGUGACAACUUCGGGUGAUUUCUAUCCGUAACCGUUUUUGUUAAAUGAAGAGGUCAAUUGAUUUUUUUGGAAUCAUUGAGUACUCAAUUGGUGCACUUUUUUCAUAAAGGCUAAAUUAAUUUGUUACUGUUGAGGGCUAUAGCAAUAAAAAAAUUUGAGGUAAAAUGAAAAAAAUGUUAGAGCUAAAUUUGUCAUUAUGCCUAAAAUGUAAAACCAAAAUUUUUUGAAAAUGAAAAAAAAAAUUGGAAAUCACAAAUUCUAUCACUUAUGUUUGCUUAAAAUUAUAGUUUUAGUNNNNNNNNNNNNNNNNNNNNNNNNNNNNNNNNNNNNNNNNNNNNNNNNNNNNNNNNNNNNNNNNNNNNNNNNNNNNNNNNNNNNNNNNNNNNNNNNNNNNNNNNNNNNNNNNNNNNNNNNNNNNNNNNNNNNNNNNNNNNNNNNNNNNNNNNNNNNNNNNNNNNNNNNNNNNNNNNNNNNNNNNNNNNNNNNNNNNNNNNNNNNNNNNNNNNNNNNNNNNNNNNNNNNNNNNNNNNNNNNNNNNNNNNNNNNNNNNNNNNNNNNNNNNNNNNNNNNNNNNNNNNNNNNNNNNNNNNNNNNNNNNNNNNNNNNNNNNNNNNNNNNNNNNNNNNNNNNNNNNNNNNNNNNNNNNNNNNNNNNNNNNNNNNNNNNNNNNNNNNNNNNNNNNNNNNNNNNNNNNNNNNNNNNNNNNNNNNNNNNNNNNNNNNNNNNNNNNNNNNNNNNNNNNNNNNNNNNNNNNNNNNNNNNNNNNNNNNNNNNNNNNNNNNNNNNNNNNNNNNNNNNNNNNNNNNNNNNNNNNNNNNNNNNNNNNNNNNNNNNNNNNNUCAAAAAAAAAUCAUGUUUUUACAAAUUAGGAAAUACCUAAAUUGUUUCAUCAAUUAAGAAAUAAAAAAAUUGUUGAGAAAUAUCUUUUAGAAAUAUCAUAAUUGCAUUUAAGACCUCAUGAUUAUCUUUUAUAAUUUCAAGGUUAUCAACUAUUUUGAAAACAAAGACAAAAACAGAAACAAAAACGUCGACAUAUCACUUUAGCAUUGACUUACUUUUCUACUCUUAGUCUUCUCCAACAAGUUAAAUAUUUCAAUUUUAACAAUAUUGACAGGUCUUUGGGGUAGGGUCGAGCAAAACUCAAUAGAAACAGAUGAUAUAGGUUGAGUUGGCUCAGUCAAGCCCAUGUCCCUCGCUACACGCCCCUGGUAAAAUCAAUUUUAAAAUUAAUUAUAAUAGUUUAAGCGAAUUGAUUAUUGAGUAAUGAAAUACUUAAUUCAACCAAUUGAUGUAAUCAAAUUAUAAUAAAUAUAUAUUUACUUUUAUGAUACCCUUCGUCUUCUUUUUAGAGUUUGUGGCAAUAUUUUUUUUAUGCUUCAAAUUUAUAUUUUUUUAUUUAUGAGUACAAUGUGUCUUACAAUUACAUCUGCAAUUUAUAUUUUUUAUUUGAAAACAUAUAUUAUAAUAUAUGAAAAACAUAUAUAUAACCAGAUUUUGUCACACCCAUUUUAUGUUAAAAAUAUUUUCAUUUAAAUUGAGUAUAGGUUGGGUGGUAAUGUACUUAUAUUUUAAUACUAGUAAAUACGUGUUCAAUCUUUAGAUUUAUAAUUUAUAAUUCUUUUAAUUAAAGAUGAUAUACAAGUAUGAAAAGACAAAAGUGACAUAGUAAUAAUAUUAAUUAUUAAUUUUAUAAUUUCAUAAUUGAAUUGAUGGCAUGGUUGAAGGUGACACUAACUCUAAAACACUUAAAUAUAAUAAUAGCUUAAAAAUGAGGGGCUUUUGGUAAAUACAAGACUGAGUUGGUGACCUGAUUGAGGGUCACACCAACUCAAUAAAACUCUUAAAUAUUGACUACAAAUCCUAUCACACACUUAUGUGUCUAAAAACCACAAAUUUAGAACACAAAGAUGUGUUUAAAAUUAACAUACAAUAAAGAAUGAAAUUUAUGGUUUGAAACUAAUUAGUAAUAACACAUGAAAUAUGUAUGAUAUCAAAAUUGAAAAAAAAGAGAAUAAAUUGUGCAUAAAACAAAANNNNNNNNNNNNNNNNNNNNNNNNNNNNNNNNNNNNNNNNNNNNNNNNNNNNNNNNNNNNNNNNNNNNNNNNNNNNNNNNNNNNNNNNNNNNNNNNNNNNACCCUCGCCAAUUAUCUGUCAUUAAGAACAUUAAAGUAUCCUUGAAUGAUAUAACUUAUUCUAAAUAGAGUUGAUGUAUGGUUGGCUUGGGAUACCAACUCAGUCAGGGGCUUAAGAUUAUUAAAAUAUUCUUAUUUUAAAGGGAAAUUAAUAUUAUUAUAAGUGUAUUUUCACCUUUUCAUACUUUGAUAUAAUCUUCAAGUAAAACGAUUGAAAAAUAUUAUUUGAGAACACAAGACUAAAAAAAUUCAUAUAGAAAACGCUUACCACUCCACUAAUAAUCAUUUGUCAAUGUAUUUUUGGUAAAAAGACCUCUCCAAUCCCUCUUAAUUUAACAAUUGCACAAAUUAGUCCCUCUCAAAAAAAUUGGAGUAAUUUAAUUCCUAUCAAUUUUGAAAGCGAGUAACUAAGGAUAAUUAAUUAUGGUGUUAAAUUCUUCCAUCAAUUGUACAUAAUUUUGAUUGGUAUAGUAAUAAAUUUAGCCUGCAAUGUUUAUAUAUUUUGUCAUUUUGGUCUUAAUUUUUAAAAAAAUUUCAAGAAAUUCAACCUCAACAUUUACAUAUUUACACAAACAUUGCGGGAUAAUUUUGUUAAAGUAAAACCGGCUAAUAAAUUUAUUAUUAUACCAAACAAAAUCAUGUACAUUUUAUGGAAAAUUAACAUCCUGAUUAAUUAUUCUUAGUUACUCAUUUUCAAAAUUAAUAGGGACUAAAUUGCUCUGUUUUUUUGGGGUGACCAAUUUCCUCAAUUUGGAAAUUGAGAGAGACUAUUGAGAUCUUUUACAUAUUUUUUUAUAAAUAUACUUUUUUAAUAUAAAAUAUAUUUGUUCACACAUCGUGAGUAUGAUAAAAUAUGUUUAUGGUUGAUUGAGUUGGUGUCAAAAAUUAACUUGACACAAACUCAAGAUUAAUAAUAACAAUAUGAUAAAUAAUUUAUUUAUUUAAUAUUCUUAAUUUAAGAUAUUGAUGUAAAUUUUAAGAGAUGCAUGUCUUGUAGAAUUGUAAUUAUACUUUUUGAGUAUUGACUCAGUUUUCCACAAUUGUGGGUCUCUAUUUGAGCAAAACAAUUUAAGCAUUUCUUCAUCUCGCUUAAUCCAAAUGCAUUUAGGAUGUUCUUAUAUCACUGUUUCAAAAACGGUAAAAAAAAAAUGUNNNNNNNNNNNNNNNNNNNNNNNNNNNNNNNNNNNNNNNNNNNNNNNNNNNNNNNNNNNNNNNNNNNNNNNNNNNNNNNNNNNNNNNNNNNNNNNNNNNNNNNNNNNNNNNNNNNNNNNNNNNNNNNNNNNNNNNNNNNNNNNNNNNNNNNNNNNNNNNNNNNNNNNNNNNNNNNNNNNNNNNNNNNNNNNNNNNNNNNNNNNNNNNNNNNNNNNNNNNNNNNNNNNNNNNNNNNNNNNNNNNNNNNNNNNNNNNNNNNNNNNNNNNNNNNNNNNNNNNNNNNNNNNNNNNNNNNNNNNNNNNNNNNNNNNNNNNNNNNNNNNNNNNNNNNNNNNNNNNNNNNNNNNNNNNNNNNNNNNNNNNNNNNNNNNNNNNNNNNNNNNNNNNNNNNNNNNNNNNNNNNNNNNNNNNNNNNNNNNNNNNNNNNNNNNNNNNNNNNNNNNNNNNNNNNNNNNNNNNNNNNNNNNNNNNNNNNNNNNNNNNNNNNNNNNNNNNNNNNNNNNNNNNNNNNNNNNNNNNNNNNNNNNNNNNNNNNNNNNNNNNNNNNNNNNNNNNNNNNNNNNNNNNNNNNNNNNNNNNNNNNNNNNNNNNNNNNNNNNNNNNNNNNNNNNNNNNNNNNNNNNNNNNNNNNNNNNNNNNNNNNNNNNNNNNNNNNNNNNNNNNNNNNNNNNNNNNNNNNNNNNNNNNNNNNNNNNNNNNNNNNNNNNNNNNNNNNNNNNNNNNNNNNNNNNNNNNNNNNNNNNNNNNNNNNNNNNNNNNNNNNNNNNNNNNNNNNNNNNNNNNNNNNNNNNNNNNNNNNNNNNNNNNNNNNNNNNNNNNNNNNNNNNNNNNNNNNNNNNNNNNNNNNNNNNNNNNNNNNNNNNNNNNNNNNNNNNNNNNCUCAAAUGUUGUAUAUCAGGUUAUGUGUUUUACUCUAAACAUAUCAGUAUUUACUAUUUUUUCUACAAAUUGGGUUGAAGUGCAUGAAAAAUUUUAUUUUAGCACUUUUGUAAAGGUUAAACUCUUAUUUGACAAUUUUGAAAGGUUUGAUCCUUAUGUGAGCAACCUUUAAAAGAUUGAGCACUAAUUUAACAAGUUGAGAAAUACCUAAAUUUGUUUUCAUGAAUCAAGAAAUUAAAAAAAAAAAACAUGUUGAGAAAUAUUUUAGAGAUUCUUAGCCUUGACAAGUUCCCUCCACCAUCUCCCUGCCUCCAGUCCCACCUCUUCUCUUAUGCUCCUUCCAGGUUCUUGCUUUUUGUGUGUUGAAAAUUCGACGGAACAAAAUAUCAACCUACAUCAUAAGGCACGAAGGCCAGAACUUUACUUUCUAGCCCGUCCGAUCCAAUGAAAGAAGAACAAAGAGUCUUGAUAUCUGACAACUUUAUUUCAUUUUCAUUUUCUUUGUUAUUUUCUAUGUUUCAUGUCAAAUACAAUGGAAGAAGAACAUAGAAAAAUGUUGCCUAUUUAUUUCCCAAUCAUCAUGAAAUUACUUGCCAUAGACUUAGAAUUUUCUCACCAAUUUUCAAGCAAUCUGACAUGAUUUCUCAAUCACAAUUAAUUGAAUUCAAGAUCUUUUUGGAUGACACAAACAUUUCAAUUUUAACACAAACCAAUAUUUAGGUUAUACUUCAGUGCUUGACAAGCACUUUCACAUUUGUGGGAUAAUAACUCUAGCAUUUUAGGAUCACAAUUAAUUCAAUUGCAUUUAAGACCUCAUGAUUUUAUUCUAUAAUUUGAGUCUUAUCAACCUUUUGGGAAAUAAUAAAACAUCGACAUUAAACAUUGUUGUUGAUGCAUUCAAUUUGAUUUUUUGAGGGGUCGUUGGAGUUGUAUGUGAAUUUAGCAUUGAUUGACUUUUUUAGAAUUAAUCUUUUAUACCAAUUUAAUAACAUCGACAUGUUUUUGGGUAGGUCGAGCAAAACCCAAUUAAAACCGAUGAUAUUGGUUUAGUUGACUCGGUCAAGUCCAUUAGAUGGAGAAAAUCAAUUUUAAAAUCAGUUAUAAUGNNNNNNNNNNNNNNNNNNNNNNNNNNNNNNNNNNNNNNNNNNNNNNNNNNNNNNNNNNNNNNNNNNNNNNNNNNNNNNNNNNNNNNNNNNNNNNNNNNNNNNNNNNNNNNNNNNNNNNNNNNNNNNNNNNNNNNNNNNNNNNNNNNNNNNNNNNNNNNNNNNNNNNNNNNNNNNNNNNNNNNNNNNNNNNNNNNNNNNNNNNNNNNNNNNNNNNNNNNNNNNNNNNNNNNNNNNNNNNNNNNNNNNNNNNNNNNNNNNNNNNNNNNNNNNNNNNNNNNNNNNNNNNNNNNNNNNNNNNNNNNNNNNNNNNNNNNNNNNNNNNNNNNNNNNNNNNNNNNNNNNNNNNNNNNNNNNNNNNNNNNNNNNNNNNNNNNNNNNNNNNNNNNNNNNNNNNNNNNNNNNNNNNNNNNNNNNNNNNNNNNNNNNNNNNNNNNNNNNNNNNNNNNNNNNNNNNNNNNNNNNNNNNNNNNNNNNNNNNNNNNNNNNNNNNNNNNNNNNNNNNNNNNNNNNNNNNNNNNNNNNNNNNNNNNNNNNNNNNNNNNNNNNNNNNNNNNNNNNNNNNNNNNNNNNNNNNNNNNNNNNNNNNNNNNNNNNNNNNNNNNNNNNNNNNNNNNNNNNNNNNNNNNNNNNNNNNNNNNNNNNNNNNNNNNNNNNNNNNNNNNNNNNNNNNNNNNNNNNNNNNNNNNNNNNNNNNNNNNNNNNNNNNNNNNNNNNNNNNNNNNNNNNNNNNNNNNNNNNNNNNNNNNNNNNNNNNNNNNNNNNNNNNNNNNNNNNNNNNNNNNNNNNNNNNNNNNNNNNNNNNNNNNNNNNNNNNNNNNNNNNNNNNNNNNNNNNNNNNNNNNNNNNNNNNNNNNNNNNNNNNNNNNNNNNNNNNNNNNNNNNNNNNNNNNNNNNNNNNNNNNNNNNNNNNNNNNNNNNNNNNNNNNNNNNNNNNNNNNNNNNNNNNNNNNNNNNNNNNNNNNNNNNNNNNNNNNNNNNNNNNNNNNNNNNNNNNNNNNNNNNNNNNNNNNNNNNNNNNNNNNNNNNNNNNNNNNNNNNNNNNNNNNNNNNNNNNNNNNNNNNNNNNNNNNNNNNNNNNNNNNNNNNNNNNNNNNNNNNNNNNNNNNNNNNNNNNNNNNNNNNNNNNNNNNNNNNNNNNNNNNNNNNNNNNNNNNNNNNNNNNNNNNNNNNNNNNNNNNNNNNNNNNNNNNNNNNNNNNNNNNNNNNNNNNNNNNNNNNNNNNNNNNNNNNNNNNNNNNNNNNNNNNNNNNNNNNNNNNNNNNNNNNNNNNNNNNNNNNNNNNNNNNNNNNNNNNNNNNNNNNNNNNNNNNNNNNNNNNNNNNNNNNNNNNNNNNNNNNNNNNNNNNNNNNNNNNNNNNNNNNNNNNNNNNNNNNNNNNNNNNNNNNNNNNNNNNNNNNNNNNNNNNNNNNNNNNNNNNNNNNNNNNNNNNNNNNNNNNNNNNNNNNNNNNNNNNNNNNNNNNNNNNNNNNNNNNNNNNNNNNNNNNNNNNNNNNNNNNNNNNNNNNNNNNNNNNNNNNNNNNNNNNNNNNNNNNNNNNNNNNNNNNNNNNNNNNNNNNNNNNNNNNNNNNNNNNNNNNNNNNNNNNNNNNNNNNNNNNNNNNNNNNNNNNNNNNNNNNNNNNNNNNNNNNNNNNNNNNNNNNNNNNNNNNNNNNNNNNNNNNNNNNNNNNNNNNNNNNNNNNNNNNNNNNNNNNNNNNNNNNNNNNNNNNNNNNNNNNNNNNNNNNNNNNNNNNNNNNNNNNNNNNNNNNNNNNNNNNNNNNNNNNNNNNNNNNNNNNNNNNNNNNNNNNNNNNNNNNNNNNNNNNNNNNCUGAAGCAGAUUUUCAUCAAGUUUGAAGAUUCCCAGUUGAUUUCUUAAGAGAUUAUCAUGAGUUUCUUUAUUUCUUUCGGUUAUACUACCCUUUGGAUGUUUUUAUUUUUAAGCAUGAACUAAUUUUCUAAAUACCUAAGAGAGAUGAACCCUAUGAUAGAUUGUGACACCCCAAACCAAACCGGGAUAGACCAGCCCGAAUUCGAAGCAUUACAUUAGCCACCUAAGUGACUCUCCAGCUAACGACCACCCAAGACACACCUCGACCUUAUAACACCUCAAUCUUAUCUAAUUACUAGUUAUUUAUUAAUGAAAAAGUAAAUUAUGAGCCAAUUUUAAACUUUUCCUAGGUAAUUUAACCUAAGGGUAUUUUUGUUAUUUUACCACCUAAUGUAAAACAAACCCGAUUUUAGAUCUAAGUGUUUACCAACCUUCUUUUAGUCAAAUUAUACAAGCCUAAAAUUUUCAACUUAAUUUGAGUCUGUUUACUAUGUCUAAUUCAAGUUUUAUUAUUAAGGACUAAAUUGUAACUUAAACAAAUUAAAAUACCAAUUUAAAGAGACAAAAAUUCAAAACCCCAAAACCCACACAGGCAUGUGGGUAAGUGACAAGGGCGUGUGGAGACUAGAGCUAUCACACACUGGCGUGUGGGAUUGAAAAAUAUGAAAUAAAUUACUCCACUCAAUUUUCCAACAACCAUACUAUACUACCAAACCAAAAAAAAGGCUUGAAGUUUUGAAUAGGGGUGAAUCUAAAAAAAAAUUUAGAAGAAUUAGAAUUAAAUUAUAAAAUUUUGAGAAGUUAAAAUAUAAUUUUAUCAUAUAUUAAAUUAUUAUUUUUUAAAGGGUCCUAAUAUAAUUUUUUCCCAUUUUGGUUGGGCCAAUACCCCUGCAUGUGUCUUUAAAUUUGCUCCAACCCUAAACCCAAUAUUCGAUUUUGAUUAACAACAAUAUAUAGGUUAGUAUUUGUGGGAGUUUGACGAAUAAAAAUUUCUUUUUUAGAGGUUUAAAUUAUAAAUUUUUGAAAGAUUAAAAUAAAUUUGUAUUUUUUUAUUUACAAAAUAUAAAAAGAAAAAACAUGUUUAGACAAGCCAAGAGACCUUUGGGAUCAUACGGGUGAUUUUGAGAUGUUAAUGGUUAUUUUGGUGGAGAGGGUAAAAAAGAAACAAAUGAUUCAUUAUAUAUAAUAUAAUUAUGAAAUUCAAGCCAUAUAUUGUAUGUUUCAUCCAUAAAAAUUUCAUGGAAGGUCCAAAGGUAAUUAAAUGACUUGUAGGCUUGCUGAAUUUCUUUGAAAGGCCCAAAGGCAAUUUAACAUUCACAAAAUAAUCUCUAAAUACUGUAAAGACAAAUCAAAUCCACAGUAGCAUAAGAGUUGAUUAAGCUAAGCAUUGGCAAAUAUUACUUUGAUUUUGCAUGCAAUAUUGACAAAACCCCCUCCUACAUUAGAAAAACAACAUAAUCCAUGGAACAUUGAUAGCCCAAUACAAAUUUAUUCGAGAAAAAAGUCUCUUUGUUUUGUAGAACAUGAUAGUAAAGAUGUGGAGUUUCGUUCUUCUUAUUGGCCUCCUUUAGUUUUCCUUGAUCAACAACCACUAGCCAAAAACACAAUUAGAUUAGAUUAUGAAUGAUACUUUCAACUAUGACAAUAUUAAAUACAAACCACUCUAAAUAACUUUAAAUAAAUGGAAAGCAGCAAAUUACCUGACCAGGCAAGCUAAUUCAAUUAAGACCAUUGUGUUAUACUUGUCUCUGAAUUGAAAAAUUUAGAAGGAAAUAAAGAGAAAGACUUAGAAAAUACUUGAAAACAGAUAAAACUUAUAUGUCAUUUAAAAUAAAAUAAAAAAUUCUAUUUAAGCCAUUUAAAAUUUUUAAGAUUUUUAAAAUUUUAAAAUGAGAAAAGUAAAAUUGUACUUUGGCACCCAAAAAUGAUAAAACUUUGAUUUAAUUCUUUAGAAAUUAUAAAAAAUAUAGGCUAUUAAAAUGGUGAAAUUACAUUUUUACUAUAGUAAAAAUUACAAUUUAAUUUCACCCCCUAAAAGGAUUUUCUGGCUUUGCCACUAAUAAAAUCUUUGGCAAAAGAUUAAAAUAAAAUUAUACCGUAAAUGGAAAAAGAAACUAAGAAAAUCCAAUCUAACAAGGAAAAUAACUUGAUGUCCAAAAGCUACCAUAAAUCGUAAUUCAUGGGAAGGCUUGUUGCUUAUUUUAUUGGUUUCCAUUUUGAUUUUGCAAAAGAAGUUUGAAUUUUGAAGAGAGCCUACUACGUGAGAGCAAAAGAAAAAAAAUAGUUUAUAUGAUUAAAUUCCAGAAUAGAUGAAAAAUGUUGAAUAAAAGAUAAAAUUAAGUGUGAAUUAAUAACCACAAUCUUUACUCACCAUCUCUGUUAACAAUGUUGGAUGUUGUUUACCAACCUUUGUUUGAUUUUCUUCAGCUCAACCACAACAUCUGCAAUUUCUAUCGCUCCUUUAGGCAAUGAACUUUCCAUCCAAUGCCUUAUAGUCUCUUCUUCAACAAAAACAUUAUCAGUUGGCUUUUUCUUUGUGAAAGUUUCUAUAAGGACGAUCCCAUAACUAUAGACGUCAGAUUUUAUAGAAACAAUUCCUGCUGAUCCAAAUUCUGCAUUUCAAGUAUAAUUAUAACAUCAUUCAUCCUCAAUUAUUUCUAAAAUGCUUNNNNNNNNNNNNNNNNNNNNNNNNNNNNNNNNNNNNNNNNNNNNNNNNNNNNNNNNNNNNNNNNNNNNNNNNNNNNNNNNNNNNNNNNNNNNNNNNNNNNNNNNNNNNNNNNNNNNNNNNNNNNNNNNNNNNNNNNNNNNNNNNNNNNNNNNNNNNNNNNNNNNNNNNNNNNNNNNNNNNNNNNNNNNNNNNNNNNNNNNNNNNNNNNNNNNNNNNNNNNNNNNNNNNNNNNNNNNNNNNNNNNNNNNNNNNNNNNNNNNNNNNNNNNNNNNNNNNNNNNNNNNNNNNNNNNNNNNNNNNNNNNNNNNNNNNNNNNNNNNNNNNNNNNNNNNNNNNNNNNNNNNNNNNNNNNNNNNNNNNNNNNNNNNNNNNNNNNNNNNNNNNNNNNNNNNNNNNNNNNNNNNNNNNNNNNNNNNNNNNNNNNNNNNNNNNNNNNNNNNNNNNNNNNNNNNNNNNNNNNNNNNNNNNNNNNNNNNNNNNNNNNNNNNNNNNNNNNNNNNNNNNNNNNNNNNNNNNNNNNNNNNNNNNNNNNNNNNNNNNNNNNNNNNNNNNNNNNNNNNNNNNNNNNNNNNNNNNNNNNNNNNNNNNNNNNNNNNNNNNNNNNNNNNNNNNNNNNNNNNNNNNNNNNNNNNNNNNNNNNNNNNNNNNNNNNNNNNNNNNNNNNNNNNNNNNNNNNNNNNNNNNNNNNNNNNNNNNNNNNNNNNNNNNNNNNNNNNNNNNNNNNNNNNNNNNNNNNNNNNNNNNNNNNNNNNNNNNNNNNNNNNNNNNNNNNNNNNNNNNNNNNNNNNNNNNNNNNNNNNNNNNNNNNNNNNNNNNNNNNNNNNNNNNNNNNNNNNNNNNNNNNNNNNNNNNNNNNNNNNNNNNNNNNNNNNNNNNNNNNNNNNNNNNNNNNNNNNNNNNNNNNNNNNNNNNNNNNNNNNNNNNNNNNNNNNNNNNNNNNNNNNNNNNNNNNNNNNNNNNNNNNNNNNNNNNNNNNCUAGGUGGACCACAAAGUGCAUAAUUCUUCAUGAAUGAUGUGCUAGAAAAGUUUGAAAAACAUCCUUUGCUAGGAAUUUCCCCUUCAAGUCUAUUGAAAGACACAUUAAAAUACUUUAGAUGUAGAAGCUUUUCCAAAGAUUUGGGAAUGACUCCAGAGAGAUUGUUAUUGCAUAAAUCCAAGAAUUCCAGACUAAUCAACCUAUCAAAUGAUUCAGGGAUAUGACCAUGUCGUAUAUUAUUUGAUAAAUCUAAUGAAACCAAUGUUUGAAGACCCCCAAAUGUGGAUAAGAUAUCGCCCGUGAGAAGAUUCCUUGAUAAAUUUAGUUUCAGUAGACUCCUCAAAUUUCCAACAUCAAUAGCAUGAGAAUUGUGAAGAUGGUUUGAUGAUAAAUCUAUUUCUAAGAUAUCUUUAAGAUUCCACAAAGUUGAGGGUAUUGUAGAACUCAAUUUGUUGGAUUCUAAGCAAAGAUAUCUCAAAGCAGAAAUAUUACCUAAACAAGAGGGUAUGGAUCCAUGCAGCUUAUUCAACCCUAAACACAUCUCGUAUAGUCUCUCCAAACCACAGAGGCUUUCUGAGAUAGGCCCUCCUAAUUUAUUACUGUAAAAAGUUAGACUUUGGAGAUUUCUCAUUCCUCCUAUUGAUGCUGGAAUCAAUCCACUUAAUUUAUUAUUGCCAAGUUGUAAAAGCAAUAGGCUGGUUAAGUUACCUAUUUCCAUAGGAAUAAUGCCUUGAAGCUCACACUUACCGGCAUAAAAGAAUUGAAGAGAUUUUGAAAGGUUCCCGAUAGAAGUAGGAAGAACGCCACUCAAUGGAUUUCCUGAAACUGAUAUGGUUUUCAAAUUCUUACAAUUCGUCAAAGAAGAAAGAAAGCUCCACUCAUGAUCAGUAGCAGAUCCCGUGAUCAAAUUAUUGUCAAAGAUUUUGAGCACUUCAAGGUGUUUUAAGCUGCCAAGCAUUUUAGGGAUUGGGCCAGAGAAUAAGUUUUGUGACAAUUCUAGUUGCUUAAGCAUGGAAGCAUUGGAGAUAGAGUUGGGAAUGUUUCCGCAAAGUUUAUUUCCCCACAAUAAAAGAAUCUCAAGCUUUGGAGCAUUGGUGAUGGGUGGUAAAUUACCUGUAAAAUAGCAUCUUUUAAUAUACAUAUUCAUUGAAUACCAAAUUCACAAAAUAUAUAAUACAUUAAAAUAAAAACUGUAAAACUUUAAAUCAAUUAAGAAUAAAAUUUUGGCAUGGAAAAAUGUGAUUUGUAAAUCAAUUAAGAAUAAAGUUGAGACAUAAUAAGAAGUUUUGAGUAGUAAUUAGUCCUUGUGAUUUCUAUAGAAAAAACAUAUAAUAUACUAAUAAUUUUUUAAAAUAUUGUAAAACUUGAAAUAAAAUAAAAAUAAAAGUUUGGCAUGAGAUUGUUAAAUCCUUUAUUUUCCCUAAAUAAUUAGUUAUGCUUUGGGAAACAAAAAUGUUAAAUCCUUUAUUAUAUUAUUUGGUUGUGCAACUUUUCUCUAUCUUUUAAGUAAUAUGUAUUGAAAAUUAAAAAGAAUUUUAUAUUGUAAACAUCUAAAAGUAAAUAAAAAUGCUCAAUAAAAAAAAAAGGAGAAAGGAAAACACCAGAGGUGGAAAUACGAUGUAAGUUCGGACACUCAAACUGCACCAACACUAUCCAUAUGUGAUACGUAUAAGCCAUUGUUUUUAAUGUAAACUGGUAUGAUUUUUAUCUAUUGGGUUAAUUAUUUAUUUUUAUUAAAUCAUAGUGUAAAAUUUAAAGAUAAAUUAUAUGUGUCUAGACCAAUAUCUUAAGAACUAUUGUUUCAUGUUUAAUUAUUCUAAAGAAUUGUCGAUUGAGUCUUAGUUUAAUUGGCAUGUGUAUUGUUGCCAAUGUGAGAGAAUGCUAGUUCAAGUAUGCUGAAGUGCAUUAUUCUCCUAUUUUUGAUUUGAGGAGCUGGUAAAGUACUAAAUUUUGAUAUAUUUUAAAAUAUUAAAAUAUUAUUAAAAUAUUUUUUAUAAAAAUUGAUUGUACCACAAUAUACAAUUUUAAUAUCAAAAUUUUAAUUUUUUUAAUUAUUAGGGAAUAUAUACUUUAUUUCAAGUCACACAAUUUUUACUAGUUUUAAACUUUUUUUAAAAAAAAUUUAUCGUCUUUUAUAAUUUCUAAUAAUUUCUAAUAAUUUUUUACAAUAUUUAACAAUUUCUAACAAUUUUUAAUAAUUUUAUUAUUUAUUACAAAAUUAAAAAUUAACAAAUUUUAUUUUUUUCAAACAAGUAUAUAUUUAUAAUGUAGUUAUUUUUUAUAAUUUUAUUUGAAAUUUUAAAGAUUUUUUAGGUCUUUUUUUCUAGAUGAUGAUGCCAUCAUAUGCCACAUGGCAAUUUAUGAUUAGUUGGAUAUCUCAAUCUAUUCUUUUAAUGUCCAAUGAACGAAACCAAGAACACCCGAUAAUGUUAGAGACUAAAAUGUUAGAGACUACACUAGAAAUGUUUGAUAAUAUUAGGUAUUACAGUAGGCAAAAAAACAUUAAGGACCAAAGUACAAAAAAAAAACAUAAACUGUGCAUUAAGCCAUUAAAAAUAUAUCUAUAAUAUAUAUAAAUGCAUAGAUUUUGAGCAGCUUUUGAACUGAUAAUUAUAUAGUCUUUCUUGUUUACUAUACUAUUGAAUUUAUUAUUUUAAUUUUUUAUUACUUUUAAGAUUUAUCUUAUGUAUGGAUAAGAAUUUUGGUUUUACUAAAAUAUUUGGUUAAAUAAAUUCACUUCAUAAGAAAAUUUAGCAUCCUUAUAAAUAACAAUUUUGAUUCUAUUAAAAAAUUAUUUAAAAAAAAUAUAUAAUAAAAAUUUAAAAUUUAUAUUGGAUUACUUUAUACUUCAAUUAUUAUUAGAAACUUUUUCAUACACAUAUGUCUAUGAGAACCACAUAUUUAGAACAUAAAUUUGUGUUUUAAAAUAACUUAUGAUAAAUAAUGAAAUGUAUAAUUUGAAACUAUUUAAUAAUAACACAUGGCACAGCUACCAUAUUAAAAUAAAAAUAGAUUAAAUUGUAAGUAAAACAUAAUUUAAACAUAUGAAUACAUCAAAUUAAGAAUAAUAAAUGAAUAAAGUUAUUUAUGAUGAUGUUGUUGCCAAUUCCUAAGUUGGUGUUGAGUUAAUUUGUGACAUCAUAAAUUUAAGUGAAAAAUUUAAGGUUUUAUGUAUUGAUGUGGAUUCAAAUAUCACCAUAAUUUUUUUUAAAUAAAAAACUAAAGUACCCUCAAAUAAUAUAACUUAUAUUAAGUACGAAAGGGUAUUCUUGUAAUUUCUCUAAUCGAGUUGGUACCCGGUUGACUCAUGACACCAACUCAAUCAAAAGCUUCAAUAAUAAUAUAGAUAUUCACAUUAAAAAAACAAAAAAAAAAGUACUUUAGUUCCAAAUAAUUAUAUAACAAGUAAAUUUAUAAUUGAUGAAUAAAUUUAUAAAAAAUAUAUUUAUAUGAUCUAAUAUAUUAUAUUUAUAUGAAUUAUAUAUCAUCUACAAACUUUGAAGAUCAAUUUAUUAAGUAAAAAUGAAAUUGAAUUAACACUAAAUCAAUUUUUAGAUUUUGUACAGAUGAUUUAAUGAUGAUAAAAACAUUAUUAGCACUAUUUUUGAAUUAACAAAAAAUUAGUGAUAUAUUUUAAUUAUAUUUAUUAUUUAUUAUUUUUAAUAAUUUUUUUAAUUAUAUGAAGUAAAAUUAUAUUGUAUACUAAAUAUGGUACAUAUACUCUAAUUAUAACUUGAAAUUUUAUUAUAUAAAUUAAUAUAAAUUUGAAUAACAAAAUAAAAAAACUAAUUAGAAUAUUUUUAAAAAACAUUAUUUAAAAGUAGUUAAAAAUCACGUGCAACAAGUGAGAUUAAUGGUCUUUAGAGAAGAAAUGUUGAAGAUCGAGGUUGGAAUCUGGCCUAUAAGGCCUUUAAUUGCUUUAAUAUUAAGCAGUUCCAAACCAAGAAGAUUAGCGAUUUCCUCAGGAAUUUGACCUGCACACAUGGUCGAAAAAUGAAGGUGUCAAACUACCUAUUUUAUUAGCAUAAGUCAAAGAGGUUUUCUUUUCUGUUCUACAUAAAUUGCAGAUGUUAGAUUUUAAUAUUUUUAAGCAUAUUUGUUUUCAUCAAAUUAACUAUCUUGAACUAUUUUGCCUUGAAUGAAAUAAAAUGCUCUUACUUUUGUUAUCUAUUACUAAUCAAAAUCUUUUAUAAAAAGAAAAAAAUACUUUAAACUAAAGAAACCAAGAAAAUUCAAUACCUUCUAGGUUAUUCAACCCCAAAUAUAAUUCUUUGAGUCGUGUCAGAUUUCCAAUACAUUUUGGAAUGAUCCCCGUCAAUUGAUUAUAGGAAAAUGCCAAAAUUUUAAGGUUGUUGCAUUUGCUUAUACUUGACGGAAUGUUACCAGAUAAUUCAUUCUAACUAAAGUAAAGCCCUUCAAGCUUGGGAAGAUGUUGACACAUAUCAUUAGGCAAACUACCUGAUAGGCUAUUGUUGGAGAGAUCAAUGGUCUUCACAGAAGAAAUGUUGAAGAUCGAAGUUGGAAUCUGACCUGUAAGGCCUUUAAUUGCUUUAAUAUUAAGCAGUUCCAAACCAAGAAGAUUAUCGAUUUCCUCAGGAAUUUGACCUGCACACAUGGUCAAAAAAUCAACGUGUCAAACUACCAAUUUUGUUAGCAUAAGUCAAAGAGGUUUUCUUUUCUGUUCUAUAGUAAUUUGGAGAUGUUAGAUUAAUUUAAUAUAUUUCAGCACAUGUUUUUCAUCAAAUGAAAUAAAAAGUUCUUCCUUUUGUUAUCUAUUACAAAUCAAGUUCUUUUAUAAAAAAAAUACUUUAAAUUCAAGAAAUCAAGAAAAUUGAUUACCUUCUAAAUUAUUAAACCCCAAAUAUAAUUCUUGGGGUCAUGUUAGAUUUCCAAUACUUCUUGGAAUGAUCCCCAUAAAUUGAUUAUGGGAAAACAACAAAUUUUUAAGGUUGUUGCAUUUGCCCAUACUUGACGGAAUGUUACCGGAUAACUCAUUACUAUGCAAGUAAAGCCCUUCAAGCUUGGGAAGAUGUUGACACAUAUCAUUAGGCAAACUAACUAAUAGGCUAUUCCUAGAGAGAGCAAUAGUCUUGAGAGAAGAAAUGUUGAAGAUCGAAGUUGGAAUCUGACCUGUAAGGCUUUUAAUUGCUUGAAUAUUAAGCAUUUCCAAACUAAAAAGAUUACCGAUUUCUUCAGGAAUUUGACCUGCAGACAUAGUCGAAACAUCAAGGUGUUAAAUUACCUAUUUUGUUAGUGUAAAUCAAAGAGGCUUUUAUUUUUUUCGUUAUGAAAUAAUAUGGAUAUGUUAGAUUCUAAUCAUAUUUAAGUAUGUAUUAGUUCUUGAAAGAAAGAGUUCUUAUUUUUGGUAUUUAUAUUGCAAAUAUUUUUUUAAUUUAAAAAGGGGGGUAAAUGUGUUUAAACUAAAGACAUCAAGGAAAAGGCAUACCUUCUAGGUUAUUUAACCCCAAGUAUAAUUGUUUAAGUUGUGCCAAAUUACCAAUGCUUUUUGGAAUGAUCCCACUAAAUUGAUUAAUAGACAAUUCCAAAAUUUGAAGGUUGCAGCAUUUGUCUAUACUUGAUGGAAUAGAACUUGAUAAUUCAUUUAUACUCAAGUAAAGCUCUUUAAGCUUGGGAAGAUGGAGACACAGAUCAUCGGGCAAGCCACCAGAAAGACUAUUAUCACGAAAAUGAAUCCUUUUCAAAGAAGAAAUGUUAAAGAUGGAAGAUGGAACUUGGCCAGAUAAUUCAUUGACUCCCAAGUUUAAGAUCUCUAGAUUGGACAUGUUGACAAGUGUUUGAGGGAUUGUGCUUGUGAAGUUAUUAUUUUUCAUUUGUGUGAGUUUUUGCCAAAUUUUAUAUUUUCGGAAUGCAUAACUAAGUUGAUUUUUAAUUAGUUUUUCAAACGAGUCAAUGUAAUUCCUCAAAAAUCUAGUCAAAGCGUCUAGGCUGGGUUUGGGGGUGUUUGUUAGAAUUGUGUGACCCAAAUUUUAAGAGAUUACUUGCAAGUCAAGUUAAACAAAAAUAUAUUUUCUUUCUAGAAGAUUUAGCAUUUAUUAGUAUAAUAUAUUUAGCAUUUAUUAGUAUAGUUUAUUUGACUUACUAAUUUAGCCUAUAAAUAGGCUCUUUUACAAUCUUAGAAAUUAGACGCACCCAUUAGAUUAGAACUCAUAACACAUUCAGAGAAUUUUGUGUUUAUAUUUUGAGGGUUCUUUGUUUUUCGGGUUUUCGGGGUUUAGUUUUUAUCUCCAUCUUUUGUACUCUUCCUUCUUCUGCCAUUAUAGUAAAAUUAUCUUUGCCCGUGAUUUUUUAUCCUCUUUGGAGGGAUUUUUCCACGUUAAAUUUGUGUGUUCAUCUUCUCAAUUUCUUCUACUUUUUUACUUGUUUGUUGCUUAAUUGGGACGAUCAUAGCAAGUGGUAUCAGAGCUAGUUUAAUUUUUAUAAAUCAUCCCGUUCAGAGAUGGCAACAACAAGGUUUGAAAUUGAGAAGUUUGAUGGUGAGACAAAUUUCAAUCUGUGGCAAGUUCGAAUGAUGGCAAUUCUAGUUCAAAACGGCUUGAAAAAGGUUGUUACAGGGAAAAAGCCUGAGAAUCUAAAUCAAACAGAAUGGGAAGAGCUUGAUGAAAAGGCCUUGUCUGGAAUCCAGUUGUGCCUCGCGAAUACAGUAUUGCAGGAGGUAUUGAUGGAGAAGACCCCAUUCGCCUUGUGGAAAAGGUUAGAAACUCUUUAUACGACUAAGUCUCUGGGUAACCGUUUAGUGUUGAAACAACUUCUAUUUACGUUUCGCAUGAACGAAGGUGAGCUUCUUAGAGAUCACAUCAGUCAAUUUGUUACUCUUUUAAAUGAUUUAAAUUAUAACCUUCCCUAUGAGUCAAAUUUUGGAGACAACAUUCUUGAAAUGAGCAACCACAAACCCCGAUUAUGAACCAUAAAACGAGCAUGAAAAGUACCCAAAAAACACAUUUAUUAUCAAAAUAGUAAUCCAUCUAAGGAUUAAAUUAACAAAAUUCACCAUCCAACCGUGUAGACUAUUAUAAAUAAAUAUACUAUAUUUAUUCUUCAUGCAAAUGUUUAUUAUAUUUAAAAAUUAAAAUAUAUGGUUGAUUGAGUUUUAGUUGUGUUAAUAUUGAUAUUAUUGUCAGUGCAAAAGAACAUGAGUUCAAUCAUGUUUAAAUACGUUUUAUACUCCAAUUUAGGAGUUGGAGAGGAUUCUCAAUAAUUAAAUUAUAUCAGUUUUUGUCUAUUUAAAAAUGAUUUAUAAAUAAUAUAAGUAGAAAAUUUUUAAAAAAUACAUAUUCAUAUUGAUCGGCUUUUUCAUUAUUAGACUUUUUUCCCUAUAGGUAAAAGUAUUUAUCGAAUUCAAAUUUUGGGUUUUAAAUAAGGGUUUUUUGGAUUUUUUUUAAACAUUUGUGUGAGUUUUUGCCAAAUUUUAUAUUUUCGGAACAAAUAACUAAGUUGAUUUUUAAUUAGUUUUUCAAACAAGCCGAUGUAAUUCCUCAAAAAUCUAGUCAAAGAGUCUAGGCUGGGUUUGGAGGUGUUACACUAACAUUACUAAAGUUAAUCUUAAUCUAUUUAGUCUAGAUCUAAACAUUAAUAUUCUCUUCCAAGAAAAAUUAAGAUUAUCAAAUUAUUACAACUGUGUAGCCAGACAAUCAUAUUAGAUAAGCAUAAAACUUAAUAAAUAAUUAGCGAAGAUUGAAACAAUCAAAGAAAAAAAAUUAACUAAGAAAUAAGGAUCCAUUAUUGUUUCAAGAAAACAGAGUCUAGUUCAUAUUGAGUUGAGAAAACCAAAAAGGAGAUUCAAAACAAACUUGUGAUAAGGGGAACAAUGUCAAUAGAUCAUAUUCAAGUUGUUCGACUCGAGAAAGAAAUAUUCAGAUCUGACCUGAAAAGAAGAACCAAACAUAUUUAGGAAAACAAGAAAAAACAAAGAAAAAAAAACUAAAAUGAGAAAUUUAAGAAUAAAUAUUAAAUAUUAAAAAUAAUAAAGAAAUAAAGAAAUUAUAGAAUAAAAAGUGGCAGAUGGAAUGAAGAAAUGAUGGAUAUAAAUAAAAGAUGGAUAUGACAUAUAGAUGAAUAAGUGUUUGAUAACUCUUGAAAAGAGUUAUAUUUCAUGCCUUUAGACCUGGCUAACUGCUUAUACUUAAGUAUAUUUUGUUGUUUUUUAAGACAUUUUAGUGAGCAUUUUUAAUAUUGUAUUAGGACUUAGAUUGAGUUGGAAUUAGGUGCUUUUAAUCGCUUGUGGUGGAGUUUUUUGUGUGUUGGUAUGGCAGGAACAGGUUUUAGAACGGGGAAAUAAAUGAAUGAAGUUUUGUUAGGGCAAAAGUGCAUACAGUUUGCCAACAAGGAUGUCGUGGCAAUGCCGAGAAGACCAAGUUCAUAUUUUUUGUGCAAUAGUCCUAGUUCAAAUUCAAACUUGUAUGAGAUAAAUCCCCCUAAAAGAGGAGAAGAUAAUUAUAUUGAUGUUAGUUGACCCUAGCCUAAUCUAUCUAUUAAAUCCAAUGAAAGGGAUCUCACAAAUGGUAGAAAAAAGUGAGAGAGAUCCUUAGGGGUGAAUAAGGGUUUGGCUGCGCAAAGGAAAAGAAGUCAAAGGCAAUCAUUCUUAGCCUUAAGAGGAUGUUGUGUUGCCAAAGUGUGGGCUGGGCAAGUGAAAGUUGUUUCCCAAAGUUCUUUUGUUAUUUCUAUCAGUGUUCCUUCGAAAGAUUGAAUUGAAGUAGUUGAACACAAUGUCAGAUAAUAUUUUGGUUUGAAAUUUUAUUUCCCAGCUUAUGAGCUAAAUCUCAUAAGGUUAUGAUUACUUUCGAUGAAACCUUAAAUUUUUUUUAUGGAUGCAAUAUAUAUCUAAUUUACAUUACAGCUUCAUUUGAUUAUUCAUAUUUCUUAAUUAAAAUGCAAAUGAUCUCUAGACAUAGAAGACUAUUCGCAUACUUAUAAACUGAUUAUAAUUCUAAAAGGGUUGGAUUAAAAUUAAAUGAAAUGAGCAAGUAUUUGAUAGACACUUGUAGCCGACUCUAGACAUAGAGUCAUGAUCAUACAUAAGGAACCCAUGCAAGAUAUCUGAAAAGCCUUUAGACACAGGCAAGGCAACUUGAGGUUUUUCUCUCACACGAGGCAGACUAUUUUAGAACUCUGCUGUGUUGUAAAAUAGAUACGAUUUUGCCAAGGCAUUAUUUACAAUAAGGGUUGAUUCUGGGUAAUCCCGACCUUCCAAAUCCACAUCGUAUAUCCUUCAUUAUUUUCCAUAAUAUCUUUGCCACAUCAUUAUUAGUUAUUUAUUUGUUCAUUUACAUAAUAUUCCCAUAGUAAUUCUCAUAAUUGCCAUUACAUUUCUACUCUCGAUUUGCCAUAGUAUUACCAAAUAUUCAUUAAUUCCACAUAUUGAUUACAUCAUUAUUCUACUCAUUGCCAUUGCAUAUUUAUCAUUGACUUUGUCAUAGCAUUAAUUUUAUUUUAUUAUCAUAACUUGAUCAAUUUUGUGCCUCAAUCCGAUCAUCAUGGGAACGAUACUCACUCAUCACUUUAUUACUUGAUUCAACAUGUAUACUUGCACAAAUCGCAUAUCAUUUCACAUGCGACAAUGUCCAAUUGAACCCUUUAAGAUAUAAACUCGAACAAACUCAAUUAAUGGCUUUAAUCAACCCACCAAGAAAUAAUCCUUGGCAAAUUGAAGGAUGAAGACUGAAUUCCCAUGACUUCUUAAAGAAAAUUGAGAAGAAAACUGCUUCUAAAAAUUACAAGAAACAAUCUUGCACAAAGAAACUAACCUUAAGAGUUGGAAAUUUUAGUAACGAAAAAAAACAAUUGUGUCUAAUUAAAGUUUUAGCAUUCAUUACAUUACAAAUCCUUUUUUUUUUAAGUACAUCCAAAUAAAAUUUUGAAGUAUCCUAAAACUUUAAUUAAUGUAAGCAAAAAGUAAUUUUCAACUAAAAUAGUCAUAAUUUCCGUAAUAAUCCCGUCUAGAAAUUCUGCUCACACAGUCAUCACUAAAAUAGUCAUAAUUUGAGCUAUUGAACUCAAAAUUGAGUGAAUAAAAGUGUGUUUGAUAGAUCUUAGAACUCCAUCAAGACAUAUCAAUCGAAAAAUAUCUGGAUCCCAUCCCAAAAGUCAUUGUAAGUUAACUGAUUUUCCAAACUUGAAAAUUGACAUCUUCGGUGAAUGGAAUUUAAUAAAGUUUACCCCAUCUGCUCAUGUAUAAACUUGCAAUGGUAAAAAGUAAAAAGAAAUAAUCUAUAGAGAAAAUAGUUGAAGAAUUUAUGACAAUUUAUUCAGACCUUUUUUUCCUCUAGCCUUUGCAAGCUUGAAGUUUCCCUUGGUGUGUGAGAGUUGUUCCUUACCCUCUAAGUUACCUUUUUUUCUUUUCCUUCUUUUUCUUUCUCUUCGAUCUCGUCACCUAAGGGUGUUCAAAUGACUGAUUCAGUUAAUACCCGAACAAAGCUAUCAUUAAAUGAAAUUUUGAAACCCUUAAUUGUUAAUGAAACCAAUUUUUUGUUGAAACCUAUUAACCGGCCGGAUUGAUUUCGGUUAAUUCGUGCGGGUAACCAGAAUUUAUACAUUGUUUGUUUUUGUUCAAACAAUUUUAAAACAGAAUAAUCCAUGACAACUUUUUCCUUGUUUUUUAGUCAAAAAUUAUUAAAAGAACUAAAAAAAUAACAUAAUAACAACACUAAAUUAAAAACAUAAUAGCAUUCAUUACAUUACAAAUCCUUUUUUUUUUUACUUUUUGUUGGCUUUUUAGUUUAAUUUUAGUUUUUUUUUUUUCAAAAAAUUUUAGUUUUCAUAUUUUUGUUAAGCUUAUUAUAAGAAAACUUAUAAAUCCAUUAGUUUUUAUCUAUUAGAUUUGUAUAAUGUAUUGGACCUAUCUCUAUAAUAUAUUUUUAUUGAUUUCGGUUAAUCAAUUAAUUUGGUUAAUUAGUCGAUUUCAAACGAAACUAAUCGAUAAACAAAAUCUUCAAAAACAUUUAACCAACUCCCAACCAAAUUAGAUUCGUUGAUCAGCUGCUUAAUCAAAUUAAUCAUAUGGUAAAAUGGAAUAUUUUUGGAAUGGUUUUUUUGGCAUUAUUGGUAUAGGUUUAAGUUAUGAUCUUGAGAUGUUGAGUUGAAUUAAGUUUGAUAUGUAUAUUGUGAUGCCUUCAUUGGCAUAUUGGUUAAAUAUUAAAGGAUGGUUGAUUUGGUAUGUUUUUGAAAUGGUUGUUGGUAUGUUUGAUCUAAGUUGAUUAAAUGAACUUGCAAUGUUGAAUGGUAUAAUAUUUGUUGGUACAUUAGUUAGUCUUAUAGGUUGAUGGAAUUGGUAUGUUUUGAUUAUUAAAUGUUUCUGGAAAUGGUGUGUCUUGGUGUACAAGAUUUGAAAUUGAAAUGGCUUGAUUUAGAAGCAACUUAUGUCGUACACCGCCUGGGACACGGUUUGUCACAUGGUUGUGUGUCAUUAUUGUUUUAGGCACAGGUUUCACACAAUCUAAGACUCGGCUCACGACAUAGCUAUGUAUCACCAGUCAGUAUGUAACACGGUUUGGUACAUGGCCUGCGACAUGACUGUGUGUCCAGACUUCGAAUGUCCACACGGUCUGGGCUAUGUCACACGGCUUGGCCACAUGGCUGUGUGACCCUUGUUUUCAGGAUUUCUAAAGUUUUCUAUUUUAUUUCAAAUUGAUCCUAGAAUAAUCUCAAACUGUUUUUAGGGCCCGUAGGUUCGAAUUAAGGCCCGUAAGUGUAUGUUUGCUAUAAUUAAGUUGUGUUAAUUAAUGUUACUAAUUAAAUGGGAUGAAUAUUUUAUUGUAAGUUAAAUGUUUUAAUUUGUACUAUAAUGCUCCGUAACUCUAAUCUGGCAACGGAGAUAGGUUUGGGGUGUUACAAUUUUGGACUGUAAAUUUGUUUUGGGGCUUUGUUAUUUGGUUCUUGCGAUGUUUGUUGGAUUUUAGUGUUUUAACAUUAAACUGCAAAAUUGUCUGAUUUAACAAACUAAAAAUUAGGUUUUCAAAAUUAAAACUCUAGAAGUUUCUAUUGCAAAGAUUAAGUAAUCACUUAAGUGUUUUCUCAUAAAUAAUUAAAUGGUUUUUAACAAAUGUUUUCCUUAGUUUUGGAAAUGAUCUGCCAACAUUAGUACUUUUAAAAUACAUGAUUUCAAAUUCAAAUUCUUGGUUUUAAAUAAGGGUUUUCAAACUUUGAUUUUUUUUUAACAUUUGUGAGAGGUUUUUGCCAAAUUUUAUGUUUUCAGAACGUGUAACUAAGUUGAUUUUUAAUUAUUUUUUCAAACGAGUCAAUGUAAUUCCUCAAAAAUCCAGUCAUAGCAUCUAGGUCGGGUUUGGGUUGUUACUUAAAGUUAAUUUUAAUCUAUUUAGUCUAGAUCUAAGCAUUAGUAUUCUCUUCCAAGAAAAAUCAAGAUUAUCAAAUUAUUACAACUUGGUAGGCCGACAAUCAUAUCAAAUAUGCAUAAAAGUAAAUAAAUAAUUAGUGAAGAUUGAAACAGUCAAACAAAAAAUAAAUUAAUUAACUAAGAAAUAAGAUCCAUUAUUGUUUCAUAAAAUUAGAGUUUAGUUCAUAUUGAGUUGAGAAAACCAAAAGGGAGAUUCAAAACAAACUUGUGAUAAGGGGAACAAUGUCAAUAGAUUAUAUUCAUGUUGUUCGACUCAGGAAAGAAAUAUUCGGAUCUAACCUGAAAAGAAGAAACCAAACAGAUUUAGAAAAACAAGAAAAAACAAAGAAAAGAACUAAAAUGAGAAAUUUAAGAAUAAAUAAUAAAUAUUAAAAAUGAUAAAAAAUAAAAAAUUAUAGAAUAAAUAAUGGAAGAUGGAAUGAAUAAAUGACGAAUAUGACAUAUAGAUGGAUAAGUGUCUGAUAAUUCUUGAAAAGAGUUAUAUUUCAUACCUUUAGACCUAACUAAUAGCUUGUACUUAAGUACAUUUUGUUGCACUUUAGGACAUUUUAGUUAGUAUUUGUAAUAUUGCAUUAUGACUUAGAUUGUGUUGGAAUUAGGUGUUUUUAAUCACUUGUGGUGGAGUUUUUGGUGUGUUGGUAUGGCAGGAGCAUUUUUUAGAAUGAGGAAAUAAAUUGGUGAAGUUUUGUCAGGGCAAAAGUGCAGAUAGUUUGCCAACACGUAUGCCGUUGCAAUGCCGGGAAGACCAAGUCAACAUUUUUUUUGCGCAACAGUCCCAGUUCAAAUUCAAACUUGUACUAGAUAAAUCUCCUUACAAGAGGAGAAGAUAAUCACAAGUUGUUGGCCGACCCUAGCCUAAUCUAUCUAUAAAAGCCAAUGAUGGGGAUCUCACAAAUGGCAGAAAAAAGUGGGAGGAUCCUUAGGUGUGAAUAACGGUUCAGCUGCACAAAGGAAAGGAAGUCGAAAGCAAUCCUUUUUAGCCAUCACAAGACGUUGUGAUGCCGAAGUGUGGACUAGACAAGUGAAAGUUGUUUCCCAAAGUUCUUUCGUUAUUUCCAUCAGUGUUCCUUCAAAAUAUUGAAGUAGUUGAACACAAUGUUGGAUAAUAUUUUGGUUUAGAAUUUUAAUUCCCAGCCCAUGAGCUCAAUCUCAUAGGGUUGGGAUUACUUUUGAUGAAACCUUAAACUGUUUUUAUGGAUGCAAUAUAUAUCUAAUUUACUUUACUGUUUCAUUUUAUUGUUCUUAUUUCUUAAUUAAAAUGCAAAUGAUCUCUAGACAUAGAAGACUGUUCGUAUACUUAUAAACUGGUUCUAAUUCUGAAAGGGUUGGAUUGGUUGGAUUAAAAUUAAAUGAAAUGAGCAAGCAUUCGAUGGACACUUGUAGUAGACUCUAGACAUAGAGUCACGCUCAUAUAGAAGGAACCCAUGCAAGAUAUCUAAAAAGCCUUUAGACACAGGCAAGGUAACUUGAGGUUUUGCUCUCACGAGAGGCAGACCAUUUUAGUACUCUUUUGUGCUUUAAAGUAGAUACGAUUUUGCCAAGGCAUUAUUGACAAUAAAGGUCUAUUAUGGGUAGUCCCAACCCUCCAAAUCCACAUCGUAUAUCCUUUAUUCUUUUCCAUAGUAUAUUUGCCACAUCAUUAUUAGUUAUUUAUUUGUUCAUUUACAUAAUAUUUCCGUUGUAAUUCUCAUAAUUGUCAUUACAUUUCUACUCUCGAUUUGCCACAACAUUACUAGUCAUUUAUUAAUUCCACGUAUUGCUUACAUCAUUGCUCUACUAAUUGCCACUGUAUAUUUACCAUUGACUUUGCCAUAGCAUUAAUCGUAUUUUAUUAUAAUAACUUGACCAAUUUUGUGCCUCAAUCCGAUCCUCAUGGGAAUGCUACUCACUCAUCACUUUAUUUGUAACACCCCAAACCCGACCUAGACGUUAUGGCCGAAUCUGGCGAUGUCACAUGGAAAGGGAUUUGAAGACAAGAUUGUUGAGCUUAAAAACUGUUACAGUAAGUUAGCUUUUAUUUAAUUCGGAAAAAAAACUGAUUGAUUUGCUUUAAAACUUGUCUCUUAGCGGAAGCUUUUGUAACCAAUUAAUUUAGGAAAAAUCAUUUCUAUUUACCAAAACACUUAGUUUUUAGGAAAAAACUAUGUUUUGUGGAGUUGUAGUUUUUUUUUAAAAACCCAUAAAAAAUAGUAUAAAGUCCCAAAUUUAAAACCAAUCAGUCCAUAGUCCAGAAGAUACAUCAAAAACUCAAAAUAAGUAAUAAAUUCUAGGCAUUAACGGAAAUCAGUCUAAAAUUUACGUGUGGCCACCAUCGAGUCCUUUGCUACACCGAUCUGUCAAGUCUAGGGAUUACCUAUACAAAUUAAACAGAGAAAGGGUGAGUUGUCGCAAACUUAGUGUGUAAUCCCCACAAAAAACAUGCAUACAGGUAAUUAACAGAAUUUAGUUAGAUAUAGUUUGGGGCCUGUGCCCAUCACAGAAUUAGUUUGGGCCUUAGCCCAUUCAGAUAUUGUCUUAGAAAUACAUUAGAGCCUUGACCCAUAUCAGAUACAGAAUGCAGAUACAAUAAAUCAGAAUUCUACCCACUAGUCUCUACACACCAUCUCCGUCCAACCCUACACACCAUGUGGGGAUUAAAUCAACCAAACCAUCCCUACACACCAUGCUGUACUGAAAUGCGGCACAUAAUCAGAAGGUUACAGCUGGGCUGCCACAUAACAUAAGUCAGGCUCGGUAUAGAAAUCAGAUAGACAUAUCACACAUAUAGGGGUCUAAGUAAAGCUUACCGACCCUACAGUAGGUCCACAGUCAACUUGGGUGACCCUAUAAAAUUACAGAACUUUUUAGAAAAAUGGGCUCACACGCCCAUUCGGCCCAAAUUGGCCUUGACCACGUGAUCCAUUUUUAAUGUAACCCGUGCUAGUUAAUUACUCAUAUAUGUUUUCACUAUUUACUUAUAUGUUCCUUUAAAGCUAUCUACUUGAGUCACUAUUACUAAAUUAUUUAUAUCUUCAGCUAUAGAAUUUCAAAUUAGGAUCCACUUGAUGUCUUUGAAAUUAGACUCAAAUACCUUUCUACCAUAAAAUUUUUAUAAUUUUUGGUUGAGCCAACAAGUACAGUAAAAUCUUCAAACCUUCCCCAAUUCAGCUAUCUGACAACUUCAACCCUUCUUUGCUAAGAAUUAAUUAUCUCUUAGUACAAGAUUUGGAUGAUGUUUACAUUUUUUUCUAUUGAAAAUAGACUUAUUAAUAAUUUAAAAAUAUAAAUUUUAAACCCCUAAUUAUUUUUCUCCAAUUUUUGAUGAUUUUUCAAAGUCAAAACUGGGGAACCCGAAUUCAUUCUGACGUUGUCUCACGAAGUUUAUUAUACCUCGCGAUUUCCAAUUCCAUUACUUACAUCGUUUCUUCUAUGAGAAACUAGACUCAAUAAUAUUUAAUUCCAUUUUUUUUCAUUCUCUAAUUUGAUUUCUUCAAUUUAUGGCAAUUUUUCAAAUUUAGCCUACUGCUGUUGUCCAAAAAGCAAGCAAUUUUGGCUUUUCUCCAAAUCCCUUUUUUUUUGCAUUUUUGGGUACACACUUGGUUUUGUUUGAUGCUAAAACAAUCCCCGAGCACUCUAAAGCCACCAACGAUAACACUUUAUUUAAAUAUUGUUAAGACAAGAACACUGAAUUCACUAGUCCGAGCCUCCCCCUAUGCUCAAAUCGCAGAGAAAAUAUGUUACCACUUUAGUCGCUAAAAGAUUCAUGAUAGAAACGAAGAGAAACACUUACCGAAACUAAGCGAGCACUAACUAUGUGUGAAAAUGAAGGAAAAUAAAUGGAUUAGGGAAAAAUCAAGAAGAAGAAAAAGAAGAGAAAGAUGGAAAAACUCAGAGAAUUUCAACAAGAGGAGAAGGAGAAGAAUAGACGGAAAAUAAAAUCCUGAUAACCCCCAAAAUCCCUUAAUCUUCUCCCCUAAUUCCCACUACACAUCCACUACUCAUAAUCCCCCUAUUACAUAACUCUAUCCGAAAUCUGAGCAAAAUAAAUCAUAAUACCCUUGCCUGCAUAGGGAUUCAAACACAAGACCUCUACUAUAAUAGCACACCAUUUAACCACCAGAGUAGCAGGCCCAUUCUGAUGUAAUUUACCCAACAAUCAAAUAAAAGCCUACUCAACAAGAGUAAGGCCUAAUUCAUUCAAAAUACUAAAAUUUUCCCAAGUGAAAGCUUCAACUUGGGACCUCCCAAACACUCCCAGAACACAUAACUACUAAAGCUAACAGAUAUUUGUGUCAUAUUUUCACAAUAAUGAAAUUAGAAAUUUUGGGGCGUUACAUUAUUACUUGAUUCAACUCUUGCACAAAUCGCAUAUCAUUUCACACACGACAACACUCAAUUGAACCCUUUAAUAUAUGAAAUCGAACAAACUCAAUUAAUGGCUUUAAUCAACCCAUCAAGAAAUAGUCAUUGGCAAAUUGAAGGAUGAAGAAUGAAUUCCCAUGACUCCUUAAAAAAAUUGAUAAGAAAACUACUUUUAAAAAUUACAAGAAACAAAUCUUGCACAAAGAAACUAACUCUCAAAGUUGGUAAUUUUAGUAAUAAACAAAAACAAUUGCGUCUCUAAUGAACAUGAAGGGGCCUUUACAUAGGCUAGAUAAGUAGAUCCAAAUAAAAUUUUCAAGUAUCUUGAAACUUUAAUUAAUGUAAGCAAGAAGUAAUUUUAAACUAAAAUAUUCAUAAUUUUUGUAAUAAUCCCGUCCAAAAAUUCUGCUCACAUAGUCAUCAUUAAAACAGUCAUAAUUUGAGCUCUUGAACUCAAAAUUGAGUGAAUAAAAGUGCGUUUCGAAGUUAAGUGAUAGAUCUUAGAACUCUAUGCAGAAAUAUCAUGCAAAAAAUGUCUGGAUCCCAUCCAAAAAGUCACCGCAAGUUAACUAAUUUUUCAAACUUAAAAUUUGGCAGCUUCGGUGAAAGGAAUUUAAUAAAGUUCACUCCAUCCAUUCAUGUAUCAACUUGCAUUGGUAACAAGUAAAAAGAAAAAAAUCUAUAGAGAAAAUAGUUGAAGAAUUUAUGACAAUUUAUUCAGAUCUCUUUUUCUUCUAGUCUUUGCAAGCUUGAAGUUUCCCUUGGUGUGAGAGAGUUGUUCCUUACCCUCUAAGUGAUUUUUUUCUUUUUCUUUCUCUUCAAUCUCGUCACCUAUGGGUGUUCAAACAAUUGUUUCAGUUAAUAUCCGAACAAAACUAUCAUUAACUGAAAUUUUGAAACCCUUAAUCGUGAAUCAAACCAAUUUUUUUAAACCUAUUAACCAACCGAAUUGAUUUCGGUUAAUUUGAGCGGUUAACCAGAAUUUAUACAUUGUUUGUUUUUGUUCAAACAAUUUUAAAACAAUGAACAAUCCAUGACAAUUUUUUCCUUGUUUUUUAUUGAAAAGAUUAGAAGAAUUAAAAAAAUAACAUAAUAACAACACUAAAUUAAAAACAUAAUAGCAUUCAUUACAUUACAAAGCAUAUAUAUAUAUAUAUUUACUUUUUCUUCACUUUUUAGUUUUAUUUUAUUUUUUUCAAAUAUUUUUAGUUUUCAUAUUUUUGUUAAGCUUAUUAUAAGAAAACUUAUAAAUCCAUUAGUUUUUAUAUAUUGGGUUUGUAUAAUGUAUUGGACUUAUCUCUAAUAUAUUUGGCCUAUAAUAUAUUUUUAUUGAUUUCGGUUAAUCAAUUAAUUCAGUUAAUUAGUCGAUUUCAAACACUAAAUUAAAAACAUAAUAGCAUUCAUUACAUUACAAAGCAUAUAUAUAUAUAUAUAUAUUUACUUUUUCUUCACUUUUUAGUUUAAUUUUAUUUUUUUCAAAUAUUUUUAGUUUUCAUAUUUUUGUUAAGCUUAUUAUAAGAAAACUUAUAAAUCCAUUAGUUUUUAUAUAUUGGGUUUGUAUAAUGUAUUGGACUUAUCUCUAAUAUAUUUGGCCUAUAAUAUAUUUUUAUUGAUUUCGGUUAAUCAAUUAAUUCAGUUAAUUAGUCGAUUUCAAACUAAACUAUUUGGUAAACAAAAUCUUCAAAAACCUUUAACCAACUCCCAACCAAAUUAGAUUCGUUGAUUGACUACUUAAUCAAAUUAAUUAGGUUUGAUAAAUUAAUUCGUUAAAACCGAAAAAUGCACAUCCCUAUCAUCACCUUUGUUUUUAGGGAUUUUAAUCAUCUUGCUCCACCUGAUGUAGAAGUUGAGGUGGAACGAACUACUUGCUACCAAAAUAUAUGAAUUAUAGAGCAUGCUCCACCACAGUGAAGCAAAUUCAGUGGAGUGGGAGACUUUUCUUCACUACUUUAUGCUCUAUGCUCCAAGUCUUCUAUUCUUCUUCUGAGACCUACAAUAGAAAAAUAAAAAAUAAGAAACAAGUCUGAACUAACUUUGAAAAUUAGAAAUUUUCAACAAAAUUGAAAUAAAAUAUAAUUAAUCAAUAAAAACUAUAAAAUGCAAUAAAAACGAACCUAUAUACUAAAAUUACCUCCUAAAAUGCCAUGGAAACUAUACUAAAAUAACUCUAAAUAUGAUAGUUAUCAGAAGCGACCUGAAGAAGCCAAUCGAGUAGAUGAUUUCAACUAUUGCAAUAAUAUCGGUCGAUUAGCCAUCCUCUUGAGAAGAUCAUAGAGUUGAAAGAAAAAAAUCAUACAACUCCAUGAAGAAGAAAAAACCAUGUUUGAAAAAGAAGUGGCAUUAUCAAACUUGACAUCAAUGCUUUGGUUUCUCAAUACAAUAUUAUGGACAGAUUCAUCAAAUUUGGCUCUUUCAAUCCUAUUACACUAGCUCUAAGUAGAAGUAAGAUGGUGAAUUUCGAAGGGAUUGGGGGCAAUCAUCUAUUUUUGGAAUAUCAGAAUGGUCAUGAUUGGACUCAAAGAAGCCAAUGAAAAGCAUCUCUCCUAGGUAUAAGCUUAUAUUGUCACAUUGAUCCUAAGCACAAGCAUAAAUUGUUCAUCCAAAAUGAUGAUGCUCCUAAGCAUGAGCUUAAACUGUUCAUCUAAUGCUCCUAAGAAGGAGCCUAAACUAUUCAACCCAAACGGUCAUGCUUUAAGCACAAUCUUAAACUAUUCAUAAAAAAUAAAUGAUGAUCCAAUGAAACUCGAGCUUAAACUAUUCAUACGAAAUAAAUGAUGACCUCCUAAGCAUGAAUUUAAAUUGUUCAUACAUAAUAAAUGAUGAUACUCCUAAGCACGAGCUUAAAUUGCAGUCCAAAAAAAUUUAAACAACAUUAUAACUUUAUCUUUUAAAAAUGAAGGUACAUAGAUAGCCUGGUUUCAUUGCCAAGUUCAGUCAUUGAAACAAAUUCUUGAAAGUAGGAAGCAAAUAAAAUUUCAAGACUUGUCCCCUUUCUACGCCCAACAAAAUUCAGAAUUCAUCAUUUGUUAUUACUGUUUAUCUCUAACUAAAUUAAUGAAAAGAUAAAUCAAGAAAUUAAAUCUUUUUAGAACUCUCUUGCAAAGAAAUCAUAUUCUUUAAGGAUUACUUUAUCUCUAAUUAAUUAAAUUAAUAAGAUAUGAAUAAUAAUAAUAAUAAUAGAGUUUAAAUUCUUAUAGAACACUCAAAUGAAAAUGUUAAAUUCUACAAGAACUCUCUUAUAUUAAAGUGAUUGACACUAUAAAAAUGGGUCACCUCCAAGUCAUUCUACACAUUCAGAAGUUCAAGAAGUUCAAAAAUUCUUUACAAAAAUAUUUGAAGAAACUAAAGAAGUAGAAGAAAUUUUGAUGAACAUCAUAUCAAUUGAGAGGGGGAUGUCAACGGAAGAGAAGAAUCAAAGGAGUUUUGUUUGUAAAGAUAUUCAAAACUUGUACACUCUUCAAAAUUAUAAAUAAAAUUUGACCCAAAAUUUUCAAGUUAAUUUUCAACUUGAAAUUUGUGUGUACAAUAUAUAUGGGAAAGAAUCCAUUUACAUGAUACAAAACUAGUGUAUGUAUAAUACAAAAAUAUUUAAUACAUUAUCAAUAAAGUUUUUAAACUAUGCACCUGUGAUUAAAACCAAAAUAAUAAUAAUAAUAAUAACAACCAAUCACUUUAUUUGACUAACUUUUCCCUACAAGUCUUUGGUAUGGAGACAAAUCAGUUUAAUCAGUCUUUGGAGCUAUUAACUGACUUUUCCACCAUUGAUUUGAAAAUCAUAACCCAUCAAUUCACUUUAAAUGAAACGAGAUCCACGAGUGUUUGGUGUUAUAUUUUUAAAAUGUAUUUACAUGAUUGUUUAUUAAUUUUAUUUGUUUAUAUUUAAAUCAAAUGUAAUAAAUUGUUGAAUUUAUAUACUUCUUAUUAUAACAAUAUAUGGACUAUCUUCCUACUUCUCUUUUUAAUUUAAUUUUUUGUAACUCUUCACAAUUUAUUUUGAACAACAUUGAAAAAAACUAAAUGAUUAAAUUAAGGCUCAACUUUUCACUAACCUUAGUUUAUUUAGUCUCACUUUUCACAAAUUAUUCUACUCAUUUCAUGUUUCAUACCAACAACUUUUCUUUUUGCUGAAAAGAAAAAACAACUAUACUUUCUUUAAUCCCAAAAUUAAGGCUUUAUGAAUGAAAAUAAUAUUAUAUUAACUAUGAUAAUUAAGUUUUUAUUUUUAAUAUGAUUAAUAUUAUAUAUAAUAACUUUAAAUAUGCUUCCACUAAUGAGAUAUACUAAAGAAAAGAGUAACUUUCUUUUUAGGAUAACUAAUUUCCAAUUAUGUAUUUUAAUCUAUCACUAAGUAAUUAAUUAAGUUAAUGUCACGAGUGAAUCGUACAUCAUAUACCAACUCAAUUGGAAAUUAUUUUUAAAUUGUAACAAAUAUUAUUAAUAAGAUGUUUUCCUUUUUAUAUUUUUUAUAAAAUAUAUUAAAAAUAAUUAGAAUAAUUUUACGAGAAAAAAACUCAUAUACGGUAGAAUUUAAUCUAAAGAUAUCAAAGUUUUAAAGCCUCAACUUUAACCUUUCAACCGAAAUUCCAUUAGUCUAUAAAUAUUUUAUAAAUAUAGAUUUUAUAUAAAAAGUUUAUGUAAACUUUGUUUUAACCCGCGUCACAAGUAUACCAUAUUUAGAGAUAUUCAUAGCUAGGCGGUCCACUUUGGGUCAAGAAGUUUGUAGUUAGGCAGCCCACUUUGGGACAGGAUUCAGCUUACGUUUUUAAUCUUGGGCUCUAAAAAUAAUAAAAAUAUAAAAAUAAUGUUCUAUUAAUAUUUAUAAAUUUUAUAAAUUUAAAUUUAAUUAUAUUUUUAAACAGUAAAAUCAACCAUUUAUAUGGGCUAAAUUGAGUUAAGUUCGGUUUGCAUCAAGCCUUAACUUGACCAAAUCCAACUAAAAACACCUCUAACCAUAAUCUAGUAUUGUUUUUAUGAAUUGAAUUUUAACUUGUAAUUUUCAAUUUUAUUACAAAAUUUCUUUGCCUACGAUAAGAAAAUAACAUAUUUGUAACUUCUCCAAACAGGAGUAAACGUUCAGUCUGAAUUCGGAAGAUUACAUCAGCUAUAAAGAUGGCCUAGUAGGGUUAUCGGAGUUUUUGAAAAUAGACAUCUUUAAAACGUUUGUUUAAUUUAGUAAAAAACUUAUUUAAUUUCUAAAUUAUUUAUUACUUGAAAUCUUAAUUAAACUUUAAAAGCAGGAAGUUGUAACUAUUUAUUUUUAAUAAAAAUCGGGGUUCAUGUAUAAUUGAUUAAUAACCAUAAUUCGAAAACAAUAAAACUUAAAUUAAAUGUCAUGCAAAAUAAAACAAGCUUAAAUCUAAAUCCCAUGCCACAGUUCAAUAUAAUUUACUGUAGUCUUCGAAAAUAAAAUAAAUCAUAUAAUCAAUCUAAAAUAAUUUUUGUAAUUUAACAAUGUGUCGAGACCUUCCAGAUGUCACUCCCACGUCCUAACCUGGAGGGUUAUCUGUAAGGAUGAAAACCUUCCAGGUGCGGCGCUACGGCGGCGGCCAUGGCCGAAGACCUAGGCCAGAUUUUGGGGAGGGGUUGAGGUUUGAGAGAAUUUUGUUUGAUUUUUUUAGAGGAAAGGAGAAAAUGAAGGAUUUAAAAAAAAAUUGGCUUUUAUAGCAUUAAGAAACGACGCCAUUUUGAUCUUAGGGUUCAGAGGCCAAAAUGACGUCGUUUUAACCUCUGACCCGUCACCCGACCCAGCAGCCCACGAGAUCCUAGUGUUUUUGCGGUGAAUGGGCUAUUUUCGCGCAGGGUCCCUCAACUGUUGCGCCGUGAUGCAAUCUGGUUCCUUCGUUUCUUUUAUUUUGGCCCUAUAAAUUUUAUACUUGUUUCAUUUUCGUCUGUGCUGAAACAUUGUGCUUUAGGGCUGGGAAUAUUGCCCAGUCAGUCCCUAAUUUCUUAAGCGUGUUCCACUUCAGUCCUUAGCCACCCCCUUUUUAUUUAUUUGCGAUUUAAGCCCCAAAUUUUGGGGUCCGUUUUCAAAUUAGUCCUUAGCCGGUUUAAUUUUAAUUUUUUAUUUAAAAAAAGUAGAUUUGUCUAAUAUUUCACUUAAUAGUUAUUUAUUUACUUAUUUUCAAUUAUAAAUCAAACUUACAUUAGUAUUUAUUUAUUUAUCUAUCUAUCUAUCUGUUUAUUUAUUUAUUCAUUGGCUUGUUCUUCUUAUUUGUGCCAUUAUUAUUACUAUCAUUCCAUGUUUAUGUGCUAAUUUUCAAAUAGUUUCAAAAUUUAGAUUCAUUAGUAUUAUAUUUAUUGUUGUUGUUAUUAUCGUUAUUGUUAUAUUGUUACUUGCAUUAUUAUUAUUCAUGCAUGUUAACAUUAAGAUUUAUUAGUAUCAAUGCUAUAUGUGUUUUUUAUGAUGCAUAGUAUGUCAUGAUUAUUUUAAAUGCAUAUCGUAUUAUCGUUAUUAGUUAUGUACGACUCCUCUUUUUAAAAAUGAUUUCUUUUCGAAUAUAAUCAAAGUUGCACGCAUACUAUUUUUAAAUAUUCUACUAGUGCUCACUUAAAUUCCAAAAAAAAAAAAUCAAAGAAAGGCAAUACUUUGCAUUUUGAAUUUGAGAAACCGUACCCUAUCUUACGAGGUUUCGGCUUUCUCGUUAAACCUAAAUAGCAAAAUAUCCUUUUAAAACUUCAAUAUAUGAAUUUUCAAUAAAAAUUAAAGACAAGUUUGUUCUCUAAGGUUCUAAAUAUCGUGUCCUAACUUACGGGACGUGGUAUUUCGUUACCUUGGGAUGAGUGGAUCUUUAACUCUCUUUUCGAUUUAUUCAUGAAAUUUUUAAUGGCAUUAAUAAAAAGGGAUCGUAUUUUAAAUUUCCCUUCGAAUUUUUAACUUUCAACAUUAAGACAUUAAGUAAUCAACUAGGCACCGAUUUUGGGUGUAUUGAGGGUGCUAAUCCUUGUGCGUAACCGACUCCCAAACCCAUUUUCUGGAUUUUUGUGGACCGAAAAAUUUUGUUUUAGUAAAUCAAACCGUUUAUUUAAAACAAUUGAAUUACUAGGUGAUCCAAUCACACCUCACAAAAAAAAAGAUUGGUGGCGACUCCUGUGUUCAUUUUCAUUUACAAAAUUAAAGUCGACCCUCCUUUUUAAAAAAAUAGUUUCGACACUACGGAUAUGAACCUUCAAGCUUUUGUGGAUAAUGUUACAGAAGGUUGUUGCAAAAAGUAUUUUUUAUUCUUUUAUGUGGCAUGCCAUAUUAUCAUAUUAUCAUGUGACAACUUCUGGUGAUUUCUGUCCGUAACAGUUUUUGUUAAAUGAAGAGGUCAAUUGAUUUUUUUGGAAUCAUUGAGUACUCAAUUGGUGCACUUUUUUCAUAAAGGCUAAAUUAAUUUUUUAAUUUGUUAUUGUUGAGGGCUAUAGCAAUAAAAAAAUUUGAGGUAAAAUGAAAAAAAUGUUAGAGCUAAAUUUGUCAUUAUGCCUAAAAUGUAAAACCAAAAUUUUUUGAAAAUGAAAAAAAAUGGAAAAUCACAAAUUCUGUCACUUAUGUUUGCUUAAAAUUAUAGUUUUGGUCACCAAUCUUUUGAAGUAAAUAUAUGGUCACCAAUAUAAUCCAUUUGUUACUUUGUAAUAACUCACCUUAAAGUUAUACCCCUGCGCAAGAAAGGAUUAAAUGACAUUGGGAUACCAUAAAACUUGUAUCUUUUUUUAUUCAUCCAAUGCCAUUUCAACAUUUUCAUUUAAAAAAAUCGACAUAUCAUUUUGGAUUUGAUCUUUUUCAUGAUGAAACUAUUGAAAUGAUGUUAAAUUAUUGGAAAGAGAUACAAGUUUAAUCUUAUCUAUCUAAGAAAGCUGAUGUAACACACUAAUGACAUCAUUUCAAACAAAGUUUUAGGUCCAAUAAUUGUUCAUCUAGUCCUUGUAAUUGCUUUUAGGUGAAUUUCACUAUUAUUCUUUUAUUUUCUUUGGCUUAAAUACACAUUUACCCUUAAUUUUAUCACAUUCUCCUUAAUUGGUAUUUAUGGUUUAGAAAAUUUUACAAAUAUAUUAUUUUUUAAGAAAUUAUAAGAAGAUUACAAAAAUUCCAAAAUUAUAUAAAAAAGCUAAGAAAAACCUAGAAAUUAAAAAAAAUAAUGUUUUUACAAAUUGGGAAAUACCUAAAUUUGUUUUCACCAAUUAAGAAAUUAAAAAAAUUAUUGAGAAAUAUCUUUUUAGAAAUAUCAUAAUUGCAUUUAAGACCUCAUGAUUAUCUUUUAUAAUUUCAGGCUUAUCAACUAUUUUGAAAACAAAGACAAAGAAAAAAAAAAACAAAAACGUCGACAUAUCACUUUAGCAUUGACUUACGUUUCUACAGUUAGUCUUCUCCAACAAGAUAAAUAUUUCAAUUUUAACAACAUUGACAGGUCUUUGGGGUAGGGUCGAGCAAAAGUCAAUAGAAACAGAUGAUAUAAGUUGAGUUGGCUCGGUCAAGCCCAUGUCCCUAACUAUACGCCCCAGGUAAAAUCAAUUUUAAAAUUAAUUAUAAUAGUUUAAGCGAAUUGAUUAUUAAGUAAAAAUACUAAAUUCAAACAAUAUGAUGUAAUCAAAUUAUAAUAAAUAUAUAUUUACUUUUAUGGGAUCCUUCAUCUCCUUUUUAGAGUUUGUGGCAAUUUUUUUUUAAGCUUCAAAUUUAUAUUUUUUAUUUAUGAAUACAAUGUGUCUUACAAUUACAUCUACAGUUUAUAUUUUUUAUUUGAAAACAUAUAUUAUAAUAUAUGAAAAACAUAUGUAUAACCAAAUCUUGUAACACCCAUUUUAUGUUAAAAAUAUUUUCUUUUAAAUUGAGUAUAGGUUGGGUGGUAAAGUACUUAUAUUUUAAUGCUAGUAAAUACAUGUUCAAUCUUUAGAUUUAUAAUUUAUAAUUCUUUUAAUUAAAGAUGAUAUACAAGUAUGAAAAGACAAAAGUGACAUAGUAAUAAUAUUAAUUAUCAAUUUUAUAAUUUCAUAAUUGAGUUGAUGGUGUGGUUGAAGGUGGAUCUAACUCUAAAACACUUAAAUAUAAUAAUAGCUUAAAAAUGAGGGGCUUUUGGUAAAUACAUUUCUGAGUCCUGAUUGAGGGUUACACCAACUCAAUAAAACUCUUAAAUAUUGACUACAAAUGCUAUCACACACUUAUGUGUAUGAAAACCACAAAUUUAGAAUACAAAGAUGUGUUUAAAAUUAAUAUACUAUAAAGAAUGAAAUUUAUGGUUUGAAAGUAAUUAGUAAUAACACAUGAAAUAUGUAUGAUAUUAAAAUAAAAAAAAAGAGAUUCAAUUGUGCAUAAAACAAAAUUUUAUCCUAUUACAUCAAUAAAGUUAUAUUUAUUACUCUCGCCAAUUAUUUGUCAUUAAGAACAUUAAAGUAUCCUUGAAUGAUAUAACUUAUUCUAAAUAGAAUUGAUGUAUGGUUGGCUUGGGAUACCAACUCAGUCAGGGGCUUAAAAUUAUUAAAAUAUUCUUAUUUUAAAGGGAAAUUAAUAUUAUUAUAAGUGUAUUUUCACCUUUUCAUACUUUGAUAUAAUCUUCAAGUAAAACGAUUGAAAAAUAUUAUUUGAGAACACAAGACUAAAAAAAUUCAUAUAGAAAACACUUACCACUCCACUAAUAAUUGUUUGUCAAUGUAUUUUUGGUAAAAAGACCUCUCCAAUCCCUCUUAAUUUCACAAUUACGAAAAUUAGUCCUUCUCAAAAAAAUUGGAGCAAUUUAAUCCCUGUCAAUUUUGAAAGUGAGUAACUAAGGAUAAUUAAUUAUGGUGUUAAAUUCUUCCAUCAAUUAUACAUAAUUUUGAUUGGUAUAGUAAUAAAUUUAGCCUUCAAUGUUUAUAUAUUUUGUCAUUUUGGCCUUAAUUUUUAAAAAAUUUCAAGAAAUUAAUACUCAACAUUUACAUAUUUACACAAACGUUGCAGGAAAAUUUGUUAAAGUAAAACCAGUUAAAUUUAUUAUUAUACCAAAUAAAAUCAUGUACAUUUUAUGGAAAAUUAACAUCCUGAUUAAUUAUUCUUAGUUGCUUACUUUCAAAAUUAAUAGGGACUAAAUUGCUCUGAUUUUUUUAGGGUGACCAAUUUCCUCAAUUUGGAAAUUGAGAGAGACUAUUGAGAUCUUUUACAUAUUUUUUUUAUAAAUAUACUUUUUAAUAUAAAAUAUAUUUGUUCACACACAUCGUGAGUAUGAUAAAAUAUUUUUAUUGUUGAUUGAGUUGGUGUCAAAAAUUAACUUGACACAAACUCAAGAUUAAUGAUAACAAUAUGAUAAAUAAUUUAUUUAUUUAAUAUUCUUAAUUUAAGAUAUUGAUGUAAAUUUUAAGACAUGCAUGUCUUGUAGAAUUGUAAUUAUACUUUUUGAGUAUUGACUCAGUUUUCCACAAUUGUGGGUCUCUAUUUGAGCAAAACAAUUUCAACAUUUCUUCAUCACGCUUAAUCCAAAUGCAUUUAGGAUUUUCUUAUAUCAUUGCUUCAAACGCUUAAUCCAAAGGCACGAAGGCCAGAACUCUACUUUCUAGCCAGUCCGAUCCAAUGAAAGAAGAACAAAGAGUCUUGAGAUCUGAAAACUUUAUUUCAUUUUCAUUUUCUUUGUUAUUUUCUAUGUUUCAUGUCAAAUACAAUGAAAGAAGAACAUAGAAAAAUGUUGCCUAUUUAUUUCCCAAUCAUCACGAAAUUACUUGCCAUAGACUUAGAAUUUUCUCACCAAUUUUCAAGCAAUCUGACAUGAUUUCUCAAUCACAAUUAAUUGAAUUCAAGAUCUUUUUGGAUGACACAAACAUUUCAAUUUUAACACAAACCAAUAUUUAGGUUAUACUUCAGUGCUUGACAAGCACUUUCACAUUUGCGGGAUAAUAACUCUAGCAUUUUAGGAUCACAAUUAAUUCAAUUGCAUUUAAGACCUCAUGAUUUUAUUCUAUAAUUUGAGUCUUAUCAACCUUUUGGGAAAUAAUAAAACAUCGACAUUAAACUUGUUGUUGAUGCAUUCAAUUUGAUUUUUUGAGGGGUCGUUGGAGUUAUAUGUGACUUUAGCAUUGAUUAACUUUUUUAGAAUUAAUCUUUUAUACCAAUUUAAUAACAUCAACACGUUUUUUGGUAGUGUCGAGCAAAACCCAAUUAAAACCGAUGAUAUUGGUUUAGUUGACUUGGUCAAGUCCAUUAGAUGGAUAAAAUCAAUUUUAAAAUCAGUUAUAAUGGAUUAAGUUAAUUAAUUAUCGAGUAAUGAAAUACAUAAUCAAAUCAAUUGCUUUUUGUUAGAAACUAAAAGAAAAUGGGAUGAGCUGAAAACUGAUUGCCCUUUAUUAAAAUUAAGGAAUUCGCCUUUUACAUGUUAGAUAAUAUGAACAUCCCAUAUAUAAUAAGCAAAAUUAUGUACGAUUAUUUAUUAUCAUAAAUGGUUAGUUUAAAUUUAAAGUAAUUUAAUAUGUGUAUUGAACUUCAACUAUUACAUAAAGUAUAAGCUAAAUAUGUAUAAAUAUUCUAGAAACCAUUUCUAACUGAUGAUAGGUUAAUUCGGAAUUAAGAUUAAUAUAUAAAAACUAGAUAGUAGGGUUAUAGUCCUCAAACUACACCUAAUUUAAUAACAUUUCUAGUUUUUUUAGCCUUAAACAUUUAUAGUUUUUUGUUAAUUUGGUCCUUACUCUUUAAAAUUACAUAAAAAUUGCAAAAAUAUUUUAAAAAUAGAUUUUUUUCGUAUUUUUAAUAACAUUUAUAGUUUUUUUUGUGGUUUGGUAACUUAUCAACUCGACUAUUAAUUGUAACCAACUUUUUUGACUUUUUCGUACCCUUAACCAAAGUCCCGUUACAACUUUCUAAAGACCUCUUGACUGGUGUAUCAUCUCGAUUUGUUUUUAUAGUGUGGAGAUUUGGUUUUCAAGCAAGCCUAUGAUAAUCACAUUUUUCGUUCAACUGUUGAGCACACAGUACUUGAACCUUAAACACUUUGAGUGCUUUGAGUGAAUCUUAGUUAGGGUAUUGAUUAUUGUUGAGUUUGAAUUUCAGGUAAUUAUUGAGAUAGAGGAGACACCUAUGUUUUUUGUGCUUUACAAAUUUCUGCUUAGAUUGCUUUUAUUCUUUAGUGUCAUGCUAGUUUCAAUUUCUAGUGCAUGAUUAUCUGUAGAUUAUUCAUAAGGCAUUGUCGGUGAAAACAAUAAACUGAGGGAGAUUAACUUGAAUAAGGGUUGAGAAUUUUGCUUAAGGACAAACAAAUGCUUAAGUGUGGGGAGAUUUGAUAAGUGCUAAAAUUGAAAUGUUUUAACAUCAUUCUUAAUGUGUUUUUGGUUGAUUAUUCAAUGUUAAUUAUGCUCCUAAUCCUUACAAUUCGUGUUUUUAUGUUUAAUAGAACAUUUGGGAAGAAAACGAGCGAAAAAUGAACGAAAACCUGAAAAUGGGAGCAAACAUUGUAUGAAUAAAAGUGAAAGAAGAUGAAAGCAAGUGUUGUAGUUCAUGAUUGCAAGACGAAAUAAGCCAGGAAAAGAAAAAGUAGGAAAAGGGAAGUUGAAUUGAUGAAGAAAUACCCAGCCAACAUGCUUAAAUAGGCUUCAACCCUUGCACACUUCUCAUACAUAAAGUUCACUGCCAUUACAACAAGAAAACUCCUAUCUCCAUUCAUACCUAUCCAUACUUUAUUUGACUAACUUUUCCCUAACAAGCGUUCAGUAAGGAGACAAAUCACUUUGGAGCUGUUCACCGACUUCUCCAACCUUGGUUUCAAACUCCUAUCCCAUCAAUUCACUUUAAUUGAAACGAUAUACACGAGUCUUUCGGCUUAUAUUUUUAAAAUGUAUUUAAAUGAUUUUUUAUUAAUUUUAUUUGUUUAUAUCUAAAUCAAAUAUUAAAAUUUUUAUUUGAUACAGAUUUAAAUCGUAUUAUCUUAUCCCUUACUAUUGUAUCAAAAAAAAUCAAAUAUAGUAAAUUCUUGAAUUUUGUAAUAUAAGGACUAUGUAUGCUUUUUAUCAUAACGCCUGGACAAUCUAGACAUUUUAACUUGCUACUUCCCUUUUUAAUUUAAUUUUUGUUACUUUUCAUACUAUUUUUUGAGAAACCCAAAAAUUCCAUUCUGAUUUUUUUUUUAUUGCCACGUCUAUCUCCUGGGUAAGUCCGCCGUUAGGCAGCCCACUUUGGGGCUAGGAUUGUAAUUUUAAUUCUACCCGACUCAUUUUACUAUUUAGAAAUAUAAAAGUAAUGUUAUAUUAAUUUUUAUAUUUUUAUAAUUUUAAUUUUAAUUUUAAAUUUUAAACAAUAAAACGAGUCAUUUGUAUUUUCCUAGGCUAAAUUGAAUCAAGAGUGAAAAGUUUUUUAAUCAUAAUCUACUAUUAUUUUAAUUAAUUAAAUUUUAACCUACUACAACCAGUAGUUGCAAAAAAAAAAUGUCAUUCAUUUAGAAAAAUGAGAACUUAUGACAAAAUUGGAAAAUCCCAAUAAUAUUAUUAGAGUAAAACCUAAGAUCUAUCUAAACAAGAUAUAGAAGAAUUUGAUAUUCAAAUUAAGGUUAGAAAUCAUGCGAAAAAAAAAAGCUAGUAUAGUCAUUAAUUAUAAAGAUUAAAUCAAAAUAUUAUUUUUUCUAGUUACUUUAAUUAAUCAGACUAAACAAGUAAAAUAUUUUAGUAAAUUUGAAUGUAAAUCAGGAUUCUUGCAAAUCAUGCUAACAGAAAAGUCCAAACCUUUUAACGACUCUUAGUGCACCCAAUAGACAUUACUAAUAGAAAGCGAUGUCAUUUCAAUUAUGUGAUGCACCACAAAUCUUCCAAAGACAAAUGGAUUUUAUAUUUAAUAAAUAUAAAAAAUUCUAUGUAGUUUACAUAGAUGAUAUUUUGAUAUUUUCAGAUACACUAGAAUUACAUAAGAAACAUUUAAAUAUUAUUUCUUAAUAAUCCAUAAAAUAUAGAAUCAUAUUAAACCCUAAAAAUAUAGAGUUAAAAAAAAGAGAGAGAGAAUUUUUAUAAUAGUGGAAAUAAAAAAUUGUCCUCAAAAGAUUGAAGAAAAAAAGAACUUCCAACAAUUUCUAAUAUAUUCCUCCCAAAUUUUCAGUUUCAAUUUUAUUACAGAAUUUCUUUGCCGGCAAUAAGAAAAGAGCAUAUUCACAUUUUCGUCGCAAUUUCAACUAACACCCAAUCUCUUUCCUACUUUUCAUUUUCGGCCAAUUUCAAACGUAGCUGUUUUUCUAUUUUUCCUCUUUAUUUCAUUAAUAAAAAUAGACAAAUAAGGCCCUAACCUUUUAAAAAGUGUUCAAAUAAGGGCUUCUCAAAUGUUGUAUAUCAGGUUAUGUGUUUUACUCUAAACAUAUCAGCAUUUCCUAUUUUUUCUACAAAUUGGGUUGAAGUGCAUGAAAAAUCUUUAUUUUAGCACUUUUGUAAAGGUUAAACUCUUAUUUGACAAUUUUGAAAGGUUUGAUCCUUAUGUGAGCAACCUUUAAAAGAUUGAGCACUAAUUUAAAAGAAAUACCUAAAUUUGUUUUCAUGAAUCAAGAAAUUAAAAAAAAAAAACAUGCUGAGAAACAUUAGAGAUUCUUAGCCUUGACAAGUUCCCUCCACCAUCUCCCUGCCUCCAGUCCCACCUCUUCUCUUAUGCUCCUUCCAGGUUCUUGCUUUUUGUGUGUUGAAAAUUCAAAGGAACAAAAUAUCAACCUAUAUCAUAAGGCACGAAGGCCAGAACUCUACUUUCUAGCCCGUCCGAUCCAAUGAAAGAAGAACAAAGAGUCUUGAGAUCUGACAACUUUAUGUCAUUUUCAUUUUCAUUUUCUUUGUUAUUUCCUAUAUUUCAUGUCAAAAACAAUGGAAGAAGAACAUAGAAAAAUGUUGCAUAUUUUUUUCCCAAUCAUCAUGAAAUUACUUGCCAUAGACUUAGAAUUUUCUCACCAAUUUUCAGGCAAUCUGACAUGAUUUCUCAAUCACAAUUAACUGAAUUCAAGAUCUUUUUGGAUGACCCAAACAUUUGAAUUUUAACACAAACCAAUAUUUAGGUUAUACUUCAGUGCUUGACAAGCACUUUCACAUUUGUGGGAUAAUAACUCUAGCAUUUUAGGAUCACAUUUAAUUCAAUUGCAUUUAAGACCUCAUGAUUUUAUUCUAUAAUUUGAGUCUUACAAACCUUUUGGGAAAUAAUAAAACAUCGACAUUAAACUUCUUGUUGAUGCAUUCAAUUUGAUUUUUUGAGGGGUCGUUGGAAUUAUAUGUGAAUUUAGCAUUGAUUGACUUUUUUAGAAUUAAUCUUUUAUACCAAUUUAAUAACAUCGACAUGUUUUUGGGUAGGGUCGAGCAAAACCCAAUUAAAACCGAUGAUAUUGGUUUAGUUGACUCGGUCAAGUCCAUUAGAUGGAUAAAAUCAAUUUUAAAAUCAGUAAUAAUGGAUUAAGGUAAUUAAUUAUCGAGUAAUGAAAUACAUAAUCAAAUCAAUUGAUUUUGUUAGAAACUAAAAGAAGAUGGGAUAAGUUGAAAACUGAUUGCCCUUUAUUAAAAUUAAGGAAUUCGCCUUUUACAUGUUAGAUAAUAUGAACAUCCCAUAUAUAAUAAGAAAAAUUACGUAUGAUUAUUUAUUUUCAAAAAUGGUUAGUUUAAAUUUAAAGUAAUCUAACAUGUGUAUUGAACUUCAACUAUUACAUAAUGUAUAAGCUAAAUAUGUAUAAAUAUUCUAGAAACCAUUUCUAACUAAUGAUAGGCUAAUUCGAAAUUAAGAUUAAUAUAUAAAAACUAGAUAGUAGGGUUAUAGUCCUCAAAGUACACCUAAUUUAAUAACAUUUAUAGUUUUUUAGCCUUAAACAUUUAUAGUUUUUUGUUAGUUUGGUCCUUGCUCUUUAAAAUUGUCAAAAAUUUUACAAAAAUAGUCAUGGGAUAAAGUUUAUAUGUUUAGAAUACUUAGUAAAUCUAUUUUCAAGAGAAUCAAAUGGAAACAAUAUCCGAAUCUUGUACAAUGAGAUAAUUAAUUUUUAGUGAAGAGAGGUCAGAACUGUCUAGUAGUGAAACAGGGGAAAAUUUAAAGAAUAAACUGUACUAUUUGGCUAAACCAAAAAUUCUGAAAAUUUUAUGGUAAGAAAAUAUGUGAAUCUAGUUUUGGGAAAAAUUUAUGGCUCUUAAUUUGGAGUUCUGUAGCUCCGGGUAAAAAUAAUUUAGUGACUCUGACUCGAAUAGAUAUCUUUGAAUAUACAUGUAAGUGAAUAGUGAAAUUGUGGUUAAUGUUGUUUAAGUGUAUUAUACACAUUAAGGAUGUGGAAUGGAGAGGAGGAGGAGGAAAAUUGGAAGAAUUAUGAAUGAUUUGUGUAUAAUUGGACAUAUGCUCGAUUAUAAUCGAUAAACGAUUGAAAAUAAAUGAUGUUUAUAAUUGUACAUUAUUAGUUAUAGUUAAAGUUCAUGUGAGAAAAUAAAGUUUCAUAGUAUGUGUAUGUGGUAUACUUGGUAUAUGAUUUGGUAUGUAGCAAUGUCAGAAAUGGUUUAUGAAUUAACUCAUGUUGAUAAAUUUGAUACAUAAAUAAUUGUGGUGCUUAUCCAUGCUUAUAAUGCUUAUAAUGCUUAUACUAUAUGUUUAUUUGGCUAGCAUGUUUGGUGUGUAUGCUUAGGCUUUGGCCAAGUUGUGGCUGGAUUACGCCACAUUAAAUUUAUAAAAUUAUGCAUUGAGAUGGUAAAUGUCUAGAUGGAAAUAUGCUUGUGAUCAUAAAAGGGUGGUUAGGUUUAAAGUUUGUAAUCUUUAUUAAAAUGGUUUAUCACGUGGUUAGUCUUCAAAAAGACUAGCCUGCGACUAUGGUUGAGUGUAAUGUUUAUAUCUUGUGUGAUAUGCAUAGGAAACAGGAGUGGAAAGGAAAUGAAAUACUAGGUUCAUGCUUGAAGUGUAAAAUGAUGCAAAAAGGGGACGUUAAAUUAAUCGAUAAUAUGUAUUAGUAUUGAACUUAAUGAAAUUGAAUUGUACGUGAAUUAAAUAGAAAUUACAAAUGAUAUGAUUUGAAUUAAAUGAAUUAUUAUGGUAUUGAAAUGUAUAUUGGAUUGAGAAAUUGAAUUGAAUCGUGAACAUGAGAAUCGUGAAUUAAAUGAAAUGGAAAUGAAGUAUUAAAUUGCAUGAGCAUGCAUUGGGUCUCAAAAGCCCUAUUUGCUAAAAAUAUAGUAUUUUGAAGUUAUAACGUGAAGAUUUAUAAAAGCAUGUUAAAAAUUUGAAGAGUUUAAAUUUGAAUGAAAUUUUAUAACUCGGUUUAACAUGUUUAUAAGUGUAUGUGUUCUGGUAAUGCAUAGUACCCUAUUCCGACGUCGAAUACGAGUAAGGGGUGUUACAAUGUGACAUUGCUAGAUUCGGUCAUAAUGUUUAGACCGGAUUUAGGGUGUUACAGCUGAGUUCCCGGAGUACCCUGAAAUACUUCCUACUCACCGGCUGGCCGUAAAUUCUGAUCAUGAGGAGUUAUUCGUAGGCCAAAUAUUCGAAAGUAAAGAAGAGUGCGUAUUUGCUAUUAAACGGUAUAGCAUGAACAUAUCAGUGGAUUAUAAAGUCGUAGUGUCUAAAUCGACAGUAUAUAUUGGGGAGUGUUGGAAGGCAGCGGAAGGCUACAAUUGGCGGGUACAAGCUGCAUUCAUUCAAAAUUUGCAGAUAUGGGAGAUACGAAAAUUUGUUGGGCCUCAUACAUGCACAUCAACACGUAUGACAGAAGAUCAUCGAAAACUUGAUUCCAAAACUAUCUGUAUGUGUAUCAUGCCAAUGGUCAAUGACAUGCCAACCAUUAAAGUUUCGGUACUGAUUGCCAAAAUGUAAGUACAAUUCCAGUAUCGAGUAUCAUAUCGAAAGGCGUGGAUAGCUAAACAGAUGGCAAUAUAGCAAUUGUAUGGGGAUUAUGAUUUGUUGUAUACUGAGCUACAAGAAUGGAUAGCUACUAUGCGGGAGUACAUACCGGAGACUGUGAUUGGGUUACAGACAAGACCUUAUUACGACCGGGAUGACCAAUUACAGCCGGGGAAAAGAAUUAUCCAAAAUGAAGCCAUUUAACCUUAAAUUCAGCUUUAAUAUAAUGCAAAAAGGGAAGAAAAGUUUCGUACUAAGCAUACCUAAAAUUGAUCUAAUUAAAGUUAUACAAAAAAGUACAAACUUUGUAAGAUAAAAGAAAUACAAACUAGAGUAAUAUCAAAAUCGCAAGAAACCCCUAAAAUUGAUGGUUUAAUGGUGUGGUCCUAGGGGUAUACCUCUGCAGAGGUCAACGUUCACGUUGUGGGUGAUCGCGACGACCAACAUCCUCUUUAGGUGCAGGUGGGGGUGUACUAAACAUGGAAUAAAAAGCAUAUGGCUCGAAUGGCAUCGAUAAACUUGAACCAGAAGAAGUGCCAUGAUGCUGUGGAUACGACCCAGGGGGACUGAUAUACUGCAGUGGAUAUGGGCCAGGAAUGUUGUACUGCAGUGGGUACGAUCUAAAGAUAUCAAACUCGUAAUGGUAUCUGCCCCCUGAAAAGCUCGGGAAAUAGUCAUUGCCCGCCAAAUCUAGAUGAUAAGAAUGUGAUUCCGAAUGUGAAUGUGAUUACUCAGGAUCUAACUUGGGCUCUGACUCGGGCUCCGGUACGGGAUCAGGCUCGGGAUCAGGAUCUGUUACUAACUCCGCCUCCAUAUCAGCCACUGGCUCGUAUACCCCAGGUUACUGCAUGUGCGGGGGGACUACAGUCGACUGCCCUCCAAGUAGAUAUGGCUUUGCCAAACUAGAGUACCAUUGUAUGUACUCUACUCAUGGUUAUAAAUCGAAAGCCAUAACCAUCUGAGGUAUUUGAGUCAUCCGAUUAUUCCAUAACGUAACAAAUCUCCGGUGCUUAACCCCCCAAUUCAAGUAUGGUUUCCCCCUCUUAUUGAUGUCGUGAACCACCCCCACCUCGCAUGGCGAAUCUGGGAUAUAUUGGACGCAACCAAACUGUCGUAGCACUUGAUCCCCAUGGUACCACUUGACUACAUUGAAAUUUAUAAUUGGUGCGUUAGUACACCACAUAUGAGAAUGAACGUAGGCAGAUGAGGGUAUAAUAGCUACAAUUUCCAGUCUACAAUAUGGCAUCCAUAUAAACUGCAUAAUUAAUAACAUGGUUAUAAUUUAACACGGUGUGAGUAAGAUAUAGAAAGUAACAUGUCACGAAUAUUAGAAUAGCUUACCCCUUCCCCGGCAUGGUUAUAAUUUAAUGUUUUAUUAUUUAUGUUAUGUACAUACUAUGUCUUAUUAUUUUAUUAUUUAUGUUAUUAUUUAUGUUUUAUUAUUUAUGUUAUGUACAUUCUAUGUUUUAUUAUUUUAUUUAAUUUAUUUGUUAAGUGGGUUUUAUGUUGAUUAGAUAUAUUUUUUAUGAAAUUUAUUUACCGUCUGAUGAUCGAACAGCAUGCCGGGGAAGAGGUAAGCUAUUCUAAUAUUCGUGACACGUUUCUAUCUAUAUCUUACUCACACCGUGUAAAAUUAUAACCAUGUUAUUAAUCAUGCAGUUUAUAUAGAUGCCAUAUCGUAAACCAGAAAUUACAGUUAUUAUACCCUCGUCUGCCUACGUUCAUUCUCAUAUGUGGUGCACUAAUGCACCAAUUAUAAAUUUCAAUGUAGUUGAGUGGUACCAUGGGGAUCGAGUGCUACGAUAGUUUGGUUGCGUCCAAUAUAUCCCGGAUUCACCAUGUGAGGUGGGGGUGGUUCACGACAUCAACAAGAGAGGGAAACCACAAUUGAAUUGGGGGUUAAGCACCAGAGAUUUGUUGCGUUGUGGAAUAAUCGGAUGACUCAAAUACCUUAGAUGGUUAUGGCUUUCGAUUUCUAGCCAUCAGUAGAGUACAUAGAAUGGUACUCUAGUUUGGCAAAGCUAUAUCUACUUGGAGGGCAGUCGACUGUAGUCUUCCUGCAUAUGCAGCGACCUGGGGCAUACGAGCCAGUGGCUGAUAUAGAGGCAGUGCCACCUACAGAUCUUGAUCCCGUAUCGGAGCCCAAGUCGGAGUCCGGGCUAGAUCCCGAGCAAUCACAUUCACAUUCGAAAUCACAUUCUUAUCAUCCAUAUUUGGCGGGCAAUGACUAUUUUGUCAAGGGGCGGAUACCAUUAUGGGUUUGAUAUAUUUGGAUCGUACCUACCAUAGUACAGCACUCCCGACCCGUAUCCAUUACAGUACAUCAGUCCUCCUGGGUCGUAUCCACAGUAUCAUGGCACUCCUUCCAGCUCAAGUUCAUCGAUGCCAUUCGAGCCACAUAAUUUUUUUUCCAUGUUUAGCACACCCUCACCUGCGCCUAAAGAGGAUGUUAGUCAUCGCGAUCACCCACAACGUGAACGUCGACCUCCGCAGAGGUAUACCCCUAGGACCACACCAUCGAACCAUCAAUUUUAGGGGUUUCUUGCGGUUUUGAUAUCACUCUAGUUUGUAUUUUUUUUAUAUUACAAAGUUUGUACUUUUUUGUAUAAAUUUAAUUAGAUCAAUUUUAGGUAUGCUUAGUAUGAAAAUUUUCUUCCCUUUUUGCAUUAUAUUAAAGCUAAAUUUAAGAUUAAGUGGCUCCAUUUUGGAUAAUUCUUUUCCCCUGCUGUAAUUGGUCAUCCAGGCCAUAAUAAGAUCUUGUAUGUAACUCAAUCACAGUCCCCGGUACGUACUCUCGCAUAGUAGCUAUCCAUCCUUGUAGCUCGUUAUACGGCAAAUCAUAAUCCCAAUACAAUUGCUCUAUUGCCAUCUGUUUAGCUAUCCACGCCUUUCGAUAUGAUACUCAAUACUGGAAUCGUGCUUGCAUUUUGGUAACCAGUACCGAAACUUUAAUGGUUGGCAUGUCCUUUACCAUUGGCAUGAUACACGUACAUAUAAUUUUGGAAUCAAGUUUUCGAUGAUCUUCUGCCAUACGUGUUGAUGUGCAUGUAUGAGGCCCAACGAAUUUUCGUAUCUCCCUCAUCUACGAAUUUUGAAUGAAUGCAACUCGUACCUGCCAAUUGUAGCCUUUCGCUGCCUUCUAACACUCCCUAAUAUAUAAUGUCAGUUUAGACACUACGACUUUAUAAUCCACUAAUAUGUUCAUGCUAUACCGUUUCAUAGCAAAUACACACUCUUCUUUACUUUCGAAUCUCUGGCCUACGAAUAACUCCUCAUGAUCAGAAUUUACGGCUAGCCGGUAAGCAGGGAGUAUUUCAGGGUACUACGAGAACUCAGCUACAUGCACUGUGUCGGGGUUUAUGAGCAACAUGUGUGGCCCAAUAUUAUUGUGUAUCACAAUACGUCGCAUCUAGUUCCCGACUGAAGACGCGUUAAUAUUUCCAUUGUUAUUCACAUGUUCAUUGUCAAUAUCAUCAGAUACAUCGUCCACAUCAGGAUCACUGUCACUAUCGACCUCUUGAUCAUAAUGAUUGCUACCAUUGUAUCCAUCAUCACCAACAACAUCAAUAUCGAGUGUAAUAUUGAGAUCGAUACCGAUCCCACCUAUAGUCGAUUCACUAUCAACGUACGAUAUUGGAGCCACCAUGCACGGUUCUUGAGCUACAAGUUCUUCACCAUAUGCAUUGACAUCUUUAUUUUUCUUCAUACCGGCUAACUCAGCAAAUAAGUGAAUCGGUGCAUUUUUGUCACUCCCAUUCCCAUAGUAAAGAGUGAUCAUUGUCUCCACGUCUUCCUCGUCUACAAGUUCCAUUUCGGUGUAUUUGAUCGGAUCUGUCGAAAUUGGAAACUUGUAGAAAAUUUUUGAUAUCCUUCUCCCACAACGUCUAACAAUUUUUGCAUUAAUCCUUCCCUUCAUAUCAUCCAAUGAGAUAUUUCUAUUAAAUCUCAUUGCUAUUUGUUACCGACAUUUUAAUAUACAUCCAACAGUUAUUGUCAAUAUGAUUCCAUCGAAAUAAACGCAUACAAAACACUUAUCAUCCAUCUUCAAUAUUCAAUCUGUUAAAAAAUAAACAAAAUUUUAAAAACCAAUUUCGAACAGUAAAUAAAUUACUUAAAUAAAAAAAUUAAUGUUUCAAUAUGCAAUUUUUUCAUUCAUAAGCUCAUACUAUUUCAGUUAUCAUUUUGUACAUGAACAACAUUUAACCACUAAUCCUAAUAACUAACACAAUAAUUAAUAAUAAUAAUAGUUUUUUCACUAAAAAUAAUACUAACUAACAAUAAUAAUUAGGAUUUUACUAAAAAUAAUAACUAACAAUAAUAUAAUGUAAAAGCUAACUGUCAUACUAACUAAAAUAAUAAUUAGGGUUUCUACUAAUCCUAAUAACUAACCAUAAUAAUAAUAUUAGUUUUUUACUAACAAUAAUAUUAAGUAACAAUAAUUAUUAAUAACUAAACCCUAAAAACUAACAAUAAUUAUACUAACUAAAAUAAUAAUUAGGGUUUUUAUUAAUCCUAAUAACUAACAAUAAUAACUAAACUAAAAACAAAAAACAAUAAAAAAUAUACAAAAAAUUAAUAACGAGAUAAUCCAUUAUUUUUUUAAAAAUACCUUUUUUUUCUUUUUUUUUUCUUCUCUUUCUUUCUCAUUUCUCUAUUCUCUUUCUCUCGUUUUCUUUUCUUUUUCUGGCACCGCCCUCUCUUUUUCCUUCUUCUCAUUCUCUUCUUCUUCUUCUUCUUCUCCUUUUCUUUUCUUUCUUCCCUUUCGUGUAGCUGAAGUGAAAGUGAAAUUGAGGACCAUUAUAAGGUCCCCAAAAGGCAGGAAAGCAUGGCACAGGUGUCGCAUGUGGCAGUGGCACAUUGGGUGCCACCUCUGCCACUGGCACCUUUGGUUCCACCUAUGGUAGAUCCUCGACUAGGGUCCUGUCACUUUCAUCAGUUUUUUUUACUGUUUGUACCAUUUUGGUACAUAAUAAAAUGGUUGUAUUAUUUUAAUAUUAUUUUAAUUUUUUUGUAUUAUUUAUGUUUAAAAACCUUGGAAAUUCGUUCAACUCCUUUAUGGGUAAACUACAAAAAUAGUCAUUUUUGUUUGUCUCAAAUUACAUUUUAGUCACUUAUGUUUGAAAUGUUGUGUUUUAGUUACUUACGUUAUGGUUUUGUUACGGAGUGGUCAUUCUACCUUUAAGCUCUGUUAUCUCCCUGACGGCGGCCCUAUGUGGCAGUCUAAAUGGGUUUUAAAAGCCAACUUAGAUGUCCUACGUGACAAUCUAAAUUAAAUUUAUUUAAUUAAAAACCUAUUUUCAUCGCAGCAACUAGACAUCUAAGUUGGUAUUUAAAACACAUUUGGACUGCCACAUAAGACUGCCGUUAGGGAGGUACAGAAUUUAGCGGUAGGGUGACCACUUCAUAACAAAAUGAUAAUAUAAGUAACUAAAAUGUAACAUUUUAACUAUUUUUAUAGUUUACUCAUUCAUUUUUAAAAUACUCUUAAAUGAUUUCAUAGUCACUUAAGUGCUUUGAUUGGACAUAAAGGAAUUAAAUCUCUAUCCAUUUAUGUAAAACGCCAGAAAUAUUAGCGGUGUUUAAAGAAACUCAUUGAGUUAUUUUUUAUAAAAUUAUAAUCAAUUCAUUAUUUUUAUUAAUUUCUUUAAAAAGUAAUGUAUGGAAAUGAUUUUUAGAGAGUAAAAUAAUUGUUUACAUUUGAAGUCAUAAAAAGUAGAUUGAAGAAAAAAGGUUUACUACUACAAGUAUGUUUUAAGUGUCCAAAAAGAAAAGAAGAGUCGCAAGUGAAGAGUCGCAGCUUCCAACACAGUUAGCGAGAGCAAAGCUCCCAGCAGUCACAUUAAGGCUCGUAGGUGAAGAACCACAACCUCCAAAAUAGUUAGUACGAGCUUAAGCUCCCAACUGUAAUCUUAAAGCUCGCCGGUUUAAUAUCGCGACCUUUAAAACAGCUUGAGGACCUACGUUCUCGACUCAUAUUAUAGAGGUUAGCUAGUUUAAAAUUGCAACAUUCUAUUAUUUGAGUUAGUUGAUUUAAGACUACAGCUUCACAUAGCUCACUGAUUUAAGAUCGUAACUGUCAUAUCAAAUUCGCAGGUUAAAUACCGCAACCUUUGAAACAGUUGGCCCGAACUCAAGCUCCCAGCUGUCAUCCUAAGCUAGUAGGUUCAACAACACAACCUCUAAAAUAGUUAGUACGAUCUUAAGCUCCCAGCUGUAAUCUUAGGCUUGCAAGUCCAACACCGUAGCCUCCAACAUAGUUAGCGUGAACUCAAGCUUCUAGCUGCAAUCUUAAGGCUUGCCGAUUUAAUAUUGCGACCUCCAAAAUAGCUCGUGGACCUACUUUCCAGCUGAUAUUCUAAAGGCUCGCCGGUUUAAUAUCGCAACAUCCAAAACAACUUGCGGACCUACGUUCCCAGCUCAUAUUAUAGAGGUUAGCCGAUUUAAAAUCGCAACCUUCAAUUAUUUGAGUUAGUUGAUUUAAGAUCACAGUUUCAUGCAGCUCAUUGAUUUAAGAUUGUAGCCUCCGAACAGCUCGCUGAUUUAAGAUCAAAUUUGAUAUUGAAUAAUUUUCUAUGAGUUGGUUGGUUUACAAAAUUUUUCUUAUAGGAAACACAGUUCAUAAUAUUCUGCAUUACAAUUCUUGACUCCUAUUCCACACUAUCAGACAACAAAAUUUGUUCAAUAAAGUUUCAAGUUAAAGCUUAUAUAGUACACCCCAAAUUAAACAUGCUAUCUGUGUAAGUUUGUCUUAGAAGAAUCACUUUAUAACUCUUCUUCAACAAGAUGAGGGACAAUUUGUUAUAUAAUUAUAAUAAAAUAAAAAUGACUCGAUCCAGAGUCUAACCUGGUAUGAUAAAAGGAAACCCUAAACCCCAAAGUAAGAGGACUCCUUCUUCUACCUCUAUUUUUUUCUCUAAAGAGGAGACCAUUUUCUCUCAUCUGGGGCCUCUAUUUCUAUUUUUGUUGAUUCUUUGUAUCAACAAAUUUGAUACGUAAAGCAUCUUUGAUUGCAUCCCUCCACUUCAAUAUCCGACCCUCAAUGACUUGCUCCAGGCGUAGAUUACUCAUCUCUUUGAUAGAAGUAUAGAACAUAACAGAUAGCUUUAACAAUACUCAGAUUCAUCCAUUGGGUUCAUCUUACUAUUGUAGAAACAUCACCGUAGACAUUAAUUAUGUUUUUUACAACCAGAAAUAGAGCCAAUGGGAAACUAUGUUUUUUGCACUUAAAAAUGUAAAACAUCAAAUAAGAUAUGUGAUCUAAAUAUAAUCGAUUUAACCCUAUUCUUUUUUAUACAAUUGUAAUUAAAAUUCAAGUUAUUUUUAAUGAAUAUCUGUUAGGAUAUUAUUAUGAGAUAUAUUAUAUAUUAUUGUAUAUCUUUUAAGCAUAUUUUUAAGAAUAUAUUAUAUAUCUUUUUUAUUUCUAUGUGACUAUUGCUGCAUAAAUAUUAUGUACAUUCUUGAGAUAAAUCAAUAAGAUUAAAACAUAUUAAUCUAUUUUUGUCAAAACAAAAGAUAGAUAUUGAUUAUUUGUGACUAUUUGUGAAAGGAUAAUGAUAUUGAAUGACAAAACAUAUUAUUAUAUAAACCUCUUGAAAAUGGAAAAGUUUUUUACAUUGCGAUUUUGCCUGUACUUGAAAUCACUGUCUUGGAGGUGGAGUAAGUUUAGGUCUACCACUACCACCUCCAGUUUUCGUUGGGCAUGAAACUUGGGGUGAUUCGACUUUGAUUCAUCAUUUAGAGACUCUCCAAUUAAAGCAGAUCAAUUGAUUUCCACAAAUUAGAUUCAUUUGCAACCAUUUAACAAUAUCAUUUAUGAAGCUCAAAAUUAUUCUCAUUAAUUUUAGAUCAAUCUGAUGCAAAACAUAAAUUUAUAAUUGAACCAUCAUUAAUAUAAAAUACAAAAUUUGAUAUCCAAGUUUUGACAUUUUUUUAAAAUAUGAUACUUGUGUAAUUUUUUGGUUUAAUAUGGUACUGACAAAAGUUAUUUAUUUUGGUACUUGAAAAUAACAAUGUUAAUUUUGUAGUGUUUAAUUUGAGUUUGAGUUGAGUUGAUGAAAAUUUUUAAUCAAUUAAUAAAAUUAGCAACUAAAUGUCAUCAAAUCAACCCUAGAACCCAAAUUAAAUCACAUCAAUUAAAUUAUAUUUGACAAAUUAAACAUAUAAAACUAUUUAUUCUUGUUAGGAUUUGGCAACCGCUAGCCCAAAUGACCUAAUAGGUUCCAGGUUUUCGACCAGAAUAGACCCGAUCCAAAAGAAGAAUGUUCACUGUAAAGAUAGUUCGCUGGGGACCCCGUUGGGAUGCUGGAUGUUCGUAAAGAUAGCUCGCGGGGAGAGCUUGCGAGGGACCCCGCUAGGGUGCUCGUAAAGAUAGCUCACAUAAGCCUCGUAGGAAUAGGGUCACAAGCUAUAUCCACAGAAGGGAUCACGAGCGCUACAAGGGAUCUCCACUUGUAACUAGCGGGUAUGGUGUUUGUUGGAGGUGUCAGUCCCAGGAUUAGAAAGGACCAGUUGGCCCAAGAUUUUGGCCUUCAUCAUUCGGCCUCUGUACCAUAGUAGAGAACCCAACUCGGCGCUGGCCCAAAUCGUGCCCUAGGUCACGCCCAGUUGGUUGGUCAUAUGGACCAUGCGAAAUAAUUGGGCCACCAGCAGACCCAUGAAAGACGCCAUAUGGUCCAUCAGCAAGACCAAAAUCACGCCCAGCUCAAGUAGGUGUAGGAUAAACAAAGGUAUGAGCAACCCUAUGUUGCAGCUGUUAAUAGCCAAAAUCUUGUGGCCAUCUCCCCCACGAGGCGCCUCCAGGAUCUUGCGCCAAAACGGGCACUGUACGUAGCCCAGGGCCACCAGAACUAGCGGAUCGGCCAUAAACGUCACCGUGCAGCCCUUGGCCAUCACCAGUAGAGAAAAAUUACGCCGUGGUUGAAGCGUUCGAACCACCAUAGUCGUGAUUGAAUUGAUAGAAACAUCACUGUGCCAAGCGACUGUAUCUGCCGCAAAUUUGACAUUGUGUUCGAGGAUGAAACCCACGACCACUGCGUGACCCAGCUGUGGAAUGCGCACCACGCGGAUUUGAGUCGGCCGCCGCAACCAAAAGAGAACCAUGUGAGCAAGCAUCGGAACAUCAUGCGCCACUCUCGUCUGUCGAUUUUCAAAUUCCAAUAGAAUGUCAACUAAUUUCUGGAAAGGCAACGUCUCAGACAAAAAUGAGGCCAACGUGAGCACCGUGUCAAAGUCAAUGGAGAGGCCGACUAGGAGAACCUCCACCUUUUCAGCCUCCAAAACAGCAGAACUAAAAGCCACAAGUAACGCACAAAUAUCUUGAAUUUUGGUAAUGUAUUCUUUUACAGUUAAAUCACCUUUCUUGAUAGAAUGUAGGCCAUGGCGAACACGAGACACCUUCACACCAGUGGAAGCUGCAAAAAGAUGAUUCGCAGUGCUCUAGAUAUCACAAGUAGAUUUAGCAGUGAUAAAAUAGGAUAACAAAGACGUACUAAUCUUAGAUAGGAGCCAAGAGGCCAACAACUUAUCUUGUUGAGUAAACAAAGAUGCAUUUGUAUUCGGAGUAAGACUACCAUCAGAAGACGCCACAAAUCUAGGCAGAGCAGUUAACGUGCCCUCCAGAAACCCUUGCAACUCAUAUCCUUCUAUAAUGAGUCGAACAUGAUGCUGCCAUUGAACAAAGUUUCCCUCAUCUAGCUUCACUGUAUCAUGAUGAGGAAACGAUUGAACCAAUCGUGCACUGGAAAAAGAUGAACUGGUUGGAUCAGCAACAGCAGAAUCUGUGGAAUAAGCCAUGAAUCGACUACGGAAGCUUGCACCAGGAACUAGGCGACUGAUACCAUGUUAGGUACUACACUAUUACAAGAAUAGAUUUUAGAGAGAAUUUUUCUGAGAAAUUGCAUAGUAUUAUUAUCUGCUUUAAUCAAUACACUGUCAACGUUUAUAUACUUCAAUAUGUGUAACUGCUCCUAACCAACUAUACCAGACUAAUCAACUGAAUGAUAACAAACUAACAAAUCUUAUGUUAACAAUCUCUAUUCUUCUAACAUUGUCUAUUUAUGCUUUUGAAAUGCUGACUUGUACUGCUAUUUCCAACCUUCUUUUCCUCUAUUUUUUCAAGCCUUAUACUAUCCCUAAUCAUCCCUUAAAUUUCCCUCCUUGUGCCGCCCAAAGCAGCCCUCGUGUGUGCCAUCCAUGGUAAUGUGUCGCCAUUUUAAACACCACUUUGGGGUUGCUGUUUUUCUCUCUUUAGUCGUAUCUUUCCAGAAAAUAAAAAUUGUUGUUCCACUCCUCUAAUCAAUAUUUAAUUUUGUUGUUUUCAGGUGUAUUCGAUUCCCUUCGUUCAAUGAUUUCGAAAUAGUUAAAGGGUAGUGUAAGUGUGGAAGCUAGUGAGAUUUAGUACCGUAUUAAUUUCGUUUAAAUAUGCUGAUUUGGCCGAUUAUUCUAAGGAGUUAUUAAUUGUUUUAGCUACUAGUUUUUGAUAUAAAAUUAUCGUAGGUGCUGAUUGUAACAUCCUGAUUCAACAGUAAGCCGAAACCUAUUUGCACUCUCGCUUGCUCAUUUUUUAAAUUAUUAGAGAUAAUUUGCUCCAUUUUUUUUAGAGGAACCAAUUGAUGGAGAAGCACAUAGAAGUGUUUUUACUAAUAAAAUCUAAAUAUAAAAGUAUACAUUUCGAUAACACAAACACUUGCAUACUUAACCCUAUUUUCAUAAAACAUGGACAAAAAUCAUAUACCCAUAAAUAAUUUAAAGCAUUCAAGGUUGAUCUUUUAGGAAUUAAGACUAAAUUAACAAUAUAUAUAUAUAUUAAUUAUCUCUACAUUAUAUAUAUUUUAAAUAAUAUAUUAAAAUUUAACAAUUUCAGUAAAUUUUAUAAUUUUUUUGAAUGUUUUAUAAUAUUUUUGAAAAUUUAAUAAAUUUUUAUUUAUAUAUUUCAAAAUUUUCAUUUAUAAUUUUUUUUUAGAAUUAAAGUCAAAUUUACACCAUGUAUAAAUGUUGAAGGUUGAAUUUAAAAAAAAAAACAAAUAGAACUAAAUAAACAAAAUGGGUGAAUGUUAAAGACUAAAUUUGUUAUUAUUCCAAUAUUUCAUUUGGAGAUCAAAGGUAUUUUAAUAGUAGGAUGACUAUAAAUUGUAAUUGAUCUAAUGGGAGUGACUAAAAUAAUAAUAAAUUUUUUUUGUGACCAAUACAAAAAUACCUUAAAAUUUGGGUGACUAUAAGGAAAGUUUACCCAAAAUAAAACAUUGUAAGCUUUUACAAAUUCGGACGUCUUCUACGGGCGUGAUUGUUCCUUGACUUACGGGUCGGGAGUUGUCGAGCCAUUGAAGUUUUUCAACUACGAGACCACCUUAAGCAAAUAUGUCAAUAAAUAAAUAAUCUAACUCCAUCCAAUCAGAGACUUCAAACUCUUACUGCCCACCUCUUAUUACAUCGCUUGAAAGAGGAAAUUCAACGGUUCAAAGUUGAGAAUGGAAAGUUGAAAGCACGACUUGGAUUGCUACUCUUUAAUGCGCAAUUCCAAGCAGCAGCUCAACAGAGACAGGAUGGUUACAUUACCCAGUCAACCGGCAAGCAGCUUCACCCUCAAACUGUUACUGUCCAUGGAACAAACUGUGAAGCUGUUGACAAGGUAUGGCAUAUUAAUUGUUCUACAUGUUUGAAAAAUCUAAUGCUUGAACUGGAAUUUAUGUUUGGAUUUCGAUACCUUGGAUUAAACCAUAUUAAGUUUCUCAUAAAGAUUCAAAUUCUGGAAUCCUGAUUUGUUUUCCCUCACAAUUCAUUGUCUCGGCUCUGCAAUUUGGAGAUGAAUGAGAUACAAAAUCUGCAGGGAACAGCUCCUGUAAAUGUAGUUGAUUGUAAUGACGGUAUAGCAAAAAAUCAGACGAGUUCUGAAGUUGAAACAUGCAGUAAUAAUGAAGCAGCCAUAACUGAAAUUCUUAUGAAACUUGAAGCUGAUGACGAGAGCAGAGUGAAGUUCUCUGACUUCACUGGCUUACAUGGUGAGCGCAUAUCAGUAGGAAAAUAUAGUUUCCCACCAGCCCUACAUCCGAUUGUGAACAACAUUAUCGAAGUCUACGGUGAUGGUUCAGCAACAAGUAAGAUGAACCCAAGUAUUGCCGAGACCGUUUAUAUCAUGUUCUGUGCAUCUGUCAAAGAGAUGAGCAAUCUACGGCUGGAGCACGUCACCGAGGAUCUGAUAUUGAAGUGGAGGGAUGCAAUCAAAGAUGCUUUACGCAUCAAUUUCAAGGUGGAUUUCGCCAUGGAACAUUUGAAGAAAAUUGCUUGUGCAUACAUCGGUUUAAUGGAACGUCAAAAGCUGGAUGGUGCGGGCUUGAGGAUAUCCAAGUUAGAGGCUGAGUUGAGUACUGCGAAAGAGGAGCAUGCAAAGAUAUGCGAGCAGUCCAAGGUGUUUAUAGAUGCUGCAGAAGAGUUCAACGAUAAGCCUGUCAGCUCUGGUAUGUUCAAAAGACCUGGCCAGAUGAACAUUGAGCUAGAGCUAACAAAUGAAUGAGAAUUAUGCUUAGCUAUCAAGUCCAAUCGAGUUUUUGUUGUUAAUAUAUAUGUUUUCAUUUUUGUUUGAAACUAAAAUUUGAGUUUAAAUAAUUGAAUGAGAAUUAUGCUCAUUUUAAUAAGGUAAAUUGACCUCAAACAUUAAAAGUGAAAGUUGAUAGAGCUAGACCGAGCUUGACCAAGCUUCUAAACUCUUCUACAGCAUCCAUAAACACCUUGGACCGUUCACAUAUCUUAGUAUGCUCUUCUUUCCCAGGAUUCAACUCAGACUCAAUUGGAUAUCCUCAAAGCCAUAUUAUCCAGCUUUCGACACUCCAUUAAACCGAUGUAAGCGCAAGCAAUUUUCUUCAAAUGUUCUACGGUGAAAUCCACCUUGAAAUUGAUGCCUACAGCAUCCUUUGUUGCAUCCCUCCACUUCAAUAUCCGACACUCAGUGAAGCAUAGAACGUGAUAUAGAUCGCCUCGAAAAUACUUGGGCUCAUCUUACUUGUUGCUGAAACACCUCCAUAGAAAUCAAUGAUGUCGUCUACAUUGGAUGUAGAGACGGUGGGAAACUACCGUCAACUACCACAUCGGCCUUUUAUAGUAGAAAAUGUGUGAAUAAAAACAGAGGAAGAAAUUCAUAUGUUACGAAGAAUCAGAUUUUGGUUUUCUUACAGUUUUCCUUGCGAUAACACCCAAGUUAGUCGUACGCUUUGUAUCUUUUGGUUGUUUUGUGUUUUUCUUGUUCACAUUGUAAAAGUCAACAAUCCCGUGAGUAGAAGUCGCACGGAAAAGUGCAACCGCUUCUUUAGUUACAAUAACCAUAAAUAUAAAUAAAUGGGUAAAUUUAAUUAUGCUUCUUUAGUAUCUUAUAGAGGUAAUAAUGGGCGGGCUAGGUUCGGUAAAAAUUUAAGCCCGUUUGUUAGAUUUAGGCCUGACAUGAAAAUGAGCCUAAAAAUUUACCCAAAUUUAGUCCGAAUAAAAAUAUUAAAAUUUGGACCCAAUUCGGCCCACCCAUAUUAAUUUUUAUAUUAUUUUAUUUUUACAUAAUUUUUAAAUAUAUAUAAUAUAUCAAAAAUAUUAAAAACAUAAAAAUAAAUAUUUUUGAACAAAUUGAAAAUAAAUUUUAAACAAUAUGUAUACUUAAAUAAUAUUAAGAUAGAUGCAACUUAACAAGAAAAAAAUCUUUAAAAUAAUAACAAAAUUAAUAAUAAAACAAGUAUUAUAUAAUAUCCAAACAAUGAUAACAAUAUAGUAGUAAUAUGAUAGUGAAAUAGUAGCAAAAUAGGGAGAAAACAAUAAGAAAAUAUCAUUAAAAUAACAAAAAAAAUAGUAAUUUUUUUUGGCAUUUAGUGAAUUCGGGCCGGGCUCAGGCAAAAAUGUCUUACCCAAGGCUUGACCCAUUUUUAAAAUAAACAUUAUUUUUUUGUACAAGCCCAUUUUUCGGACCUAUAUUUUUAUCCAAACCCUUCAAUUUUUCAAGCGGGCCUCUGGGCUAGGUGACCCAACCUAUGAGUAGAUCUAGUAUCUUAGGACUUUUUUUGUCAGUUUCAAAAUAGCCACCCAGCCAGUUUGUUUUCUUUUAUCUAUUUCUGUUAAAUAUUUAACAGAAAGGUGAGAUGACAGUUCAAAUAUUAAUAUAAAACAAAUUUAGUAUACAAUUUUUACAUAUUAUGUGACAAAAGUUAUAUAUUAAUAAUAAACAAUCCAUGUAUUGAAUUCCUACUAGCAACAAUGGACUCCAUUGCUAGAUAUAAAAGCGGUUAUUCAGAAAGCAGUUGAGGGCCGCUUAAGGAACUUUUAGGAACAUUGCGAUAGUUUUUAUCUAAGGUCACUAUGCAAACACAGCUUUAUGCAAAUUAAUGAAGAGUGAUUUAGACUCUUCUCAAGUCCACAAUUACUACGUUUUGUAGUAUCUGAGAAUUCAAUUGGUGACAUGUAGUCGCUUUCAUGACUUAAUUUUAGUAAAGGGAAAUAUAAUUUUUUGCUUAUUUUAAAUAGAUAUUAUUUUUUACAAGAGUUAUUACUCAUAUUUUUAAUUUCAAGUUUAAAUUUGUGUUAUAUAUUGUUUAUUUUAUGUCUGACUAUUAUAAUACAUACUUUUUAGAUAAGUUUUUUCAUCAUUCUCAACAAUCAUACACGCUGGGGGGGGGGGGCAACAAAGAAAUCAUUUUAAGGAUCCUCAUGUAUAGCACCCCAUUAUUCGACUCAAUCACCGGGUUCAAGCAACGGGAUAUCACAUUCGUUGCCGGAGCAACUGACAUAGUUCAUAUUAUAAAAAAAAUUUAAUCACGUCAUGAUUAAUAUAUCAAUGUCUCAACUAUUAACCUGUUUAUUUAUUUCAUUUCAUGCAUCUUCUAAUCCAGCUAUAUAUAAAUAUCGAUUCACAUCCCAAGCAUAAUAACCUUAUCUAAAAACUCGCAUAGCAACAUCAACACCGAACCUAUACAUAUUAUAAACCAUUAUCAACUAUCAUACAUGCCAAUUUAUAAAACAUCUCGAAUUAUGAAAUAAUUUUUCCAACUAAGCUUAAUAUAACAUAAAAAUCCUAUAUGUACAUGCCGACGAGACUAACAAAAUCCUAUAUCAGUUUGCUUUCCCUUUGAUGCGGAAACCCAGGUCCCAGACAAGUAAACAAAGAAAAUUGGAAUUUAAGUGAUGAAAUAAAGAUGUAAAAUGAAAAAGAAGGGAUGAGACUGUUGCGUUGAAUUGAAUACAAGUCCAAACUGAAUGGAUUCAAUUUUGGAAAAUUAGACUAAAUUAAUUUUAGGAAAAUGAUUUCAAUGAUUUUCUAAAAUAUUGGUAUUUUCCAAUAUUUGGAUUAUUCAAGCUAAAAUAUUUUUAGCUGUUUGGUAAAUUUUGUUAGAAUUUUAAUUAAUUUGACACUUAAUUGAUUAUUUUCUUUGUAGAUACAAUUAUUAUCUAAUGUGUGUCAAUAAACAAAUGGAUAUGUGAUUUGUACAAUUUAAUUCCGAUCUCUUUUAAAAAAAUUUUGACUUCGCACCUUCUUAUUAAGUUUUAUCUUAUUAUCAGUGUGAACUGGUUCAUUAAAAUUAUGUGCGAACUGACCUUUUAUGGUGUGUAUGUACAUGCUCUUCGUAAAGUAAUUACGUGCGAGCUCCUUGUAAAGUGUCUAAGUGCGAGCUAGUCUAUAAAGUAGUAAAAUGUGUGUUAUGUAAUCUAUGAGUUGUAUUGACAUGCGAACUAUGUUAAUACGCGAGCUGCGUCAACUUGUUAGCAAAAGUACAAGAUAUAUAUUGUGGUAGUAGUUAUAACUCGGGUCCGGCAACUGGACCAGGUGAGGGGUGUUACACAAGAUACAAAACCUCAACACAAAAAUAAUACCAUCUUUUGAGAGUUCCGUCAACACAAUAAAUGAAAUUUAAAUGCAUACUUUUUUUAAUGAAAGUAAAUAUCAUAUUAAUUAAAGAAAAGCAACUAAAAAUCCAAUAAUAAAAUCCUUAGCAAAGAUUGAAAACACAAUUAUAUUGUAAAUGAAGUAAGAAACUAAGAAAAUCCAAUCUAAUAAAGAAAAUAACUUGAUGCCCCAAAGCUACCAUAAAACUAAAUCAUGGUAAGGCCUGCUGCUCGUUUUAUUGGUUUCCAUGCAUCUUUUUUUUGCAAAAGAAGUUUGAAUUCCGAAUAGAGCCUAGUACAUGGGAGCAAAAGAAAGAAAAUUAGUAUAUUAAUUUCCACGAUUUUUAAAACAAACUUCAUGGAAACGAAUAUUGACAUAUUAGAUAUCUACGAUUAUAAUGCUAAAAUAGACUAAAAUUAUUAAAUUAAUGGUAGAAUUAAGAGUGAAUAAAUAACCACAAGCGUACUCAUUACUUACCAUAUUUGUUAAACAUGUUUGAUGUUGUUUAGCAACCUUUGUUUGAUUUUCUUUAGCUCAACCACAACAUCUUUCAUGUCUUUUCUUUCUUCUGGUAACUCAGCUGAACAAUUCAGAGCCAACUCCAUGAUGGCUGAAAUACAAUUUGCUUUAACAACAAAGUACUCAUCCUCUUUUCUUAAUAAAUCAGCAUCUGCAAUUUNNNNNNNNNNNNNNNNNNNNNNNNNNNNNNNNNNNNNNNNNNNNNNNNNNNNNNNNNNNNNNNNNNNNNNNNNNNNNNNNNNNNNNNNNNNNNNNNNNNNCUUAUGGUCACUUCUUCAGCAAAAAGAUUAUCAGUUGGCUUUUUCUUUGUGAAAGUUUCUAUAAGGAUGAUCCCGUAACUAUAUACAUCACAUUUUAUAGAAACAAUUCCAGUUGAUCCAAAUUCUGCAUUUCAAGUAUAAGUAGAGCAUCAUUAAUCCUUAAUUAUUUCUAAAAUGCUUAUUCAAAUAUAUAUCCACAGACGCAUGAAGCAAAAAUAUAAAAUGCAAAUCAAGAAAAUAAUCAUACAAAUAUAAAAAAAUUCACCUGGUGCCAUAUACCCGAUAGUUGCAAGAGUCAUGGUUUGCUUCUUUACUUCACCCUCUCCCAACAAUUUGGCAACGCCAAAAUCUCCAACAUGUGCAACCAUGUCUUCAUCUAGUAAAAUAUUGCUUGGUUUUAUGUCACAAUGAAUUAUUGGUGUUCGAUGUCCAUUGUGGAGGUGUUCUAUAGCUACCGCAACAUCUAUCAUUAUGUCGACCCUUUGUAUGAUAUCAGGGAAACAAUUUUCAGAAUGUAACCAUUUCUCAAGGUUUCCAUUAGACAUGUAAUCAAGCACCAAGGCUUUGAAGUCAACACUUGAACAGCAAGUAAUAACCUUCACAAUAUUACGAUGAACUAUAUUACGCAUAGCAUCACAUUCAAUGUCAAAACUCCUAAAUGCUCCCUCUGUUUGCAAAUUGAAAACUUUUAUUGCAACUUCCAUUCCAUCUGAAAGCCUCCCUUUAUAUACAUAUCCAAAACUCCCUGAACCAAGCAUAUUGCUUUCCUCAAAUCCAUUAGUUGCUCGUGAAAGUUCAGCAUGUGAAAUUCUUCUCGGUGUUUUCAAAGACAGCAAAUCAUCUUUAAUUGGUAGAGUUGUACUCCUUCGCCGGCAUCUUCUAUACAUAAUAGUUUAAGACUAUUAGUACUAUGACAAUACCAAUUGUUGGUAAACCAUACCUAAAAGCAUGCAAUAUAAUCAUUUGGGAGUUUUUGUGGAUGUCGUUUUUACAAGGUGGGACUAGCAAUCUAGGGGGACCACAAAGUGCAUAAUUCUUCAUGAAUGAUGUGCUAGGAAAGUUUGAAAAACAUCCUUCGCUGGGAAUUUCCCCUUCAAGUCUAUUGAAAGACACAUUAAAAUACUUUAGAUAUAAAAGCUUUUCCAAAGAUUUGGGAAUGACUCCAGAGAGAUUGUUAUUGCAUAAAUCCAAGAAUUCCAAACUAAUCAACUCGUCAAAUGAUUCAGGGAUUUGACCAUAUAGUAUGUUAUUUGAUAAAUCUAAUGAAACCAAAGUUAUAAGACCCCCAAAUGUGGAUAAGAUAUCGCCCGUGAGAAGAUUCCUUGAUAAAUUUAGUUUCAGUAGACUCCUCAAAUUUCCAACAUCAAUAGCAUGUGAAUUGUGAAGAUGGUUUGAUGAUAAAUCUAUUUCUAAGAUAUCUUUAAGAUUCCACAAAGUUGAGGGUAUUGUAGAACUCAAUUUGUUGGAAUCUAAGUGAAGAUAUCCCAAAGAAGUAAUAUUACCCAAACAAGAGGGUAUGGAUCCAUGCAGCUUAUUCAACCCUAAAUACAUCUCGUAUAGUCUCUCCAAACCACAGAGGCUUUCUGAGAUAGGCCCUCCUAAUUUAUUAGAGGAAAGACCUAGACUUUGGAGAUUUCGCAGUCCUCCUAUUGAUGUUGGAAUGAACCCACUUAAUUUAUUAUAGCCAAGCUGUACAAGCAAUAGGUUGGUUAAGUUACCUAUUUCCAUAGGAAUAAUGCCUUGAAGCUCACAAUUAGAGGCAUAAAAGUAUUGAAGGGAUUUUGAAAGGUUCCUGAUAUAAGUAGGAAGAACGCCACUCAAUGGAUUUCCUGAAACUGCUAUGGUUUUCAAAUUCCUACAAUUCGUCAAAGAAGAAAAAAAGCUCCACUCAUGAUCAGUAGCAGAUCCUGUGAUCAAAUUAUUGACAAAGAUAUUGAGCACUUCAAGGUGUUUUAAGCUGCCCAGCAUUUUAGGGAUUGGACCAGAGAAUAAGUUUUGUGACAAUUCCAGUUGCUUAAGCAUGGAAGCAUUGGAGAUAGAGUUAGGAAUGUUUCCGUUAAGUUUAUUUCCCCACAAUACAAGAAUCUCAAGCUUUGGAGCAUUGGUGAUGGGUGGUAAAUUACCUAUAAAAUAGCAUCUUUUAGUAUUCAUAUUCAUUGAAUGCCAAAUUCACAAAAUAUAUAAUACAUUAAAAUAAAAACUGCAAAACUUUAAAUCAAUUAAGAAUAAAAUUUUGGCAUGGAAAAAUGUGAUGAAAUCAAUUAGAAAGUUGAGACAUAAUAAGAAGUUUUGAGUAGUAAUUAGUCCUUGUGAUUUGUAUAGACAAAACAUAUAAUACACUAAUAAUUUUUUAAAAUAUUGUAAAACUUCAAAUAAAAUAAAAAUAAAAGUUUGGCAUGAGAAUGUGGCAUCUAAUCAAUUUUAAAAAUGAGUCUGGCACUGAAUAAUAAUUAGUUAUGAUUUGGGAAACAAAAAUGUUAAAGCCAUUGGUUUUAAUGUAAAUUGAUAUGAUUUUUAUCUAUUGGGCUAAUUAUUUAUUUUUAUGAAAUCAUAGUGUAAAAUUUAAAGAUUAUUAUUUGCUCAAAAUUUUUGUAUUUUUCGUAUAUUUAAAAUUUAAUCUUUAUAUUUUUAUUUUAUGUGAUUUAGUCUCAUUAACAUUGUUAAAUUAUUUGCGUCUAGACCAAUAUCUUAAGAACUAUUGUUGCAUGUUUAAUUAUUUUAAAGAAUUGUCUAUUGUGUCUUAGCUUGAUUGGCAUUUGCAUUGUUGCCAAUGUAGGAGAAGGUGCGUUCAAGUAUGUUGAAGUGCAAUAUCCUCCUGAAUUGGGGAGUUGGUAAAGUACUAAAUUUUGAUAUAUUUUAAAAUAUUAAAAUAUUUUUUAUAAAAUUUGAUUGUAUCACAAUAUACAAUUUUAAUAUCAAAUUUUUAAUUUUUUUAAAAAUAUUAGCAAAUAUAUACUUUAUUUCAAGUUACACAAUUUUUUCUAGUUUUUAAAUUUUUUUUUAAUUUUAAUCGUCUUUUAUAAUUUCUAUUAACUUUUUAUAAUUUUUUUACAAUAGUUAACAAUUUCUAACAAUUUUUAAUAAUUUUAUUAUUUAUUAAAAAUUUAAAAAUUUAAAAAUUUUUAUUUUUUUAAAACAAUUAUAUAUAUAUAUAGGAUGGAGGUUUUUUUUAAACAUUUUAUUUGAAAUUUUGAAGGAACUGGUUUUUUUACCUGAUGAUGCCAUCAUUAUGUCAUCAUUUGCCACUUGACAAUUUAUGAUUAGUUGAAAAUCUCAAUCAAUGUUUUAAUGUUAGAGGCUACACUAGGAAUGUUUGAUGAUAUUAGGUACUAAAGUGGGCAAAAAAACAUUAAGAGCCAAAGUACAAAAAAAAAGAAAAAGAAAAAAAGAGCAAUCUGCUGUAGGGAAUAAACUGUGCAUUAGCCAUUACAAAUAUAUAAAUGCAUGGAUUUUGAGAAACUUUUGAACUGAUAAUUAUAUAGUCUUUGUUGUUUACUAUAUUAUUGAAAUUUUUAUUUUAAAUAUAUAUAUUUUUUUACUUUUAAGAUUUAUAUAAGAAUUUUGGUUUUACUAAAAUAUUUGGUUAAGUAAAUUCACUUCAUAAGAAAAUUUAUAUUGAAUUACUUUAUACCUCAAUUAUUAUUAGAAUUUAUUACACACAUACGUGUAUGAGAACCACAUAUUUAGAACAUAAAUUUGUAUUUUAAAAUAACUUAUGAUAAAUAAUGAAAUGUAUAAUUUAAAACUAUUUAAUAAUAAAAAUAGAUUAAAUUGUAUUUUUAAAAUAAAAACUAAAAUACCCUCAAAUAAUAUAACUUAUUUUAAAUAUAAAAAAUAUUCUAUUCAACCCUAAAUCAAUUUUUAGAUUUUGUACACAUGAUUUAAUGAUGAUAAAAACAUUAUUAGCGCUAUUUUUGAAUUAAAAAAAAAGCUUGUGAUAUAUUUUAAUUAUAUGUUUUAUUUUUAUUUUUUAUUUUAUAACUAAAUAUGGUACAUAUACUUUAAUUAUAACUUGAAAGUUUAUUAUAUAAAUUAAUAUAUUUUAAAUAUAUUCAACCAUUUGAAUAAUAAAAUUAAAAAAAAAACUAAUUAGAAUAAUUUAAAAAAACAUUACUUAAAAGCUAGUUAAAAAUCACGUGCAACAGGUGAUAUGAGAAUCUAUGUAUAUAAAUGUAUCCGUAUAUAUAUCGUUGUUUCAUUUUCUUAAAUAAAUAUAUUUUCCACAUUGGUUUCUUUUAUUCUACAGACAAGGAUUUCUAAUGAUUUUUAAAUUUUUUUUUUUACUUAUAUAGAACAGAUUAGUUUAUGCAAUAAAAAAAUUAUUUUUGAAAGUUUAAUGGAAAUUAAAAAAUUAAAAAUAAAUCAAUUCAUAUAAAUCUUAUUGUUUAUUAUCAGAUUAAAAUAGAAACAAAUUCAACACAAUGUUUUUUGGAGUUCGAAAAAUAUUAAACUGAAAAACAUAUCUUCUAAUUUGUUGUUAAAUAGAUCUAUUUCUUCGAGCGUAGUUGAAUUAAAAAUAUUUGAUGGAAUCUGACCUGCACACAUAGUCGAAAAUUGAAGUGAAAAACGUACCUUCUAAACUGUUCAACUAAAAAUAUUUUAAGCAUAUUUUUUAAGGUUGUUGCAUUUGCCCAUGCCAAAUGGAAUGUUACCAGAUAAUUCAUUCUGACUCAGGUAAAGCAUUUCAAGCUUGGGAAGAUGUUGACACAUAUCAUUAGGCAAACUACCUGAUAGGCUAUUGUUGGAGAGAACAAUGGUCUUCAGAGAAGAAAUGUUAAAGAUCGAAGUUGGAAUCCGACCUGUAAGGCCUUUAAUUGCUUGAAUAUUAAGCAAUUCCAAACCAAGAAGAUUACCGAUUUCCUCAAGAAUUUGACCUGCACACAUAGUCGAAAAAUCAAGGUGUCAAACUACCUAUUUUGUUAGCAUAAGUCAAAAAGGUUUUCUUUUCUGUUCUAUAGUAAUUUGGAGAUGUUAGAUUCUCAUAUAUUUUAGCAUAUGUUUUUCAUCAAUUUAAAUAAAAAGUUUUUCCUUUUGUUAUCUAUUACAAAUCAAACGCUUUUAUAAAAAAAAAACUUAAAAUUCAAGAAAUCAAGGAAAUUGAUUACCUUCUAGAUUAUUAAACCCCAAAUAUAAUUCUUUGAGUUGUGUCAGAUUUCCAAUACUUCUUGGAAUGAUCCCCGUCAAUUGAUUCAAGGACAAGGACAAAUUUUUAAGGUUGCUGCAUUUGCUCAUACUUGACGGAAUGUUACCAGAUAACUCAUUGCUAUGCAAAUAAAGCAGUUCAAGCUUGGGAAGAUAUUGACACAUAUCAGUAGGCAAACUCCCUGAGAGGCUAUUGUUGGAGAGAACAAUGGUCUUCAGAGAAGAAAUAUUGAAGAUUGAAGUUGGAAUCUGACCUGUAAGGCAUUUAAUUGCUUGAAUAUCAAGCAUUUCCAAACCAAGAAGAUUACCGAUUUCCUCAGGAAUUUGACCUGCACGCAUAGUAAAAAAAUCAAUGUGUCAAACUAUCUAUUUUGUUAGUAAAAGUCAAAGAGGUUUUCUUUUUUGUUCUAUAGUAAUUUGGAGAUGUUAGAUUCUCAUAUAUUUUAGCAUAUGUUUUUCAUCAAUUUAAAUAAAAAGUUUUUCCUUUUGUUAUCUAUUACAAAUCAAACUCUUUUAUAAAAAAAUAGUUAAAAUUCAAGAAAUCAAGGAAAUUGAUUACCUUCUAGAUUAUUAAACCCCAAAUAUAAUUCUUUGAGUUGUGUCAGAUUUCCAAUACUUCUUGGAAUGAUCCCCGUCAAUUGAUUCAAGUACAAGGACAAAUUUUUAAGGUUGCUACAUUUGCCCAUACUUGACGGAAUGUUACCAGAUAGCUCAUUGCUACGCAAGUAAAACACUUCAAGCUUGGGAAGAUGUUGACACAUAUCAUUUGGCAAACUACCUGAUAGGCUAUUAUUGGAGAGAAUAAUAAUCUUCAGAGAAGAUAUCUUGAAGAUGGAAGAUGGAACCUGACCAGAUAAUUGAUUGAGUCCCAAGUUCAAGAUCUCUAGAUUAGAUAUGUUAACAAGUGUUUCAGGGAUUCUGCCUGUAAAGUAAUUAUUUUUCAUUUGCAGCCUUCGAACUCUCUGUAAGUUCCCAAGCCAUGAGGGAAUUUCCCCAUUCAGACGGUUGUAGCUUAAUUGAAGGAUCCUCAAAUGAUGCAAUUGGCCCAAUUCUUUAGGGAGAUGGCCAUAAAAAUGGUUGCUACUCAAGUCGAGAGAGAGUAGAAAUGAAAGAUUUCCAAGGUGUGGAGGGAUAGUACCCCUAAGAUUCAUGCUUGUAAGAUUCAAAGCUAUAACUCUUUUAUGGAGGAUGCCACAAGAAACACCAAUCCAAUUGCAAACAGAGGUUGAGGCCGCCCAAUUGUCUGCCAAGACAUUUUGAGGACCGGCA